UGAAUAUCUGGUUGGGUAAGGUGAGCUGAGUCUCAGUUAUUAUUCUUGAUAGAGUAUUUUUGAACUCACAUGUAUUGCCCGCUGUCUUUUAAGCGCCUGCCGCAUUGUUGUAAGCUAGCUUGUUCGUAGCAGUGUUUUGUUGUAACACUAUUGUUCACUUUUGUGCGCCCAGAUUACACUAGUUUAUCGAAUUCAGCAACGAGGAACUUUAGUUUGCUUAUGUUACAUUGUUGCAUUUUGGUUAUGUUACCUUGUUGUUGCAUUGUAUCUCUGUUGUAACUCAGAAAUUCGCUGUCUUUUACUGUUCCAUGUCUUUUGCUGUUCCUCUUCUUUUCUUACAUUGAGAUUUGGUUCAGUUUAAGAGUAUGGGAGAGCGCUGAAGAUUACUACUGCCAGUAACUGAAUACCAGUCAGUGCACACAUUGCUUUCCUCUUUGGGGAAGGCGUCUAUCGGAAUAGAUACCUUUGUUUAGGGAUGAAAAUGGAGUGGAAACGUACGGAACUAGGUGCUACCAUAUUUGUUUUCAUAUCUUUUUGCAGAAGCGGAAACGAAUACGGAAACCCCGGAAAUGAAUACGGAAACAAAUGCUGUCGGAAAUAGACACGGAGCGAAUACAGAGCGAACACGAAAACAAAAUGGUGUGUUGACCGAAACUUAAAACCCCCUUGAAUCAUAGAGAACUACACACAAAAAACAAAGAAAUUUAAGAGAUUCUUAACAUGGCUACAUGAUAAUAUGGUUGUGUUGGCAACAUAGACUAGUAUUGUAAAUUUGUAAUAGUACAUGACAAUUUCGUAUUCUGUCUAGUUGAGAAUGUGUGUGGAAGUAAAAGUUGGUCCUCAAAUGAUUUAGUCUGCUCAUUAUGUCAUUGUGUGUUGUUUGGUAAUUGGGCUACAAAGCAGUCAUGGACCUAUAAUAGAAACGGGAAUUCCAUAUUCACGGAAACGGAAUGUUCCGUUCCCACGUUUGUUCUACUGGAAAACACCGUUUCGUUUUUGUUUCCGUUUUCGCAUAAAAAAAUCCAUUUUCAUUUUCAUUUUACAAAUUUCCAUUCCUGUUUUCAUAUUUCCUCUCUAUUUUCAUUUUUCGUCCCGAAAAGCGGAAACUUUCUACUCCAUUUUCAUCUCUAUCUUUGUUGCGUGUGCAGUGAUUCUGAUAGGCUGAUGACGCACAUAGUUGUGAUGUACCAAAUCAAAAAGUACUUCGUGUACGCUUGAUGUAGGAUUUGCCGCUCGGUGACUAGCCUUGCAAAAAGUGCUGCCUUGCCUAUUCCCUGUGAUGGGCCCGAUCUGGUGCAAAUCGUACAACCGCUGGGCGCUGGGCAUUCCUACUGUGGGGUUUCCCUGUGCACCUACUUGGGCAUUCCACUUGUCCUGCGUGCUCUUAGGAAAGCCAAGGUGCAAGAAGUUCCAGGAUUGGCUUGCAAACUGAACUCGAAGUGGUUUGAUAGGAGGCAAGCUGUAGGAGUGAUUCGCCUCUGCACCAUUAAAGCAACUCCAACGGGACGAUUUAAACGGACACACGUUUUGUCCGUUUUUUAUCCGUUUGGAUCGGCCAGGCAGACGUGCACGUUGUUGGUGCAGCCCUAGACUAGCUCUCUCUCAGCGGACGAAGGUAGAAGAAGCACUUUUUCUGAUGAUCAACACCCCGGCGUUCAAACGCCCUGGUUUUUCUUUAUCUCUGGACUAACCAGCUACGGGCUACAACCUUGGACGCACACACAUACACUUUCCUAACAAACACAACCCGGGGGAAUUUUAUACUCGGCCAAUGCAUGCAUGCACAUCGCUGCCCACCUCCCUGAUCUAGGCACUAUCCAUCCGCUCGGCCCAGCCUUCACGACGCGCUCUACGCGUACGACCCGGCCGGCUACGAACGGAACGCUGCCGCCGUUUUGCUACUACCGCCAGCACUGGCGGAGCUACAUGUAAUGAAAAUGAGCCAUGGCCUGCCCAUUCCAAAGCUAAUACAGUGUAGGAUUAAAGUAAACUGAGUCACGAAAAAAAAUAUAAUGAUCUUCCUUCAUAUUGGCCCGCCCAGCUUUGACUGGGUAGCUCCGCCAACUACGACGGCCACGAGCAGGUAUACGCACGCCACACACACAUACGCACACAUGUAUACAUUGCCACGGCUUCCGCUGCGACCCGCGCGCACUCGACGCGUUUGAUGAGCCCGACCGCAUUAGUGUUUCCGCAUGUCCGGCGUGCAUUCAACGAGCCCGAUCAUACCACACGCCGUGGCUUACUGCAACACACACCCCCUAAGCCACGGCUUAAAGGAGUCCGUCGUCGUCGACGUUGGCGCCGGCCAAGAGAGCCUGUUCCGCCGCCGGUCCUUUCCGCAGCUGCGGGCACUCGUGUCGGAAGUGCCCGUGCUCCCCACACUUGUAGCAGCGUCUGCGCCUGUUGCCGCCGCUCCUCGACGCCACGCAGCGCCUGUCGUCGUCGUCCCGUGCUCCGCCGUGCUGUCGCUCCUGCGCCCGCCACUACGUCGCCGUGAACAGAAGUUGUCCGUCCGCCCGCUCGCCGCUGUCGUGCCGUCGACGCCGAACUUGCUCGUCGAACACGUGCAGCCACCCGAGCGCUUCGUCGAACACCAUCAUCGUCACGUCGUGAAACUGCUCGAUGCCGGCGACGACGGGGAAGAGCCGAUCCGACACCGUAUCCAGCAGCUUCUUGACGAGCGCCGCGUCGCCCAGCAUCUCUCCGAGGUUGGCGUACCUCGCCGCCAUCGCCGCGAGCCUCCCGUCGUACACACCGAGCUCCUCGCCGUCCGCCAUCUUCAGGUGGUCAAAUUCGCUGUGCAGCAUCGCCAGCCUCGCCGCACGGACCCGCUCGGCACCGAUGAACCUCACCUUCAGGGAGUCUCAUACCUCCCUGGCGGUGAGCUUCGUUGACACCUGCAGCAGCACAUCCUCCGACAACGCCCCGAGAAGCAACACGCGCGGCGUCUUGUCCUUCCGUGCGUUCGCCGCGGCGUCACCCGACGCCACCGCCUCCCGUACGGUGUGGACGUCGAGGAUCGCCUGCGCCUUGAUGGCCCAGACCGUGUAGUUGUCCGCGGUCAGUAUCAGCAUCGCCAUCAUCGCCGAUCCGACCGUCACCGCCGUGUGGAACGAGCGCCAUGGUCACCGGCGAUCGCCCGAACCGAAGCUCUCUAUACCAAUUGUUGGCGCAACCCUAGACUAGCUCUCUCUCACACCAGACAAAGGAUAGAGGUAGAAGAAGCACUUUUUUCUGACGACCAACGCCCCAGCGCUCAAACGCCUUGGUUUUUCUUUAUCUCUGGACUAACCAGCCACGGGCUACAACCUUGGACGCACACACACGCGCUCUCCUAACAAACUCAACCCGGGGGGAUUUUAUACUUGGCCGGUGCAUGCAUGCACAUCGCUGCCCACCUCCCCGAUCUACGCACUAUCCAUCUGCUCAGCCCGGCCUCCAGGACGCGCUCUACGCGUAUGACCCAGCUGGCUACGAACGAAACGCCGCGGCAGUUUUGCUACUACUGCCAGUCUAACUACGACGGCCACGAGCACGCACACGCACGCCACACACACAUACGCACACAUGUAUACUUUUCACGGCUUCCGCUGUGCCCCGCACGUCCCGCGCGCACUCGACGUGUUCGACGAGUCUGACCUAACCAGUGUGUCCUGCACGUCCCACGCGCAUCCGAUGCACCCAACAAGUCCGACCACAUCACACGCCGUGGCUUAUUCCAACACACGCCCACAUUUUAAAAUGGGUCAACUUAACCACCCAACAGGGAGGCCGACCCAAAUGUGCCGGCAUGGUCAAACACCGGCCAAAGUCCACUUAGUUCUAAUUAAACAUUAAAUAAAACAUUUAAAAGUCUGCGCCCGCCUGCUGCCGCCCCGCACGCUGCCCUAGACGUCGUCGGCCUUGCCCUUGCCCUUGCCGUCGACGCCGCCGUCGCCGGUGAAGACCGGAGCAAGGCCAGCCCACCCGAACACCGUGUGGUACGCUGCCAGGGCAGCCUCCUCCGGCGUCUGCUGGGGCGGCGACAUUGCGGCCAGCCACGCGCGCUCCUCUUCCUCCUCCUCGAGCCGGAGCGCCUCCGAGUCACGUUAGAGCAUGGCCUCGUAGCGCAUCUGCUCCUUGCCGUCGGCCUGCUCCUAGCGGAGCCAGUGCUCUUUCCAGCGCUCGAGGUGGGCCGCCUCCUACUCCGGCGUCGCGGCGAAGUGGACGGAAGGCGCGCUCACCCACUCGUGGUACUGUCCCGUCCACAAGUAGGCCUCCUCCGACCAAGUGGGUGGAGGCAGGGAGCGCUUCCGCGUCGGCUCCAGCUCCAGCUCCGGCUUGGGCGGCGACGUUGGCAGUGGCGGCACGAAGAGCGGGGUGUGGACGGAGUCCCCCGCUACCGACAGGGCAAGGGCUUGCUCCAGCCCAUCCCAGUGUGUGUCCUCCUCGAGGCGGCUAGCCUCCAGCGCGUGCUGCAGGGCCUCCUUGAGGGCGGCUUGGUACUCCGCCUCCGCCUCCAUGUCGUCCGGCUCUACCUGCGGGGUGGCGGUGGGAACGGCGGCGGGACGGCGUCGACACCCAAGCGCCGUUGCUCCUCGUGUUCGAGGGCGAACCAUGCCUCCCGGUUGAGGGAGUCGGCGGCGUACUUUGGCAGCCGACGCUGCUCCGGCGUGAGCUGCGCGCGACGCCUGUGCACCUCGUCGUUGUGCGCCCGCUGGCUCCGCGGAACCGCCGGUACCGGGAUCCGCUGCGGAUUCAGAUGCCAAUGGCGCAGAAGCGUGACAUCGGGGUACGGCAGCGGCUGCCUGUACUCCCAGUGCCACCGCGCUUGGUGCACCGGGAUGUGCAGGCGUCGAGGACUAGGGCGGAAACACGGCGCCACCGAAGGAGGAGGGGGAGCACGGGAGGAUGAGGAGCCGGGGGCGCCCUUGCCCUUGCCCUUGCUGCUGCCGAAGAGGCCCAUGGGUGCGCUAGGGUUUGCGGUUGCCGGCGAGGAAGCAAAGGGAGUGGUGGGGGCCAGAUGUGGACGGGAGAAGUGGAUGAGGCUGGCCCCCACCGCAUGCGUGGUUAAAAAAGGACGCUUCCACUGGCUGAUGCAUGGGCCCGCUGUCGGUGGUCGUCAUAAAUAAGACGACCGGUGGCGGUUGAGUGGCCUACAGGUGGGGAUGCGACGGACGGCGAGGAGAUGCGUGGCGCGUCCGCUUCGCGUCUGCAUCGACGCAUUCCAGACGCAAUUUUGGGUCGGAAAUGGGUCGGCGUGGACGCCAGGCAGACACGAUUUGAGUUUGGGUCGGCGUGUUAGGCCUUCACUUUUAUCCGCACCGACCCAAAUGGACGCGGGCGGACAAAAUGGGCCGCCCCAUUGGAGUUGCUCUUAUUGACGAUGACAAAAUCACAGAGACUCGCAUCUUGUCAUAACAAGAGAUUAAAUUAAAAAAAUAAUUCAUUAAAGAGAUCACACUUCUUUUGCGAGAAGAAAAAAACCAAAUAUUACCAAAGAUCCAAAACCGACUUCGUCUUGAAGGGAGACAAUAAUACAUGAUACUUUCAACUAGUCGUCAAUGAUUGGCAUAAGAAGAAGUGUAUUUUAGCCUCCAACAAGAUGACGGCCAGAUCGAAGGUGAGCUAAAAAUUAUAUCACCAAAUACUACAAAUCUUUGUUCGGCCCACCGGAUGAAGGGUAUUUCACUGUUGACAAAACUCGAAUAGAUAAUAUUCCACAAGUCACGGCAGAAGACAAAGAUAUAUUCAUGUCACAUUUCUUUGAAGAGGAGAUGAAAGCUGCGGUGUUUCAAAUGAAACAUAAUAAAGCUUCAGGCCCUGAUGGCUUCCCCGUAGAAUUCUAUUGGAAUUUUUGGGAUGUCAUCAAGACUAACUUAUUGAAAUUGUUCAAAUGUCUUCAUACCGCCCGACUUGACCUAUCCAGGCUUAACUUUGACGAAAUCGUUUUGUUGCUGAAAAUUAAGGAGGCUAACAACAUCUACAACCGCGAUGGUCAAAUCCGACCCCGCAAAGGCCCGCGGGCACUGACCGGGCAUGCCUCACAUUUGCCACUUUGAAUCUGUGUAUCUCAUAUCCGGCACCUUAUAUCCAUACUACACAUGCAGCGUUGAGCUACUCUACGUGAUCAAACAAUGGACAACAAAAAUCGGCUACAAACAAACACAAGAUUGGUUGCAAACGGACAUUAACAAACUUUGCAACAUCCAAAAGAUCAUUUUAGUUCGUCACCGGACAAGUUCUUAAACUUCUACAACUAAAAAUGAUAUAAACAUAUGAGGAGGGGGCGGAAUCACCACUUCCUCGCCGAGCCUUUGCCCUUCCGAUCGCCGGCGCAACUAUAGGCGUUCGCGGCUUGUGGAGGGCCGUGGUCGUCUGAGGAGGUGGUGCAGUUGUCGCCAUCGUCGGAGUCGGAGUUGGAGAGGACGAUGAGCCCCUUCAUCCAAUGAACGCCCUGUCCUACUCCCGCUUCAACUUGGCGACCCCAGCCACCUCUGCCGCUGCCUCCUUCGCCUCACGCUCCGACAGCUCAAUAGCAAGCCGGAGCACCUUGGCGUUCUUCCGUCGGAGGCAGCGAGCGUCAGUCUCUGCCGUCGUGAGGGACCGACUGUAGAUCCAUGCGAGGAGCCGCUCGUCCUCGUCGAGCACCACCUGCAUCCCGCGACGGCGGCAUGCAGACUGCUCCACCACAUCCCUCUCCAUUGCCUGCUACCUAUCACGAAGUGCGGCACGCACCUCCGAAUCCGGAGUGCGCAUGCGGGCCGACGGCGCGGGCACUAGCACCCACCGCUGCUCGCGUGGAGGAGCGAUCGGCGGGGGAGGAGACGGCGUGGGGGCAAUGCGGACUACGCGGUCCUGGCGGAGCUAAGCGCUGGCCGGGAGGGUCCAGCUUUGGCAUUCGCGCUGCACCAUCGCGGGAGCUGCGGCGAUGCUCCAGAUUCGAAGCUGUCGUCGGUGUCCACCUUGGACCAUUCCAAUGCAAUGUAGAGUGCUAUCUCCUACUUGUAGUCGAGGUUGGUGCCGGAGUCGCUGUCGGAACUGGACAUCGGAGUGGAUGGGAUCAGAAUCAUAGAGGGAAAGGAGAGGACGGAGUGAGAAAGAGAGUGAGCUAGGGUUUAGAGCGAGGCGCCCGGAUUGGGGUUUUUGUGGCACAAAUGUGGGGUCGGUGGUGGGUCGGGCCUGCCAGGCGGGCACAACAGGGCGUGCCCAGGCCUCCUCAUAUCUGCCCUAGAUUUACACUGGAAAUGAGGGGUGUCGGUCAGCCCGGGCGUUUGUCCGCAGUUUGAGAGGUCGGUUGGGUCAUUCUUUUUACCGGUCAUAGUGAUUGGAUGGCCUGCCCGGGCGUUUGAGACGGGUAUGAGAGGCCCGGAUGUAGAUGCUCUAAGCGGACACAACAAUAUAGAUCCAUAUGUUUGACACUGGAGCAUCUUUUCAUAUGACUCAUGAUUCAUCCACUUUGUCUUCUAUUCAUCCUCUUGAUUCUCGUGUGCAUGUCUUAGUGCUGAUGGUACCUCCCUCCCGGUUAAUGGUUGAGGCAUUCUUAGCACUUUGUGCUUUCAGGUUCCAGAUGUUGCUCAUGUUCCUCGACUUACCAUGCAACUCAUGUUCGAUAGUCAGAUUGUAGACACCGGUUGUCGGGUGAUUCUCGACUUCGACUCUUGCUCUGUUCUAGACCGUCAUGCUAGUGAUCUCCUUGGUGUUGGCCCCCGGCACUGUGACUCCCAGGGCCUCAUGGGAGCUUGAUUGGCUUCACCUUCCCUCCGCUGCCACUGCUGCUAGUCUCUCCUCCUCUGUUGCCUUGUCUACCAGCUCUUUUCAGUAGUGGCAUCAUCGCCUUGGGCACUUGUGUGUCUCUCGUCUCUCAUCCUUAGUUCGAUGUGUUCUUCUUGAUCCGUCUCCGACGGUGUGUCUUUAGACUGCCAGGGUUGUUGGCUUGGUAAAUAGGUCAAGUUACCUUAUCCUCAUAGUGACACUAUAUCUCAGCAUCCUUUCGACCUUGUUCACUCUGAUGUCUAGGGUCCAGCUCCCUUUGCCUCGAAAGGUGGUUAUCGCAAAUAUAUUAUCUUUAUAGAUGAUUUCUCUCGCCACACUUGGAUAUAUUUUAUGUCUUCUCGUAGUGAGGUUUUAUCUAUUUAUAAGUGUUUUGCUGCCAUCGUUCCCACUCAGUUCUAUAGGCCUAUUUGUGUGUUCCGUACUGACUUUGCUGGAGAGUGUAUCUCCAAGAUGUUGUGUGGGGUUCUCGCCAAGCGGGGUACUCUUGCUCAGUUUUCUUGUCCUGGUGCUCAUGCUCAGAAUGGCAUGGUUGAGCGCAAGCAUCGUCAACUUCUUGAGACGGCUCAUGCGAUGAUGAUCGCCGCCUCUCUUCCGCCUCCCUUUUGGGAUGAGGUUGUCUCCACUUCCACAUAUCUCAUCAACCUUCAGCCAUCCACUGCUCUGCAAGGUGGUGUUCUUUUCAAACAUCUCUUUGAUCGUUCUCCUGAUUACUCAGUGCUUCGUUUGUUUGGUUCUGUUUGCUAUGUCCUUCUAGCCCCAACUGUCCGCUCAGUCUGUUGAGUGUGUCUUCUGUUGGAAAUAUGCCCUAGAGGCAAUAAUAAAAUGGUUAUUAUUGUAUUUCCUUGUUCAUGAUAAUUGUCUAUUAUUCAUGCUAUAAUUGUAUUAACCGGAAACCGUAAUACAUGUGUGAAUACAUAGACCACAACAUGUCCCUAGUAAGCCUCUAGUUGACUAGCUCGUUGAUCAAUAGAUGGUCAUGGUUUCCUGACCAUGGACAUUGGAUGUCGUUGAUAACGGGAUCACAUCAUUAGGAGAAUGAUGUGAUGGACAAGACCCAAUCUUAAGCGUAGCACAAGAUCGUGUAGUUCGUUUGCUAAAGCUUUUCUAACGUCAAGUAUCAUUUCCUUAGACCAUGAGAUUGUGCAACUCCCGAAUACCAUAGGAAUGCUUUGAGUGCACCAAACGUCACAACGUAACUGGGUGGCUAUAAAGGUGCACUACAGGUAUCUCCAAAAGUGUCUGUUGGGUUGGCACGAAUCGAGACUGGGAUUUGUCACUCCGUAUGACGGAGAUGUAUCUCUGGGCCCACUCGGUAAUGCACCAUCAUAAUGAGCUCAUUAUGACUAAGUAGUUGGUCAUGGGAUCAUGCAUUACGGAACGAGUAAAGUGACUUGUUGGUAAUGAGAUUGAACGAGGUAUUGGGAUACCGACGAUCGAAUCUUGGGCAAGUAACGUACCGAUUGACAAAGGGAAUUGUAUACGGGAUUGCUUGAAUCCUUGACAUCGUGGUUCAUCCGAUGAGAUCAUCAUGGAACAUGUGGGAGCCAACAUGGGUAUCCAGAUCCCUCUAUUGGUUAUUGGCCGGAGAGUUGUCUCGGUCAUGUCUGCAUGAUUCCCGAACCCGUAGGGUCUACACACUUAAGGUCCGAUGACGCUGGGGUUAUAGGGAAAGUUUGUAUGUGGUUACCGAAUGUUGUUCGGAGUCCUGUAUGAGAUCCUAGACGUCACGAGGAGUUCCAGAAUGGUCCGGAGGUAAAGAAUAAUAUAUAGGAAGUGAGGUUUUGACCACCGGAAGUGUUUCGGGCGUCACCGUAAUGUACCGGGACCACCGGAGGGUUCCGGGGGUCCACCGGGAGGGGCCACCAGCCCCUGAGGCUUGCAUGGGCCAAGAGUGGGAAGGGACCAGCCCCUGAGUGGGCUGGUGCGCCUCCCACCAGGGCCCAAGGCGCAGCUAGGAGGAGAAAGGGGGAAACCCUAGGCGCAGAUGGGCCUAAGGCCCACCCUAGGGCGUGCCCCCUCUCCCUCUCUUGGCUGCCCCCCUCCAUCCCAUCUAGGGCUGCCACCCCCUAGGGGUGGGAACCCUAGAGGGGGCGCACCCUCCUCCCCUCCUCCUAUAAAUAGUGGGGUUUUGGGGCUGCCUAACACACGAGUCUCUCUCCCUCUUGGCGCAGCCCUACCCCUCCCCUCCUCGUCUCUUGGAGUGCUUGGCGAAGCCCUGCUGGCGUGCCACGCUCCUCCACCAUCACCACGCCGUUGUGCUGCUGCUGGACGGAGUCUUCCCCAAUCUCUCCCUCUCUCCUUGCUGGAUCAAGGCGCGGGAGACGUCACCGGGCUGUACGUGUGUUGAACGCGGAGGCGCCAUUGUUCGACGCUUAGAUCGGAAUCGACCGUGAUCUGAAUCGUUGUGUGUACGACUCCACCAACCACGUUCUUGUAAUGCUUCUGCUUAGCGAUCUUCAAGGGUACGCAGAUGCACUCCCUCUCUCUCGUUGCUAGUAUCUCCUAGAUUGAUCUUGGUGACACGUAGGAAAAUUUUGAAUUAUUUCUACGUUCCCCAACAGUGGCAUCAUGAGCUAGGUCUAUGCGUAGAUUCUAUGCAUGAGUAGAACACAAAGAAGUUGUGGGUGAUGAUUUGUUCAAUUUGCUUAUCGUUACUAGUCUUAUCUUGAUCCGGCGGCAUUGUGGGAUGAAGCGGCCCAGACCGACCUUACACGUACGCUUACGUGAGACUGGUUCCACCGACUGACAUGCACUUGAUGCAUAAGGUGGCUGGGGGGUGUCUGUCUCUCCCACUUUAGUCGGAUCGGAUUCGAUGAAAAGGGUCCUUAUGAAGGGUAAAUAGCAAUUGGCAUAUCACCGUUGUGGUUUUGCGUAGGUAAGAAACGUUCUUGCUAGAAACCCAUAGCAUCCACGUAAAACAUGCAACAAGAAUUAGAGGACGUCUAACUUGUUUUUGUGGGGUUUGCUAUGUGAUGUGAUAUGGCCAAAAGGAUGUGAUGAAUGAUAUAUGUGAUGUAUGAGAUUGAUCAUGUUCUUGUAAUAGGAAUCAUGACUUGCAUGUCGAUGAUUAUGACAACCGGCAGGAGCCAUAGGAGUUGUCUUAAUUUAUUUAUGACCUAUGUGUCAAUGAAAACGCCAUGUAAUUACUUUACUUUAUUGCUAUCCGUUAGCCAUAGUAGUAGAAGUAAUAGUUGGCGAGGCAACUUCAUGAAGACACGAUGAUGGAGAUCAUGAUGAUGGAGAUCAUGGUGUCAUGCCGGUGACGAUGGUGUUCAUGCCGCGCCUCGAAGAUGGAGAUCAAAGGCGCAAGAUGAUAUUGGCCAUAUCAUGUCACUUUAUGAUUUGCAUGUGAUGUUUGUCAUGUUUUUACAUCUUAUUUGCUUAGAACGACGGUAGCAUAAAUAAGAUGAUCCCUCGUUAAAAUAUCAAGAAUUGUGUUCCCCCUAACUGUGCACCGUUGCUAAGGUCCGUUGUUCCGAAGCACCAUGUGAUGAUCGGGUGUGAUAGGUUCUAACGUUCGCAUACAACGAGUGUAAGCCAGAUUACACACGCAAUACACUUAGGUUAACUUGACGAGCCUAGCAUGUACAGACAUGGCCUCAGAACACGGAAGACCGAAAGGUCGAACAUGAGUCGUAUAGUGGAUACGAUCAACAUGAAGAUGUUCACUGAUGAUGACUAGUCCAUCUCACGUGAUGAUCGGACACGGCCUAGUUGACUCAGAUCAUGUAUCAGUUAGAUGACUAGAGGGAUGUCUAUCUAAGUGGGAGUUCAUUGAAUAAUUUGAUUAGAUGAACUUAAUUAUCAUGAACGUAGUCAAAAGGUCUUUGCAAAUUAUGUCGUAGCUCACGCUUUGGUUCUACUGUUUUAGAUAUGUUCCUAGAGAAAAUUUAGUUGAGAGUUGAUAGUAGCAAUUAUGCAGACUGGGUUCGUGAACUGAGGAUUGUCCUCAUUGCUGCACAGAAGGGUUAUGUCCUUAAUGCACCGCUUAGUCUGUUGAACCUCGAGCGUCAUCUAUAUAUGUUGGGAAACAUCUGACAUACACGUUUUGAUGACUACGUGAUAGUUCAGUGCGUAAUACUAACGGUUUAGAAUUGUGGCACCAAAGACGUUUUUGAAACAUCACAGAACAUAUGAGAUGUUCCAAAGACUGAAAUUUGAAUUUCAGACUAGUGCCCACGUCAAGAGGUAUGAGACCUCUGACAAGUUUCUUAGCCUGCAAACUAAGGGAGAAAAGCUCAAUUGUUGAGCAUGUACUCAGAUUGUCUGAGUACUACAAUCGCUUGAAUCGGGUGUGAGUUAAUCUUCCAGAUGAGAUAGUGAUGGUUCUCCAUAGUCGCUGCCACCAAGCUAUUGGAGCUUCGUGAUGAACUAUAACAUAUCAGGGAUAGACAUGAUGAUCCUUGAGCAACUCACGAUGUUUGACACCGCGAAAGUAGAAAUCAAGUAGGAGCAUCAAUUGUUGAUGGUUAAACCACUAGUUUCAAGAAGGGCAAGGGAAAGAAGGGAUACUUCAUGAAACGGCAAAUCAGUUGCUGCUCUAGUGAAGAAACCCAAGGUUGAACCCAAACCCGAGACUAAGUGCUUCUAUAAUGAGGAGAACGGUUACUAAAGCAGAACUACCCUAGAUACUUGGUAGAUGAGAAGGCUGGCAAGGUCAACAGAAGUAUUUUGGAUAUAUGUUAUAUUAAUGUGUACUUUACUAGUACUCCUAGUAGCACCAGGGUAAUAAAUACCGGUACGGUUGCUAAGUGUUAGUAACUCGAAAUAAAAGGCUACGGAGACUAGCUAAAGGUGAGAUGACAAUAUGUUGGAAGUGUUUCCAAGGUUGAUGUGAUCAAACAUCACACGCUCCCUCUACCAUCGGGAUUGGUGUUGAACCGAAAUAAUUGUUAUUUGGUGUUUGCGUUGAGCAUAGACAUGAUUGGAUUAUGUUUAUCGCCAUACGGUUAUUCAUUUAAGGAGAAUAAUGGUUACUCUAUUUAUUUGAAUAAUACCUUCAAUGGUCUUGCACCUAAAAUGAAUGGUUUAUUGAAUCUCGAUCAUAGUGAUACACAUGUUCAUGCCAAAAGAUAUAAGAUAGUAAUGAUAUUACCACAUACUUGUGGCACUGCCAUUUGAGUCACGUUGGUAUAAAACGCAUGAAGAAGCUCCAUGUUGAUGGAUCUUUGGACUCACUCAUUUUUUUUAAAAGAUUGAGACAUGCGAACCAAGUCUAUUGGUAGAUAUGCAUGAAGAAACUCCAUACUGAUGGAUCGUUUGGACUCACUUGAUUUUGAAUCACUUGAGACAUGCAAAUCAUACCACAUGGGCAAGAUGACUGAAAGGCCUCGUUUUCAGUAAGAUGGAACAAGAAAGCAACUUGUUGGAAGUAAUACAUUUUGAUGUGUGCAGUCCAAUGAGUGCUGAGGUACGCAGUGGAUAUCGUUAUGUUCUUACUUCACAGAUAAUUUGAGUAGAUGAUGAGUAUAUUUACUUAAUGAAACACAAGUCUGAAUUAUUGAAAGGUUCAAGUAAUUUCAGAGUGAAGUUGAAGAUCGUCGUGACAAGAGGAUAAAAUGUCUAUGGUAUGAUCAUAGAGAUGAAUAUCUGAGUUACGAGUUUGGCACACAAUUAAGACAUUGUGGAAAUUGUUUCACAACUAAUACCGCCUAGACCACCAUAGUGUGAUGGUGUGUCCGAACAUCAUAACUGCACCCUAUUGGAUAUGGUGCAUACCAUGAUGUCUCUUAUCGAAUUACCACUAUCGUUCAUGGGUUAGGCAUUAGAGACAACCGCAUUCACUUUAAAUAGGGCACCACACAAUUCCGUUGAGACGACACCGUAUGAACUAUGGUUUAGAGAAACCUAAGCUGUCGUUUCUUAAAAGUUUGGGGCUGCGACGCUUAUGUGAAAAACUUUCAGGCUGAUAAGAUCAAACCCAAAGCAAAUAAAUGCAUCUUCAUAGAAUACCCAAAAAUAGUUGGGUAUACCUCCUAUUUCAGAUCCGGAAGCAAAAGUGGUUGUUUCUAGAAACGGGUCCUUUCGCGAGGAAAAGUUUCUCUCGAAAGAAUUGAGUGGGAGGAUGGUGGAGACUUGAUGAGGUUAUUGAACCGUUACUUCAACUAGUGUGUAGCAGGGCACAGGAAGUUGUUCCUGUGGCAUCUGCACCAAUUAAAGUGGAAGCAUAUGAUAGUGAUCAUGAAACUUCGGAUCAAGUCACUACCAAACCUUAUAGGUCGACAAGGAUGCGUACUACUUUAGAGAGGUACGUAAUCCUGUCUUGGAAGUCAUGUUGCUAGACAAAAAUGAACCUACGAGCUAUGGAGAAGCGAUGGUGGGCCCGGAUUCCGACGAAUGGCUCGAGGCCAUAAAAUCCGAGAGAGGAUCCAUGUAUAAAACAAAGUAUAGACUUUGAAAGAACUACUUGAUGGUCGUAAGGCUAUUGGGUGCUGAUGGAUUUUAAAAGGAAGACGGACAAUGAUGGUAAGUGCCACCAUUAAGAAAGCUCGACUUAUCGUUAAGAUGUUUCCCGACAAGUUCAAGGAGUUGACUACGAUGAGACUUUCUCACUCGUAGCGAUGCUAAGAGUCUGUUGGAAUUAUGUUAGCAGUUUCUGCAUUAUUUAUGAAAUCUUGCAGAUAGGAUGUCAAAACAUUGUUUCCUCGAUGAUUUUCUUGAGGGAAGGUUGUAUGUGAUACAACCAGAAGGUUUUGUCAGUCCUGAAAGAUGCUAACAAGUAUGCAAAGCUCCAGCAAUCCUUCUAAGGACUGGAGUAAGCAUCUCGGAAUUGGAAUGUACGCUUUGAUGAGAUGAUCAAAGAUUUCGGGUUUAUACAAAGUUUAUGAGAAACUUGUAUUUCCAAAGAAGUGAGUGGGAGCACUAUAGAAUUUUUGAUGAGUAUAUGUUGUUAACAUAUUGUUGAUCAGAAAUGAUGUAGAAUUUCUGGAAAGCAUGCUGGGUUAUUUGAAAAGUGUUUUUCAAUGGAAAACCUGGAUUAAGCUACUUGAACAUUUAGCAUCAAGAUCUAUAAGGAUAUAUCAAAAAUGCUUAAUAGUACUUUCAAAUGAAUACAUACCGUGACAAGAUUUUGAAGAAGUUCAAAAUAGAUCAACAAAGAAGGAGUUCUUGGCUGUGUUACAAGGUGUGAGUAUUGAGUAAGACUCAAGACCUGACCACGGCAGAAGAGAGAGAAAGGACGAAGGUCGUCCCCUAUGUUUUAGACAUAGGCUCUACAUUAUGCUAUGCUGUGUACCGCACCUGAAGUGUGCCUUGCCAUGAGUCAGUCAAGGGGUACAAGAGUGAUCCAGGAAUGGAUCACAUGACAACAGUCAAACUUAUCCUUAGUAACUAGUGGACUAAGGAAUUUUCUAGAUUAUGGAGGUGGUAAAAGAGUUCGUCGUAAAGGGUUACGUCGAUGGAAACUUUGACACUAAUUCGGAUGACUCUGAGUAGUAAACCGGAUUUGUAUAGUAGAGCAGUUAUUUGGAAUAGCUCAAAGUAGCGCGUGGUAGCUGCAUCUACAAGAUGACAUAGAGAUUUGCAAAGCACACAUGGAUCUGAAAGGUUCAGACCCAUUGACUAAUAAACCUCUCUCACAAGCAAGAUAUGAACAAACCCCAUGGGUGUUGGAUUCAUUACAAUCACAUAGUGAUGUGAACUAGAUUAUCGACUCUAGUGCAAGUGGGAGACUGUUGGAAAUAUGCCCUAGAGGCAAUAAUAAAAUGGUUAUUAUUGUAUUUCCUUGUUCAUGAUAAUUGUCUAUUACUCAUGCUAUAAUUGUAUUAACCGAAAACCGUAAUACAUGUGUGAAUACAUAGACCACAACAUGUCCCUAGUAAGCCUCUAGUUGACUAGCUCGUUGAUCAAUAGAUGGUCAUGGUUUCCUGACCAUGGACAUUGGAUGUCGUUGAUAACGGGACCACAUCAUUAGGAGAAUGAUGUGAUGGACGAGACCCAAUCUUAAGCGUAGCACAAGAUCGUGUAGUUUGUUUGCUAAAGCUUUUCUAAUGUCAAGUAUCAUUUCCUUAGACCAUGAGAUUGUGUAACUCCCGGAUACCGUAGGAAUGCUUUGGGUGCACCAAAUGUCACAACGUAACUGGGCGUCUAUAAAGGUGCACUACAGGUAUCUCCGAAAGUGUCUAUUGGGUUGGCACGAAUUGAGACUGGGAUUUGUCACUCCGUAUGACGGAGAGGUAUCUCUAGGCCAACUCGGUAAUGCAUCAUCAUAAUGAGCUCAUUGUGACUAAGUAGUUGGUCACAGGAUCAUGCAUUACGGAACGAGUAAAGUGACUUGCUGGUAACUGUGACGCCCUCGAUUCAAUCAUACACGCAAAUGUGUACGAUCAAGAUCAAGGACUCAUGGGAAGAUAUCACAACACAACUCUAGGCACAAAUUAAAAUAAUACAAGCUUUAUAUUACAAGCCAGGGGCCUCGAAGGCUAGAAUACAUAAGCUCGAAUACACAAGAGUCAGCGAAAGCAACAAUAUCUGAGUACAGACAUGAGUUAAACAAGAUUGCCUUAAGAAGGCUAGCACAAAAGCAACAACGAUCGGAAAGGCAAGGCCUCCUGCUUGGGAGCCUCCUAACUACUCCUAGUCGUCUACGGUCUUCACAUAGUAGUAGGCAUCCUCCGGGUAGUAGUAGUCAUCAGUGGCGUCGUCUGGCUCCUGGGCUCCGUCAUCUGGUCGCAAUAAUCGGGUAUGGGGGAAAAGAAGUAGCAAAGCAACCGUGAGUACUCAUCCAAAGUACUCGCAAGACUUACAUCAGAUCUAAACUAAGUAUGCAUCUGUAUCAAAGGAAUGGGUUGUAUCUGUGGACUAAACUGCAGAAUGCCAGAAGGGAAGGGACAAGCCUAGCCUAUCAAAGACUAGCAUCUUCUGGAAACCACCAUCUUGCAGCAACAGGAGGGAGUAGAGAAGCAUAAAGUAAAGUAGUAGAAGUGUUAUCAACCUCAGCUAGAGAUCCUUUCUCGACUCCCUGCGAGAAAGCAAUCCCAGAGCCAUACUAUCCAGUUAUCAUCUCAUAUCCAAGUCUCAUCACAAUCCAUUUCUCAUCACAAGUAUCCAGUUCUAGUUGUAUCGAUCGGGGUACAACUCCAAGUGUCCGUUACCGUAGGACAGGCUAUCGAUAGAUGUUUUCUUCCCUGCAGGGGUGAACCAACUUACCCACCACGCUCGAUUAACUUUGGACGGACACACUUUCCUGGGUCAUGCCCGGCCUCGGCCAAACAAUACGCCGCAACCCGACCUAGGCUUAAUAGAGAGGCCAGCUGAUAGAGGCUAAGGUGUCCCGAUGUUUCGAUGAGAUGGUGGCUAUCGUUUUCUGUGGGAGUCGACCUUGACGAUCCGACUACGAACAUGCGAGACGUCGCGCCUUAGCAAUCGCUAAACCAACUUCCGAGGGUUAUUGACCACGCCGGAGCACGAUCAACCUGACCACGAGGGUCUGUUUCCUGCGAGCAAACGAAGAACAAGCAAGAAACUGAGAUUGCAAUCGGGAUAUUGCGAAUAUAAGAUGAAAGCUUUAUUGAUCAAGGUGGGGUUCUGUGACGUCUUGGUCUGGUCGUUGGACACAAACGAAGUACGCGAAGUUGCACCUAUGGCGAACUUUUAAUCUAAACAAAACCCAAAGUCUAAACGACGCCCUAAGGGCUGUAUAUAUGGAGGAAGAGGGGGGAAUUUCGUGGCCCUUGAGGGUGGGGUCCGAAACCAACCCUAACUCUUGUUUCCCCACACAUACGGACUCUAAAAAUAGCCUAUACUUAAGUAUUUCGAAAUUACAUGGGCCUGGCCCAUUAAUAAGGUGACGCAGCACCUAGAAUAGCCUAUGGACGAAUAUUAUGAAGUGGCAUCUUGUAUAUUUCGUCCAAGGCUUCAUGCACUCCUUAUGGCGGCUUCAAAGUCCUGAAAUCAUCACUUGUAACUCCGUUCUUGAUCCCCUUGCGCAUGCCAUCAACUCCAUGCGUGUUCUUGCUCCAAUGUUCAUCCUUCUCCAAGCUAGGCCCUUCAUUUGUAAGCAAAACAAAUGUAUCCAAUUUAGGCAGCAUCAUAAUCUCAUGAACAUUAGAAUCAUUACCAAGAAACGAAAGUACCUGGUAAUUUAAUUGGCGUGCGCGAGCUCUAGUAAUUGGUCCAGUAUAUGUAACAGUAGGGGAUGUGGGUGUAACAAUAGUAUUGAUGUCCUCAUCAUCCUCCCCUUCUUGAAAUGAAGUCGUCCUCGACGGAAGCACAUCUUCCUCACCCAAAUAAGGCUUCAAAUCUGCAAUGUUAAAAGUGGGACUAACCCCAAAAUCUACAGGUAGCUCAAGUUUAUAUGUAUUAUCAUUUAUUUUCUCUAACACCUUAAAAGGACCAUUAGCACGUGGCAUUAGCUUUGAUUUGCGCAGAUUAGGAAAUCUAUCUUUACGCAAAUGUAACCAAACAAGAUCUCCAGGCGCAAACACAACAUGUUUUCUACCCUUAUCUCUAGCAAGUUUAUAUUUAGCAUUCAUACGCUCAAUGUUUUCCUUAGUUAACUCAUGCAUUUUUACAAUCAAUUCAGAACGUUCUUUAGCAUCAAAAUUAACCUUCUCUGAAGAUGGAAGAGGCAACAAAUCAAUAGGUGCACGAGGUAGGAAACCAUACACAAUUUCAAAAGGGCACAUCUUAGUAGUAGAAUGCAAUGAACGAUUAUAAGCAAAUUCAAUAUGAGGCAAGCAUUCUUCCCACAUUUUCUUGUUAUUCUUCAAAACAGCCCUAAGCAUAGUAGACAAUGUUCUAUUGACUACUUCAGUUUGUCCAUCAGUUUGGGGGUGACAAGUAGUACUAAAAAGCAGCUUAGUCCCCAACUUAGCCCAUAAACAUCUCCAGAAGUGGCUAAGAAAUUUAGUAUCACGAUCUGAAACAAUAGUAUUUGGCACACCAUGUAAGCGAAUAAUUUCACGAAAGAACAAAUCAGCAACAUUAACAACAUCAUCGCUUUUAUGACAUGGUAUAAAGUGUGCCAUUUUCGAGAACCUAUCCACGACAACAAAUAUGCUAUCCCUCCCCUUCUUUGUUCGAGGUAAACCUAAAACAAAGUCCAUAGAUAUAUCCUCCCAAGGAACACUAGGUACAAGCAAAGGCAUAUAUAAACCAUGAGGAUUGAGUCGUGACUUAGCUCUUUGACAUGUAGUGCAGCGAGCAACAAAACACUCAACAUCCCGUCUCAUCUUUGGCCAAAAGAAAUGUGUAGCAAGUAUAUCCUCCGUCUUCUUGACGCCAAAGUGUCCCAUUAAUCCUCCUCCAUGCGCCUCCUGCAACAACAAAAGACGAACGGAGCUAGCUGGAAUGCAUAGCUUGUUAGCACGAAACACAAAUCCAUCGUUAAGAACGAACUUGUUCCAAGUUCUCCCUUCCUUACAAUUCUGCAAUACAUCUCUAAAUUCAGCAUCAUGAACAUAUUGAUCUUUGAUGGUCUCCAAACCAAAUAUUUUAAAGUCAAGUUGUGAAAGCAUAGUAUAACGACGAGACAAGGCAUCAGCAAUAACUUUUUCUUUACCCUUCUUGUGUUUAAUGACAUAAGGGAAAGUCUCAAUGAAUUCAACCCAUUUAGCAUGUCUACGGUUCAGUUUUGCUUGACUUUUAAUGUGUUUCAAAGAUUCAUGAUCAGAAUGUAUAACAAAUUCCUUGGGCCAUAAAUAAUGUUGCCAUGUUUCUAAGGUCCGAACAAGAGCAUAUAAUUCUCUAUCAUAAGUAGAAUAGUUCAGACUAGGCCCACUCAAUUUUUCAGAAAAGUAUGCAACAGGUUUUCCAUCUUGUAAUAACACACCUCCUAAUCCAAUUCCACUAGCAUCACAUUCAAGCUCAAAAGUCUUAUUGAAAUUAGGAAGUUGGAGUAAAGGAGCAUGUGUCAACUUAUCUUUCAAUACCGUGAAAGCUUCUUCCUGUGCGGUACCCCAAACAAAAGGCACAUCCUUCUUUGUAAGCUCGUUGAGAGGUGCAGCAAUGGUGCCGAAAUCUCUCACAAAACGCCUAUAGAAACCAGCGAGGCCAAGGAAACUCCUCACUUGUGUGACCGUUUUGGGCCGCGGCCAACUCUCAAUAGCUUCAAUCUUGGGUUUAUCAACUUCAAUUCCCUGUGGAGUAACAACAUAGCCAAGAAAAGAUACUCGGUCGGUGCAAAAGGUGCACUUUCCAAGGUUUCCAAACAAAUGUGCAUCACGUAGAGCAAUAAAAACAGCAUGCAAAUGUUCCAAAUGUUCCUCCAAAGAUUUGCUAUAAAUCAAUAUGUCAUCAAAGUAAACUACCACAAAUCGUCCAAUGAAAGCACGUAAAACUUCGUUCAUUAACCUCAUGAAAGUACUAGGUGCAUUAGUUAACCCAAAAGGCAUGACUAACCACUCAUAUAAUCCAAACUUAGUUUUAAAUGCUGUUUUCCAUUCAUCACCCAAUUUCAUACGAAUUUGAUGGUAUCCACUAUGCAAAUCAACUUUGGAGAAUAUUGUAGAGCCACUCAAUUCAUCAAGCAUAUCAUCUAGCCUAGGAAUAGGAUGACGAUAACGAAUAGUAAUAUUAUUAAUGCCUCUACAAUCAACGCACAUACGUGACGUACCAUCCUUUUUCGGCACUAAAAUGAUAGGAACAGCACAAGGACUAAGGGAUUCACGUAUAUAACCUUUGUCGAGCAGUUCUUGUACUUGACGCAUAAUCUCCUUCGUCUCCUCUGGAUUGGUACGGUAUGGUGCACGGUUGGGUAGCGAAGCACCGGGAAUUAAGUCAAUUUGAUGCUCAAUCCCUCGAAUAGGUGGUAAUCCCGGUGGCACGUCUUGUGGAAAGACGUCAGCGAACUCCUGCAAAAUGUUAGUGACAGCAGGGGGCAAAGAGGAAGGCACGUCCUCGAAUGAAAAUAGUGCCUCUUUGCACACAAAAGCAUAGCAAACAGAUUUGCUAAAAUCUAGCUCAUCAAAUCAGAUUUGGUGGCAAGUAAACAUGCACUUUUCAAUUUAAUUUCAGAAACAACAGUAGAUGGUUUAUUAUUAGGCUUCAUUUGGUGCUCAAAUUCUUUUGCCACAAUCUGAUUUUCACUCUUAUUUGUCUCCUGUUUUGCUUUAUUAGCUCUAUUAAUAUCAUCUUUCAAAAUGGAAUCAGGAGUCAUAGGAAGCAAAGUAAUAUUUUUAUCGUUAUGAACAAGAGUAUACUGAUUGUUUCUACCAUGGUGUACAGAAUUUUUAUCAAAUUGCCAUGGUCUACCAAGUAAUAAGGAACAUGCUUGCAUAGGUACCACAUCACAAUCAACAUAAUCAGCAUAUGUAGAGAUACUAAAAUGCACACGAACAGUACGUGUUACCUUAACCUUGCCGCUGUUGUUGAACCAUUGGAUGUAGUAAGGAUGUGGAUGUGGUCUUGUGGUGAGAGAAAGCUUCUCCACCAUCUCCAUGCUAGCCAAGUUGUUGCAGCUCCCUCCGUCUAUGAUGACGCGCACAGAACGUUCCUUCACAACUCCCUUGGUAUGGAACAAAUUGUGCCUCUGAUUUUGCUCAGCUUGUGUGACCUGCACACUCAAAACAUGUUGAGCAACUAAACAUUCAUACCUGUCAGCGUCUUCAGGAGCCAUGUAUUGCGUCUCAUGAUCAGAAUCAUCUCCAUCAUGUUCUUCACGUGUAAUAAGAGCCAAAGUCUCCUCAUCAUAGUCACUAGCGGACUCAUAUCCACCAUCCGCGGUAGCAAUCAUCACACGCGGAGAUUUGCAUUCUCUCGCAUAAUGACCUCCUCCCUUACAACGACGACAAAUAAUAUCACUUGUGUGCCCUGUUGAUGCCAUGGAAGAAGAAGAACGCUGUGCAGGCCCCGCAGGUGCGCUCUUGGCAGAUAAUGGUGGUUGUGCCUGUUUUCUUGUAUCACGGCUGGAGGUGGCACCGGAUGGAGGCGCUGGUGCGGUUGAAGUAGAAGAUGCACGUGGUGUCCAUGAUGAAGGUCGGCCUGCAGAAAAGUUAGUUCGCCCCAAUGCUUGUCGAUCCUGCACUUCACGUUCAGCUUUACAAGCAAGAUGGAAUAAACGAGUGAUAUUAGUAUACUCCUUAUAGUCUAGAAUGGUCUGAAUCUCUCUAUUUAAUCCACCCAGAAAAUGUGCAAGCAUAGCUUCAUUCUCCUCAACAAUACCACAUCUAAUCAUGCCAGUUUGUAAUUCCUGAUAAUAUUCUUCUACAGAAUUUUUCCCUUGUCUUAAACGCUGCAAUUUUUGAAGCAAUUCACGUUGAUAAUAUGGUGGAACCCAACGCGUACGCAUAGCAGUUUUCAAAGCAGCCCAAGUAGUUGGAAUAGGAUAUAAUCUACAAUGUUCAGCCCAAAGAUCUGCUAUAAAUCAAUAUGUCAUCAAAGUAAACUACCACAAAUCGUCCAAUGAAAGCACGUAAAACUUCGUUCGUUAAUCUCAUGAAAGUACUAGGUGCAUUAGUUAACCCAAAAGGCAUGACUAACCACUCAUAUAAUCCAAACUUAGUUUUGAAUGCUGUUUUCCAUUCAUCUCCCAAUUUCAUACGAAUUUGAUGGUAUCCACUACGCAAAUCAACUUUGGAGAAUAUUGUAGAGCCACUCAAUUCAUCAAGCAUAUCAUCUAGCCUAGGAAUAGGAUGACGAUAACGAAUAGUAAUAUUAUUAAUGCCUCUACAAUCAACACACAUACGUGAUGUACCAUCCUUUUUCGGCACUAGAAUAAUAGGAACAGCACAAGGACUAAGGGAUUCGCGUAUAUAACCUUUGUCGAUAAGCUCUUGUACUUGACGCAUAAUCUCCUUCGUCUCCUCUGGAUUGGUACGGUAUGGUGCACGGUUUGGCAGUGAAGCACCGGGAAUUAAGUCAAUCUGAUGCUCAAUCCCUCGAAUAGGCGGUAAUCCCGGUGGCACGUCUUGUGGAAAAACGUCAGCGAACUCCUGCAAAAUGUUAGUGACAGCAAGAGGCAAAGAGGAAGGCACGUCCUCGAAUGAAAAUAAUGCCUCUUUGCACACAAAAGCAUAGCAAACAGAUUUGCUGAAAUCUAGCUCAUCAAUAUCAGAUUUGGUGGCAAAUAAACAUGCACUUUUCAAUUUAAUUUCAGAAGCAACACUAGAUGGUUUAUUAUUAGGUUUCAUUUGUUGCUCAAAUUCUUUUGCCACAAUCUGAUUUUCACUCUUAUUCUUCUCCUGUUGUGCUUUAUUAGCUCUAUUAAUAUCAUCUUUCAAAAUGGAAUCAGGAGUCAUAGGAAGCAAAGUAAUAUUUUUAUCCUUAUGAACAAGAGUAUAGUGAUUGUUUCUACCAUGGUGUACAGAAUUUUUAUCAAAUUGCCAUGGUCUACCAAGUAAUAAGGAACAUGCUUGCAUAGGUACCACAUCACAAUCAACAUAAUCAACAUAUGUAGAGAUACUAAAAUGCACACGAACAGUACGUGUUACCUUAACCUUGCCGCUGUUGUUGAACCAUUGGAUGUAGUAAGGAUGUGGAUGUGGUCUUGUGGUGAGAGAUAGCUUCUCCACCAUCUCCAUGCUAGCCAAGUUAUUGCAGCUCCCUCCAUCUAUGAUCACGCGAACAGAACGUUCCUUCACAACUCCCUUUGUAUGGAACAAAUUAUGCCUCUGAUUUUGCUCAGCUUGUGUAACCUGCACACUCAAAACACGUUGAGCAACUAAACAUUCAUACCUGUCAGCAUCUUCAGGAGCCAUGUAUUGCGUCUCAUGAUCAGAAUCGUCUCCACCGUGUUCUUCACGUGUAAUAAGAGCCAAAGUCUCCUCAUCAUAGUCACUAGCGGACUCAUACCCACCAUCCUCAGUAACAAUCAUCACAUGCUUAGAUGGACAUUCUCUCGCAUAAUGACCUCCACCCUUGCAACAUCGACAAAUAAUAUCAUGUGUUUGCCCUGUUGAUGCCAUGGAUGAAGAAGAGCUCUUUGCAGGCCCAGAAGGUGUGCUCUUGGCAGAUAGUGGUGAUUGUGCCUGCUUUAUUGUAUCACGGUUGGAGGUGGCAGCCGAUGGAGGCUCCGGUGUAGCAGAACGUGUGGAAGUAGAUGAUGCACGUGGUCUCCAUGAUGAAGGUCGACCUGCAGAAAAGUUACUCCGCACCAAUGCCUGUCGAUCCUGCACUUCACGUUCAGCUUUACAAGCAAGAUGGAAUAAACGAGUGAUAUUAGUAUACUCCUUAUACUCUAGAAUCAUCUGAAUCUCUCUAUUUAAUCCAUCCAUAAAACGUGCAAGCAUAGCUUCAUUCUCCUCAACAAUACCACAUCUAAUCAUGCCAGUUUGUAAUUCCUGAUAAUAUUCUUCUACAGAAUUUUUUCCCUGUCUUAAGCGCUGCAAUUUUUGAAGUAAUUCACGUUGAUAAUAUGGUGGAACCCAACGAAUACGCAUAUCAGUUUUCAAAGCAGCCCAAGUAGCCGGAAUAGGAUAUAAUCUACAAUGCUCAGACCACCAAACACAUGCAAAACUAGUGAAAGCACAAACAGCAGCAGGAACACGUCUCUCCUCGGGAUAUUGUAAACAUGUAAAUCGUUGUUCAGUUUCUAACUCCCAAGUAAGAUAUAUAUCAGGAACAUAUCUACCCUCAGAUGGUGGAAUAUUCAAUUUUAGUUUAGGGAGAUGGUCAUGAUCUCGUACCUGAGGGUGAGCCCUACCAUUGCCAUUAUUUGCAUGUGGACGACCUGGUGGUUGCUGUGCUGGUGGUGGCACGUAGUUCUGAUUUUGAUCAACCUCAUCCUCAUAAUCUCCCACAUAAUCAUCCUCCUCCACAUAAGCAGUAAGAGCCACAGAAGUAUCAACAGCAGCACCAGCAGUUUGGCCCGACUAAAGAGGGACACGGCUCGCUCGGCGGAGGGCUGUUUCCCGACGUGGAGGUAGUCGAUAUUGUUGCUGUUGUUGCAGAGGUGCGGCAGGAGCAACCGGUGGUGGUGGUGGAAGACGCGAAAGCAAUUCAGCAAACUUGUUAUCGAGCUUUGUUUCAAACGUCUUCUCCAUGCCAUCUAUCUUCUCCAUGGCCUCUUCAAAUCUGUUUAUCACAUCUUGCACCUGUCCACUCAUCAUUUGCUGAAACGUAUCAUGAAGCUCCUUGUUCGUCAAGUUCUCCCAGUCAGUCUCGUCGACUUGUGAUCCUGGCAUGGUUAGCAACAAUAGAAACACACAAGAAUAUGAUCCUACAGACUACUAACAAGUGGUGGUGGUGGCGGGUGUCACAAAUCCGUCAAGCAAAUCUCAAAUUCUUACCAGUUCUUACCCAGCAGCAGGCGGUGAUCGGCAACCGUUGUAGUCAAAACUCUCAAAAGCUUGGAUAGAGCGAUUGCCAGGGAGAGUCAUACGCACGACGUAGAUGUAUGUUGAGCUGGGAAGGCUUAUAGUAUGGUAGCAAAAAGGGUCAGCAAUAAUCAAUUCAGAGAUGCAAAGUUGAAUAAACGCUCAACGACGGUACUGUGCUGGUCCUAGGCUAGACCGUGCUAGAGACGCGAGCCUAGAACACUAACAAAAUCACGGCGCUGCACGUAAAUAAGGGAAAAGCACACUCUGGAACUCUCUUUUUUCGCUCUUUUUUUUUCGCUCCUUUUUUUUGCGCUCUUUUUUUUGCGAAAAAUCACUAUAAUGGCGAGUGUCUCAAAACUCUUCCCUCGUCAAACUGAUAGGAUGGGCACGAAUUUUUUUUUCACUUUUUUUCGGAAAUCAGGGCAGCGACGACGAAGAAGUGUGACAAAAAAUCACUAUGAUGGCACGUGGCUCAAAAGACUCAGAAAAGCCUAAAAAUAGGAUAGGAAAAAAAAUUUGCCUGUGAAAUUUUUGGCCUAAAAACUGCUCGGGGGUCUCCAGACUUUUUUUUCGAGACCUACGCAGGCAAGGAAACACGAAACGGAAUUUAGAUUGAUCUCAAGAACAAACCUAAUAUGAGAAGAACUCGGAUUGGUGGUGGAUAUAUGGUUGUGGUAUAUGGCAGCGCUGGUGGUAUAUGGUAGCGGUGGUGGUAUAUGGAUACAGAUUGGUGGUGGUAUAUGGAUAUGGAUUCAGAGCGGUGGCGGAGAAGCAAAAGUGGUAGAUGGGCGAUGAUGAUGGUGCGGCGGCGGCGUGACAACUUAUGACCAGAACUCGAAACUCUAAAAGACUAGACUCUAAGACCAGCAACUUGACACGACGAUGCAACCGCAAAUUCAACAAAGCAAAAACCCUAAAAAGAUUAUGCAAAGGCUCAGAUUGGUUCGGAUAUGAUGAACUAACCGUAAUUUCUUUUCUGGCUUUUUCGUGGACUGUAGGUAUGAAGAACAGACUUGAUCUAAUCUAUGAAAAACUGUAAAAUCUCACCGAGCAACCUGGAAAUCUGAUACCACUUGAUAGAGGCUAAGGUGUCCCGAUGUUUCGAUGAGAUGGUGGCUAUCGUUUUCUGUGGGAGUCGACCUUGACGAUCCGACUACGAACGUGCGAGACGUCGCGCCUUAGCAAUCGCUAAACCAACUUCCGAGGGUUAUUGACCAUGCCGGAGCACGAUCAACCUGACCACGAGGGUCUGUUUCCUACGAGCAAACGAAGAACAAGCAAGAAACUGAGAUUGCAAUCGGGAUAUUGCGAAUAUAAGAUGAAAGCUUUAUUGAUCAAGGUGGGGUUCUGUGACGUCUUGGUCUGGUCGUUGGACACAAAGGAAGUACGCGAAGUUGCAGCUAUGGCGAACUUUUAAUCUAAACAAAACCCAAAGUCUAAACGACGCCCUAAGGGCUGUAUAUAUGGAGGAAGAGGGGGGAAUUUCGUGGCCCUUGAGGGUGGGGUCCGAAACCAACCCUAACUCUUGUUUCCCCACACAUACGGACUCUAAAAAUAGCCUAUACUUAAGUAUUUCGAAAUUACAUGGGCCUGGCCCAUUAAUAAGGUGACGCAGCACCUAGAAUAGCCUAUGGACGAAUAUUAUGAAGUGGCAUCUUGUAUAUUUCGUCCAAGGCUUCAUGCACUCCUUAUGGUGGCUUCAAAGUCCUGAAAUCAUCACUUGUAACUCCAUUCUUGAUCCCCUUACGCAUGCCAUCAACUCCAUGCGUGUUCUUGCUCCAAUGUUCAUCCUUCUCCAAGCUAGGCCCUUCAUUUGUAAGCAAAACAAAUGUAUCCAAUUUAGGCAGCAUCAUAAUCUCAUGAACAUUAGAAUCAUUACCAAGAAACGAAAGUACCUGGUAAUUUAAUUGGCGUGCGCGAGCUCUAGUAAUUGGUCCAGUAUAUGUAACAGUAGGGGCUGUGGGUGUAACAAUGGUAUUGAUGUCCUCAUCACCAGCACGCCGGACUAAACCUAUGCCUCCAGGGGUCAUGGGCCAUCUCCCCAGGAACUCCUGCACGUUGCGUGGGCGGCCGGUGAGCAGACCUAGCUACCUCCUUCAACAAGGCAGGUGCUUACGUAGUCCAACCCGACGCGCACCGCUCAGUCGCUGACGUCUAUUAAGCUUCGGCUGAUGUAUAUGACGCAGAACGCCCAUACUAUGCCCACGUGAUGGUUAGUGCUAUCAGGCCAGAGGCCCCUCGGAUCAAAUAUCCAAAUCGUAGCGGAUUAGGAACGCGCGGUAACGAGUAGAGACUCACGAUCGAUGUGACCCCGUCGCCCUGUCUCGAGUACUUGCGGUAAGGGCUAAGAAUGCCCGGCCACGCCUCGUAAGUAUCUCGCGGGCACCUUCCAGGCCAACCCGACUCCACAUCACUCGCAAUUAAGCUUGCGUAGGUACCACUGAGGGUCGACCCGUCUUUAGUAAUAUGGUUCAGUGCAAAUUCAUAGUAACCAUAGCAAUUGUGUGUCUAACACCCCGGUGAAUUCCACUCGAUGUUGUCAUCAAGGUGAACGUAAGAGGAUCCACCCUCGAGGUUCACGUUUGAUGGGUUGCAUGACAGAGCCGUAACGGAAGUGGUUAAGGAGGAAAUCACCCUCGAUGACCUUGACCGUAAAGGUACACUACGGAGAUCUCAUCAGGAGUGAUGUAAGAGGUUCCACCCUCGGCACUCGAUGGUAACUCUGCAGAGUCAUACAACUAGGGGGGUGAUGUGCGGUGUCGGGGCCUAGACGUCGAUCACGUUGAUCGAGUCAUCAAACAUAAAGCGGGGCAACUGGGACAAGGUGGGGGUCACUGAUGGAUCACUAACCAUCCUAUACUAAGCAGUUUAGGAUAAGCAGGUAAGGUAAGAAAGCAGGUAACAACAACAGGCUAUGCAUCAGAGUAGGAUCAUACAUAAAGCAGUAGCAGUUCUAAUGCAAGCAUGAGAGGGAAAGAAAUGGGCGAUAUCAGAAUGCUCAAGGGGGGUUUGCUUGCCUGGUUGCUCUGGCAAGGAGGGGUCAUCGUCGACAUAGUCGAUCACAGGGGCAACAUCAGUCUCGGGGUCUACUGGAGAGAAGAGGGGGAAGAAACAGUAAAUACAGAGGAAACAAUGCAUCACAAGGCAUAGCAUGACGAUAGGCAGAGCUAGGUUUGCCCUAACGUAAUACUACACGUUGCAGACGGAGGGAAUAAACAUCCGAGGAUGAAUUCCCGGCGUUAGGCGGAUUCCGGACAAAUGAAAGAGAGGGGACGGUUCCAUGUUCAUCAUGCUAGGGGCAUGUGACGGGUGAAAGGACCGCACAUUUGGAUUAGUUGGAUUUUUCUGAGCAACUUUCAUGUAGAAAACAUUUUCAUCGGAGUUACGGAUUAUUUUCUAUGAAUUUCUAAAGAUUUUCUUAUUUUCUGGAUUUAUUUUAUUUACAGAAAAUGAUAUAGCAUGAUGUCACUGUGACAUCAGCAGGUCAACAGACGGCUGACCAGGUCAAACCUGACACGUGGGUCUAGUGGGACCCACCUGUCAACCUCUGUGACUUUAACAGUGUUAAUUUAGACUAACAUAGGGUUAAUUAGAGGGUGGGCCCCCCUUGUCAGUGCCUCAUUUAGUUAACUAAUUUGUUUUCGUUUACUAAACAUUUUAGUUAAUUAACUAGGCGGUGGGGCCCGCAUGUCAGAGACACGGGGCUGCCACGUUAGCAGUUGACUGGGUCAACCCAGUCAACUAGGACCCGCGGGGCCCUCUAGCAGUGGCUCUGGGGUGGCCCCAGGCCAGCCACGUCGGCGGUGGCCGGCGGCUCGACGCCAGCGACGCCAAAAUGCAGCGGAGGGCCUCGGGCCUCGUCGGAUUUUGCCCACAAGCGACCAUUUCACGCGCGCUAGGGUGCGUUCGAACGAGCAGAGCAGCGCACGUCGAACUGCGGUGGUGGCCCGGCCGGAAAAGGCCGGUGACGUCGACGACAAGCGGCGGAGGCGGCGCCGGAGUUCGGGCGCGAGCGGAUUCAGCGUUAGAGCAUGCGAGCGGUCAAACUAACUAACUAUGCGGGGUCUACGGCGCUCCAGGAGCUCGUCGGAGCUACUAGCUUGAGCGGAGAAGCUCGGUGGCAAGCCCUACGACGGCAAUGGAGGACGGCGGAGCUCGGCUUGCGAGCGAGCUAGCUACAGCGAAAAUCACGGCGCGAGGAGAGGAAAGGAGGAAGGGAGGAGCUCACCGUGCGGCCAAGAAAGGCCCGUGCGAGCUUAGGAGCAGCAGCAUUGGACAGAGACGACGGCGAGCGCCGGCAACCGAGAAGGGGAGGUGAGGUCGAUCCCGAGCAUGCGGUCGUUCCCGAGCUCGGUGACGAGGUGUAGUCGAGGCAGCCGAGCGAGGCGGAGCGGUAGGGCGGGUCGACGAGGCGAUCGGGAGGCGGUGGCCGCGGGAUCGACGGCGGCGCGUCGACGACCACGCACGGGCGAACGAGACAGAGAGGAAGAGGGGCGAACGAGGGGAGUAGGAGCGCUAGGGUUUGUCGACGGUGGGAGAGAGAGCCGGGGCGCGCCUUAUCCACGCUGGGGAGCGGCGGAUGGCCGGCACGUGGUCAUCUGCGGCGACGGACGUGCCUCGGUCGACCACCGCACGGGGAUGAACAGGAGGUAGGGGAAGGGGUAAGUGGGCCGGCCUGCUGGGUUUGCCCUGGUGGGCUAGAGCCCAGGGGAACAGGGAAGGGGGCUUCUUUUUCUUUUACUUUUGCUCUUUUCUUUUUACAGAAAGGGGUUUAGUAAUAUUUUGAGCUUCCAUAAGAUUUUGCAAAAAUGUGAAACUUGGUCUCAUAAUUACUUUGCAAUAUCCAGCACUGCCACAAAAGGUUUGGGCAUUUUUGGAGUUCAAUUGAAUUUACACAAUAAAGAAAAGGGCAUUUUAAAGGCUAUUUUUGCUCUGUUAAAAUGCAUUAGGACCAUUUAGAGUUGAUGAUGAUGUUGUGUUCCUUAACAAAUAAUUGUUAUGGAAUUUUUGAAAAAUGAUGAACAUUUUUCCAGCAACCUUUGAGCAACUUCAAACUUCACUUGAAUUUGAAUUGACUGGAAUUUCAAAUGGGAUAUUGAACAGAGGUGAUUAAGCACUGUUUGGAAAAAUGAUUAGUUUAAUCACAGAGGGUUACUGUAGCAUGACACUGGGGGUGUUACAGUAACGAGAUUGAACGAGGUAUUGGGAUACCGACGAUUGAAUCUCGGGCAAGUAACGUACCGAUUGACAAAGGGAAUUGUAUACGGGAUUGGUUGAAUCCUCGACAUCGUGGUUCAACCGAUGAGAUCAUCGUGGAACAUGUGUGAGCCAACAUGGGUAUCCAGAUCCCGCUGUUGGUUAUUGGCCGGAGAGUUGUCUCGGUUAUGUCUGCAUGAUUCACGAACCCGUAGGGUCUACACACUGAAGGUCCGAUGACGCUAGGGUUAUAGGGAAAGUGUGCUUCUGUCGUGUUUUGACAACAACCAAGAAGAAAGCACAUUUACAGCUCAUAUAUAAAUUUUAAGAGCCCCAAGUGACUUGGGUAAAAGAAUUUUAUAUACAAUGAUUGUAUGUACUGAAGUACUUAUAUCAUAUCUGUGUUCACCCGAACUUUAAACGCGUCUUAACCGACCAUCGGCUUCUCCCUCUUCGGCCAAGGGCCGAAAAGUGUCAUGUACUCCGCCUGUCGAGAGUAUCGAUGGUGUUUCCGAUGACCAGGCAAUCAGGUUAUAAGGCUGUAACAGACAAAGCGCGCUCAGGGAACUUAUGUUAUAUUACUAACGAAGUGUAAGAAGCAUCUUCAAAGAAAAUAGUACCCCCACCGAUACCUUUCUUCGGUGCUCAUUAUUACUAUGAGACUUGUGCAAUAGAUUUUUUGUACUCAUGAGUUCCGUUGUGUGCCGACCAUGAUUGAAAACAAUAAGAGCGCUAGCUUUCAGCUUCACCCAGUCUGAGGUCAGAGCUCGGAUGACCCGGUCGUGACAAUCGCAGAGGUGCUCCCUUUACUCCCUAGCCAAACAAUCGGGAACGUAGGGGUAAACACAGGAGUGAGGCAACCCAGCUUGCAAAUCGCUUAGGUCAAUAUGGUGCAUAUUGUGGCGUAAUACAUGAACAAGGAACGAAGCCAUACAAGUAUAAUCAUAUGCGAGAGGAAAAGCUCCAUCAAGGGAGCCCCCAAAUAAACGGGGUAUUUGAAUAUGCGAUUCACAAACAAUGUUAGGACAAGAAACUUUGUCCCAAAAAACUUUGUGCCGAAAAGUAUAAUGCUUGGUCGACCCGAACAAAAUUUAAAACUGAAAGUUUUUGAGCAUGAAAGCGACUUAGCUGGUUAAUGUGCUCGAUGUUGAUGACGCAGGCCGAGAUUGUGGCGGGACGAGAUCGUAGCCCCUGAUACGUCUCCAACGUAUCUAUACUUUUUGAUUGCUCCAUGCUAUAUUAUCUACUGUUUUGGACUAUAUUGGGCUUUAUUUUCCACUUUUACAUUAUUUUUGGGACUAACCUAUUAACCGGAGGCCCAACCCAGAAUUGCUGUUUUUGCCUAUUUCAGUGUUUCGAAGAAACGGAAUAUCAAACGGAGUCCAAAUGGAAUAAAAUCUUCGAGAACGUGAUUUUCUCACGGAACGUGAUCCAGGAGACUUGGACCCUGCUCCAAGGAACAAAAGAGGCGGUCACGAGGGUGGGGGGCGCGCCCCCUGCCUCGUGGGCCCCUCGUUGCUCCUCCGGCGUACUUCUUCCUCCUAUAUAUACACACAUACCCCCAAACGAUCAGAACAGGAGCCAAAAACCUAAUUCCACCGCCGCAACUUUCUGUAUCCAUGAGAUCCCAUCUUGGGGCCUCUUCCAGAGCUCCGCCGGAAGAGGGCCGCCAUCACAGAGGGCUUCUACAUCAUCCUAGCCCCUCCGAUGAAGUGUGAGUAGUUUACCUCAGACCUUCGGGUGCAUAGUUAGUAGCUAGAUGUCUUCUUCUCUCUCUUUGAAUCUCCAUAGAAAGUUCUCCCCCUCUCUUGCGGAGAUCUAUUCGAUGUAAUCUUCUUUUUGUGGUGUGUUUGUUGAGACUGAUGAAUUGUGGGUUUAUGAUCAAGUCUAUCUAUGAAUAAUAUUUGAAUCUUCUCUGAAUUCUUUUAUGUAUGAUUGGUUAUCUUUGCAAGUCUCUUCGAAUUAUCCGUUUGUUUUGGCCAACUAGAUUGGUAGUUCUUGCCAUGGGAAGAGUGCUUAGCUUUGGGUUCGAUCUUGCGGUGUCCUUACCUAGUGAUAGCAGGGGCAGCAAGGCACGUAUUGUAUCAUUGCCAUCGAGGACAACAAGAUGGGUAUUUCAUAUUGCAUGAAUUUAUCUCUCUACAUCAUGUCAUCUUGCUUAAAGCGUUACUCUGUUUUUAACUUAAUACUCUAGAUGCAUGCUGGAUAGCGGUCGAUGAGUGGAGUAAUAGUAGUAGAUACAGAAUCAUUUCGAUCUACUUGUCACGGACGUGAUGCCUAUAUACAUGAUCAUGCCUAGAUAUUUUCAUAACUAUGCUCAAUUCUGUCAAUUGUUCAACAGUAAUUUGUUCACCCACCGUAGAAUACUUAUGCUCUUGAGAGAAGCCACUAGUGAAACCUAUGGCCCCGGGUCUAUUCUCAUCAUAUCAAUCUCUAUCACUUUAAUCUUGCUUUGCUUUUUUACUUUGCUUUUACUUUUUACUUUGCAUCUUUAUACCAAAAAUACUAAAAAUAUUUUAUCUAUCAGAUCUCACUCUUGUAAGUGAACGUGAAGGGAUUGACAACCCCUAAUCGCGUUGGUUGCGAGUAGCUAUCGCUUUGUGCAGGUACGAGGGACUUGAGAGUGGCUUCCUACUGGAUUGAUACCUUGGUUCUCAAAAACUGAGGGAAAUACUAACGCUACUCUGCUGCAUCAUCCCUUCCUCUUCGGGGAAAACCAAUGCAAGCUUAAGACAUAGCAAGAAGGAUUUCUGGCGCCGUUGCCGGGGAGUCUACGCAAAAGGCUUGUGGAAUCUUCCUUGUAUGCGGCAGGUGUCCGAACUGGCCCAUGUGUAUACGACCAUGGGGGUCCUCGGCCCAAUCUAACUGACCGGGAGACGGCGUGGUGAGUACCCCCUAGUCCAGGACACCGUCACUCGUCCUUAGGCAGAUGGAUCAGAUCUCCAGGUGAGCAAGGUUGCAGGAUGACCUGCAAGCCUUGUUUGAAUAGUCUACCGACGUCAUCCGACAACUAAAUGAGAGCAAUGCGAAGCUCUGAGCUGAGCGCGACCUGCUGAGGGCGAAGAUCGUCGGAAGUGCGGAGCAGCAGGAGCAGACCACUGCCUUGUUAAAGAAGACCGGCGUCAUCGUCGAGAAACUUAUGGAAGAGAAUGCCAUGUUGCGCAUCGAGCGUAGAAGGCUGGUGGAGGAAUCCAUGGACGCUCUCAACCAGCAUCUUGAGGACAAGAAAGAGCUCGUCGCCGCCCACCUGGAGACUAGUUGUCUUCCUUCUUCUUUUGCCCUUGUGUAUAUCGGGCGUUGCCGCAUGUGGAUUUUUUUAAUGAUGUUUAUAAAUAUGUAAGACAAUUAUUAUCCAAUGUCAUCGUCCUUACAUUGAUCAUGCUUGCUAUAAGUCGCAGUCGAUGCUAUAUAGGUCCGUCGGAUCUUACAUCAAGAUCCGUGCAAAACUUUCUUUUCAGAUUUUCAUUUUUCUCUCUUAAAUCUCAGUCCAGUGAGACAUAUAGCCACGUCGUAGAACAGGUGCUUUGGCGCCAUUAAUGGAGACGUUGGCAGGGAGGUGCACGGUGGGUAGCGGUCAAAAGGGCUCUCCUCCCGAUAAGCACGCGCAAGGGUCUGAUCGCACACCUCCUGUACUCAAAAAGCUACCCCGCACGUCACCUCCUAGCCAAUAAAAAAGGGAACGCGUGGCCGCACGUAAUUGAUAAUUCGAACGCCCACGGUUUCAAUAAUACUUGUGUUUCCGAUUUGUAACAUGCAUCACUUGUUUCGAAAUGACUUUUUUGAUUGUUAAUGUAUGCGCCUUCGCAAAUCGGACAGAAAAAUUACCACACCAUGUCGGUGCCAUAUCAUGAGACCAUGCCAAGUUUUAUGAUUUUCAGGCGUGUUUUGUAAUUACUGGAAUUAAAAAACACCAUGUUUCUCAAUCUUUCCGGUGGAGCCACGACACCCAGAUGUUUGAAUUUCACUCCCAUCUCUUGCAUGGGACCUAGAAAUUCACCCAAGGACACACAUGUGAUUUUUCAAACAACUUUGGUGCACUGGAGCAUGUGCUUGUAGUUCAAAUUUGAAUUAUGCACAUUAAAUGCCCAGAAACUCAAUUAAUGUAUAAAAAGGCCAAACGAACCCGAAAUAAUUCCAAAAUUUAGCACGGUACUUCUAUUUGGUCUUAUCUGGCUGUGUAAAAAAAUAAGGCGGGAGAAGGAAGUGUACGUAUGUCGUUUCGCACAGGGAGGUGACACGUUCCCUCUCGGAACCACAAGCCUUCUUGAGGGAAGCACCAGUUUGCAAGAAGCUUACACCAAAGCUUGUCCCAAUUCGGCCAAAAAAAUUACCGCAACAUGUUGGUGCCAUGCCAUGACACCAUGCCAAGUUUCAUGAUUUUCAGGCAUGUUUUGGAAUUAUAGGAAUUAAAAAACUAAGUUUCUCAAUCUUUCCGGCCAAGCCACGACGCCCGAAUGUUUGAAUUUCACUCUCAUCUCUUGCGUGGGACCUAGAAAUUCACCCAAGGAUACACAUGUGAUUUUUCAAACAACUUUGGUGCACUGGAGCCUGUGCUUGUAGUUUAAAUUUGAAUUAUGCACAAUAAAUGCCCAAAAACUCAAUUAAUGUAUAAAAAGGUGAAACGAGCCAAGAAUAUUUCCAAAUUUUAGCACGGUACUUCUAUUUGGUCUAAUCUGGCUGUGUAAAAAAAUUAAGGUGGGAGAAGGCAGUGUACGUAUGUCGUUUCACACACGGAGGUGACACAUUCCCUCUCGGAACCACGAGCCUUCUUUAGGGAAGCUCCCGUUUGCAAGAAGCUUACACCAAAGCUUGUCCCAAUUCGGCCAAAAAAUUACCACAGCAUGUUGGUGCCAUGUCAUGACACCAUGCCAAGUUUCAUGAUUUUCAGGCAUGGUUUGGAAUUACAGGAAUUAAAAAACAAAGUUUCUCAAUCUUUCCGGUCGAGCCACGACGCCCAAAUGUUUGAAUUUCACUCCCAUCUCUUGCAUGGGACCUAGAAAUUCACUCAAGGACAUACAUGUGAUUUUUCAAACAAUUUUGGUGCACUGGAGCCUGUGCUUGAACUCAAUUAAUGUAUAAAAAAGGCAAAAUGAGCCCAGAAUAAUUCCAAAGUUUAGCAUGGUACUUCUAUUUGAUCUAAUCUGGUUGUGUAAAAAAUUAAGGCAGGAGAAGGCAGUGUACGUACGUCGUUUCGCACACGGAGGUGACACGUUCCCUCUCGGAACCACGAGCCUUCUUGAGGGAAGCUCCGGUUUGCAAGAAGCCUACACCAAAGCUUGUCCCAAUUCGGCCGAAAAAAUUACCGCAACAUGUUGGUGCCAUGUCAUGACAGCAUGCCAAGUUUCAUGAUUUUCAGGCGUGUUUUGGAACUACAGGAAUUAAAAAACCAAAUUUCUCAAUCUUUCCGGCCGAGCCACGAUGCCCAGAUAUUUGAAUUUCACUCCCAUCUCUUGCAUGGGACCUAGAAAUUCACCCAAGGAGACACAUGUGAUUUUUCAAACAACUUUGGUGCACUGGAGCCUGUGCUUGCAGUUCAAAUUUGAAUUAUGCACAUUAAAUGCCCAAAAACUCAAUUAAUGUAUAAAAAGGCAAAACGAGCCCGGAGUAAUUCCAAAUUUUAGCACGGUACUUCUAUUUGGUCUAAUCUGGCUAUGUAAAAAAAUUAAGGCGGGAGAAGGCAGUGUACGUAUGUCGUUUCACACACGGAGGUGACACGUUCCUUCUCGGAACCACGAGCCUUCUUAAAGGAAGCUCCGUUUUGCAAGAAGCCUACACCAAAACUUGUCCUAUUUCGGCCAAAAAAAUUACGGCAGCAUGUUGGUGCCAUGCCAUGACACCAUGCCAAGUUUCAUGAUUUUCUGGCGUGUUUUGGAAUUAUAGGAAUUAAAAAACCAAGUUUCUCCAUCUUUUCGGCCGAGCUACGACGCCCAGAUGUUUGAAUUUCACUCCCAUCUCUUGCAUGGGACCUAGAAAUUCACCCAAGGACACACAUGUGAUUUUUAAACAACUUUGGUGCACUGGAGCCUAUGCUUGUAGUUCAAAUUUGAAUUAUGCACAUUAAAUGCCCAGAAACUCAAUUAAUGUAUAAAAAAGGCCAAACGAACACGAAAUAAUUCCAAAAUUUAGCACGAUACUUCUAUUUGGUCUAAUUUGCCUGUGUAAAAAAUUAAGGCGGGAGAAGGAAGUGUACGUAUGUCGUUUCGCACACGGAGGUGACACGUUCCCUCUCGGAACCAGGAGCCUUCUUGAGGGAAGCUCCGAUUUGCAAGAAGCUUACACCAAAGCUUGUCCCAAUUCGGCCAAAAAUAUUACUGCAGCAUGUUAGUGCCAUGUCAUGACACCAUGCCAAGUUUCAUGAUUUUGAGCCAUGUUUUGGAUUUACAGGAAUUAAAAAACCAAGUUUCUCAAUCAUUCCGGUCGAGCCACGACACCCAGAUGUUUGAAUUUUAUUCCCAUUUCUUGCAUGGGACCUAUAAAUUUACCCAAUGACACACAUGUUAUUUUUCAGCAAACUUCGAUGCAUUGGAGCAUGUGCUUGUAGUUCAAAUUUGAAUUAUGCACAUUAAAUGCCCAGAAACUCAAUUAAUGCAUAAAAAUGCCAAACGAACCCGGAAUAAUUCCAAAUUUAAACACGACACUCAUGUACGAGUUGCAUGUUCACUUUACGUAAAUGUUCUAGCAAUUCAAACACCAUCCUUUCCCUCCGUAACACAAUUUUGUCUUUCAAAACAUAAUGAAAAAAUCAGGUAUACCACAAAUAGUUUACUAGGAAGAAUCGUGUGGGAUGCGAUAUAAAAUAGCUUGGCGCACCGUCUUGUCUGGCUUACGCAAGAAGCUUCGUCAUCUACAGUCCACCGCCCCCGCUUGAACCACACUUGCACGCCAGUUUCUCGCGGCACCGAGCGAAUUUUUUUUGCCACCGUAGAAAUAUCUAUCUCCCCGCCCCUCCCUCCUACCAAAAGCCACAUUUCCAUUGUUCAUCCUUGCUUUCCAAGUUCAAACCUUCUCUGCCGCUUACAGGAAGCUCAACCUCCUCGCCGGCCACCCUUCUUCUUGCAGCUUCGCCUCCUCGCCGGCUACCCUCCUUCUUGCAGCGCCGCCUCCUCGCCGGCGACCCUUCUUCUUGCUACGUGGCCUCCUCGCCACCGGCCCUUCUUAUUGCUGCGCGGCCUUGGUGAUAUGGUUAGGCAAUCCACACUCCACCCACACCAUCCUCCUCCUUUCCCGUCCCACAUGCCCCGACCGAUGGAGCGACACCUUCCACUGAAAUCACUGCCCCCUCCUCCAAUUAAGCACCGCCCACAGCCAUUUUACAUGCAGUAUAAUGUCGAGCUGAGUCACAUGCGGCCGCACGCGCGAACGAGGUCGCUAUGGCUGACAUGCGUGUCGACCGCCAGAUCUUGGAGGAGCCCCUCAUCUUCGAGGCCACCGUCGACACCGCCACGCAGUUGUCUACUUUAAAAUACAGUUAGUGGUGUUUUCUCAAGGCCACCGCCAGUGCCUUCUAGUGAUUUGUCCUGUGUAAUGUUAAUAUGCAGUCUGUUGUUCAGCUAACAGUUUGGUCCUCUGAAAUGUAAUGUUCAGUUAACACUCUGGUCCAACAAUUGCUACAUUUCGUAGUACUGUUCUCAAGCAUUCUUUGUUUUGUUAACUGUCUUAUCUUCUCAUACAUGUCUCUACUCUGCAAUGUCGUGCUCAGUUAACUAUUUUGGUUCAUUUGGUCCGCUGUCCAUUUAACUGUUUGGUUCAGUUCUGCAAUUUGUUUUUCAUUAGCCGUGGGUACAAUUUUGUAUUGUUAUGCAUGUGACACCAAUCGAAUUUGGCUGUACUCAAUACAUAUUCUACUGAUAGUAUGCCAACUCUCAUUUAAUCUGAUCAAGAUCUUCCUUAUGUGUGUUGUGGGAAAACAAUGGGAGACACUGCGGUUUACCAUCGAGAUUUGUUCAAGCAGGGUCCUUUGGCUAAUAGCACAUUAUUGUGCAGUUGCAGGAAUCAUUCUAAUAUUUAGGUUUCUUACAAUUUGGUCUUGCACAUGUAGGUCCUGCUGUCAAAGGCUUAGACCCACUGUUCGACCUAUUUUGCAUAUGGGGAAAUGAGAUGUCCAUGAAUAUCAGUCAAGUCAAGAAACUCAAAAAGAUUGUUAGGAUGACGAAGUUUGUGACGAAUAAUUGCAAGAUCUUUGUUUGCACAAUGAAGAAGACAUCAGUCAACUAUAGGAUGGUACCAACUCUUUUACCUUGUUUCUACCCCUUGCGCCAUUUCAAAAUUUAUAAUAGCGAUUUAUGCAUAGCUUUAUUUUCAGUACUUUUCAAAGUAGUUCACCGAUGGUUACCUCUCAAACCACCUGCAUGGUCAAGAGGCGGGGAAGGUAUUCAUUCAACACCCAUGGUACAAUAUUGAAGUCUUGCUGAAGAGGACGAAGGUUGGGCGGGCAAUUAUCCAUAGCCACUGGCCUAAAGUUGCAAGGACAUUCAACAUCAGUGAAGGCUCAAUAUUGGCCUUCCACUUCUGCAGUUUCCCAGAUGAGAUUCAUCUGUCUAUUUACCGUGUAUGAUGCUACUUUCCAAAGGUUUUUGAUGCUGCAUGUGAAACUUGGUGCUGUUGUGUAAUGGCGUAACUGAGUGCCGAAGCUAUCUGAUGUAAUUCGAUUAUGAAAUCCUGGUUGCUUUUAUACGUAUAUGAAAUAUCUGGCGUGUUUUAUAAGAAAUAUCAGUUUGAUUAGUACAUGGAUUAUCAAUAAUAGGCUAAUUACCCUGCUUAUUGGGAUUUUCUAUUGCAAACGGUUACUCAGACAGCACCAUGGGCGAUGAACUCAAACAACCCACAAGGUUUCUAGAAAGUAGGCGUGUUCGAUCAACUAAGAAUCACACACGGAUUCUGGCAGCAAACUGUUUGCGUUAGGCCACCUUGCACAAAUGUUUCCACACAAAGAACUAUGUGGGAUGUACAUACCUACGGAAAUGAUUUUCUGGGAUUCACCGUGUGGGAUGUACAUACCUACAGAAAUGAUUUCUGGGAUUCACCGUGUGGGAUGUUGAUACGACCAUUUUGCAUCAUGCUUUUAUAUUGAUAUUUAUUGCAUUAUGGGCUGUUAUUACACGUUAUGUCACAAUACUUAUGCCUAUUCUCUCUUAUUUUACAAGGUUUACAUGAAGAGGGAGAAUGUCAGCAGCUGGAAUUCUGGGCUAGAAAAGGAGCAAAUAUUAGAGACCUAUUCUGCACAUCUCCAAAAGUCCUGAAACUUCACGGGAGCACAUUUCAGAAUAUAUAAAAAAUAUUGGGCUAAGGAAGCAUCAGAGGGGGGCCACCCACCAUCCAUGAGGGUGGGGGCGCGCCCUACCCCCUGAGCGCGCCCCCUACCUCGUGGGCCCUCUAGCAGCCCUCUGAUGCCCAUCUUCUGCUAUAUGAGGUCUUUUGUCCGGGAAAAAAAUCAUAAGCAAGCUUACGGGACGAAACUCCGCCGCCACGAGGCGGAACCAAUCUAGGGCUCCGACGGAGCUGUUCUGCCGGGGAAACUUCCCUCCGGGAGGGGGAAAUCAUCACCAUCGUCAUCAUCAUCUAUUCUCUUAUCGGGAGGGUGUCAAUCUCCGUCAACAUCUUCACCAGCACCAACUCAUCUCCAACCCUAGUUCAUCUCUUGUAUCCAAUCUUUGUCUCAAAACCUCAGAUUGGUACCCGUGGGUUGCUAGUAGUGUUGAUUACUCCUUGUAGUUGAUGCUAGUUGGUUUACUUGGUGGAAGAUCAUAUGUUCAGAUCCUUUAUGCAUAUUAAUACCCCUCUAAUUAUGAACAUGAAUAUGAUUUGUGAGUAGUUACGUUUGUUCCUGAGGACAUGGGAGAAGUCUUGCUAUAAGUAGUCAUGUGAAUUUGGCAUUCGUUCGAUAUUUUGAUGAGAUGUAUGUUGUCUUUCCUCUAGUGGUGUCAUGUGAACGUCGACUACAUGACACUUCACCAUUGUUUGGGCCUAGAGGAAGGCAUUUGGAAGUAAUAAGUAGAUUAUGGGUUGCUAGAGUGACAGAAGCUUAAACCCUAGUUUAUGAGUUGCUUCGUAAGGGGCUGAUUUGGAUCCAUAUGUUUCAUGCUAUGGUUAGGUUUACCUUAAUACUUCUUUUGUAGUUGCGGAUGCUUGCAAGAGGGGUUAAUCAUAAGUGGGAUGCUUGUCCAAGUAAGGGUAGUACCCAAGCCCCGGUCCACCCGCAUAUCAAAUUAUCAAGGUACCGAACGCGAAUCAUAUGAACGUGAUGAAAACUAGCUUGACGAUAAUUCCCAUGUGUCCUCAGGAGCGCUUUCCUUUAUAUAAGAGUUUGUUGAGGCUUGUACUUUGCUACAAAAAGGAUUGGGCCAUCUUUCUGCACCUUAUUUACUUUUAUUACUUGUUACCCGUUACAAAUUACCUUAUCACAAAACUAUCUGUUACCGAUAAUUUCAGUGCUUUCUUAGAAUACCUUACUGAAAACUGCUUAUCAUUUCCUUCUACUCCUCGUGGGGUUCGACACUCUUACUUAUAGAAAGGACUAGAUAGAUCCCCUAUACUUGUGGGUCAUCAAGACUCUUUUCUUGCACCGUUUCCGGGGAGUGAAGCGCCUUUGGUGAGUGGAAUUUGGUAAGGAAAAUUUAUAUAGUGUGCUAAAAUUUACUGUCACUUGUUACUAUGGAACAUAAUCCUUUGAGGGGCUUGUUCGGGGUAUCUUCACCCUGACCAGUAGAGAAAACAGUUUCUCCUCAACCAACUGAACCUAUUGAAAAUGUUUAUAUUGAAAUUCCCUCGGGUAUGAUAGAGAAACUGCUAGCUAAUCCUUUCAUAGGUGAUGGAACAUUACAUCCUGAUUUGCACCUAAUCUAUGUGGAUGAAGUUUGUGGAUUAUUUAAGCUUGUAGGUAUGCCCGGGGAUGUUAUCAAGAAGAAGGUAUUCCCUUUAUCUUUGAAGGGAAAGACAUUGAUAUGGUUUAGGCUAUGUGAUGAUAUGGGAUCAUGGAACUACAACCGAUUGAAAUUGGUAUUUCAUCAGAAGUUUUAUCCUAUGCAUCUUGUUCAUCGUGAUCGUAAUUAUAUAUAUAAUUUUUGGCCUCGCGAAGGAGAAAGCAUCGCUCAAGCUUGGGGGAGUCUUAAGUCAAUGUUAUAUUCAUGCCCCGAUGAUGACCUCUCAAGAGAAAUUAUUAUUCAAAUUUUUUAUGCUCGGCUUUCUCUCAAUAAUCGCUCCACGCCUGAUACUUCUUGUACCACAUCUUUUAUGAUGAAGACUAUUGAAUUCAAAUGGGAUUUAUUGGAAAGAAUUAAACGCAACUCUGAAGAUUGGGAUCUUGAAAAAGGUAAGGAGUCAGGUAUAAUACCUAAGUUUGAUUGUGUUAAAUCUUUUAUGGAUACCAAUGCUUUCCAUGAAUUUAGCACUAAAUAUGGACUUGACUAUGAGAUAGUAGCUUCUUUCUGUGAAUCCUUUGCUACUCAUGUUGAUCUCCCUAAGGACAAGUGGUUUAAAUAUAAUCCCCUCAUUGAAGUAAAAUUAGAUGCACCUAUUAAAGUUGAAGAAAAGACUAUCACUUAUAAUGAUUCUGUUGUUCCUAUUGCUUAUAUUGAGAAACCACCUUUCCCUGUUAGAAUAAAGGAUCAUGCUAAAGCUUCAACUGUGGUUCGUAAGAGUAAUACUAGAACACCUACACCCUUUGAGCAAAUUAAAGUUGAACCUAGUAUUGCUAUGGUUAAAGAUCUCUUGGCCGAUAAUAUUGAUGGGCAUGUUAUUUACUUCUGUGAUGAGGCUACUAGAAUCGCUAGACUUGAUACUAAAAAUAAGCAUAGAUCUGUUGUAGGCAUGCUUGUUAUUUCUGUUAAAAUAGGAGAUCAUUGCUAUCGUGGCUUAUGUGAUAUGGGUGCUAGUGCUAGUGCAAUACCUCAUUCCUUAUACAAAGAAAUUAUGCAUGAUAUUGCACCUGUUGAGAUAGAGGAAAUUGAUGUCACAAUUAAGCUUGCCAAUAGAGACACUAUUUCACCAGUUGGGAUUGUUAGAGAUGUUGAAGUCUUGUGUGGGAAAGUCAAAUAUCCUACUGAUUUUCUUGUUCUUGGUUGCCCACAAGAUAACUUUUGUCUCAUUAUAUUUUGUAGACCAUUCUUGAAUACUGCUAAUGCUAGGAUAGACUGCAAAAAGGAUGUUGUUACUAUUGGUUUGGGGGAUAUGUCUCAGGAGUUUAAUUUUGCUAAAUUUUGUAGACAACCACAUGAUAAAGAAUUGCCUAGUAAGGAUGAAAUUAUUGGUCUUGCUUCUAUUGUUGUGCCUCCUAAUGAUCCUUUAGAACAAUAUUUUCUCGGCCAUGAAAAUGAUAUGUUUAUGAAUGAAAGAAGGGAAAUAGAUGAAGUAUUCUUUAAGCCAGGACCUAUUUUGAAACACAACAUGCCAGUUGAAAUCCUAGGGGAUCCUCCUCCACCCAAGGGUGAUCCCGUGUUUGAGCUUAAACCUCUACCUGAUGCUCUUAAAUAUGCUUAUCUUGAUGAGAAAGAGAUAUAUCCUAUUAUUAUUAGUGCUAACCUUUCAGAGCAUGAAGAAAAGAAAUUAUUGAAAACUCUGAAGAAGCACCGUGCUGCUAUUGGAUAUACUCUUGAUGAUCUUAAGGGUAUUAGUCCCACUCCAUGCCAGCACAAAAUAAAAUUGGAGAAAGACGCGAAGGAGAAAGACGUGAAACCGGUUGUUGAUCACCAACGACGGUUAAAUCCUAAGAUGAAAGAAGUGGUAAGAAAAGAAAUACUAAAGCUUCUGGAGGCAGGUAUAAUUUAUCCCGUUGCUGAUAGUCAGUGGGUAAGUCUUGUCCAUUGUGUCCCUAAGAAGGGAUGUAUUACUGUUGUUCCUAAUUAUAAAGAUGAAUUGAUUCCACAAAUAAUUGUUACAGGUUAUAGAAUGGUAAUUGAUUUCCGCAAAUUAAAUAAAGCUACUAAAAGGAUCAUUACCCUUUACCUUUUAUUGAUCAAAUGCUAGAAAUAUUAUCCAAACUUACACAUUUUUUGCUUUCUAGAUGGUCAUUCUAGUUUCUCUCAAAUACCUGUGUCAAAGGAGGAUCAAGAAAAGACAACUUUCACUUGCCCUUUCAGUACCUUUGCUUAUAGAUGUAUGCCUUUUGGUUUAUGCAAUGCACCUGCUACCUUUCAAAGAUGUAUGACUGCUAUAUUCUCUGAUUGUUGUGAAAAGAUUGUUGAGGUUUUGAUGGAUGAUUUCUCCGUAUAUGGAACUUAUUUUGAUGAUUGCUUAAGCAACCUUGAUCGAGUUUUGCAGAGAUGUGAAGAAACUAAUCUUGUCUUGAAUUGGGAGAAGUGUCAUUUUAUGGUUAAUGAAGGUAUUGUCUUGGGGCAUAAAAUUUCCGAAAGAGGUAUUGAAGUUGAUAAAGCUAAGGUUGACGCUAUUGAAAAGUUGAUAAAGCUAAGGUUGACGCUAUUGAAAAGAAGUUUCCUUGGUCAUGCCGGUUUUUAUAGGAGGUUCAUUAAGGACUUCUCUAAAAUUUCUAGGCCUGUGACUAAUCUCUUACAAAAAGAUGUUCCUUUUGUCUUUGAUGAUGAUUGUGUAGAAGCAUUUGAAAUACUUAAGAAAGCUUUGAUUUCUGCACCUAUUGUUCAGCCACCUGAUUGGAAUUUACCCUUUGAAAUUAUGUGUGAUGCUAGUGAUUAUGCUGUAGGGGCUGUUUUAGGACAAAGGGUUGAUAAGAAAUUAAAUGUUAUCCAAUAUGCUAGUAAGACUCUGGACAAUGCCUAGAGAAAUUAUGCUACUACAGAACAAGGAAUUUUUAGCGGUUGUAUUUGCUUGUGACAGACCUUAUAUUGUUGAUUCUAAAGUAACUGUUCAUACUGAUCAUGCUGCUAUUAAAUAUCUUAUGGAAAAGAAAGAUGCUAAACCUAGACUUAUUAGAUGGGUUCUCUUGCUACAAGAAUUUGAUUUGCAUAUUAUUGAUAGAAAGGGAGCUGAGAACCCCGUUGCAGACAACUUGUCUAGGUUAGAGAAUGUUCUUGAUGACCCACUACCUAUUGAUGAUAGCUUUCCUAAUGAACAACUAGCUAUCAUAAAUGCUUCUCGUACUGCUCCAUGGUAUGCUAAUUAUGCUAGUUAUGUUGUUGCUAAAUUUAUACCACCUAGUUUCACAUACCAGCAAAAUAAAAAGUUCUUCUAUGACUUAAGACAUUACUUUUGGGUUGACCCACACCUUUAUAAAGAAGGAGUAGAUGGUGUUAUUAGACGUUGUGUACCUGAGCAUGAACAGGAACAGAUGCUACGCAAGUAUCACUCUGAGGCUUAUGGAGGACACCAUGCUGGAGAUAAAACUGCACAUAAGGUAUUGCAAUCCGGUUUUUUAUUGGCCUACUCUCUUCAAGGAUGCCCGUAAGUUUGUCUUGUCUUGUGAUGAAUGUCAAAGAAUUGGUAAUUGUUGGAAAUAUGCCCUAGAGGUAGGGAUGGCAAUUUUAUCCAUGGAUCUAGAUACCAAUGGAUACCUGACCCGGUUGGGCAAUGGUAUGGAGCACAUUUUCGCCCAUGGUUCCAUGGAUAUGGAUACCCACCAACAUCCAGGUUAGGCAUGGUUUUUGUGCUCCGUGGAUAUCCAAUGGAUACCCAUAUGACAUGUGGGGCCAUAUGCCAGUGAUAGUAGAAAGAGCGAAUCAAUGGGAAAUGGCAGAAAAUAUGUAACUUGUGCCAUGAGCUAUAUGCUGCAGAAUUAACCUCUGGUAUGUCACACUUAAGGACUCAUCGUAUUACUUGUUUCCUAUUUAUGCAUGUAUCUUAUGUUGUCAUUUGUGAGUGAAUGAUGAUGAGUUAAUUUGAUCUUUGGGAAGGCUUCAUGCUGACUUUUCUACGCCCAUGGAGCUCCAUGGGUAUGCGGGUAUCCAGUGGGUUUGGGCAUGGGCACAAGUUGUGCCCAUGGAUAAUUUGGUGGAUGGGCAGAGGGUGGGAAGAUGGGUCAUGGGUUGGAUUUGGACCAGCUCCGCCCGCCCCAAACCCGACCCAUUGCCAUCCCUACCUAGAGGCAAUAAUAAAAUGGUUAUUAUUGUAUUUCCUUGUUCAUGAUAAUUGUCUAUUGUUCAUGCUAUAAUUGUAUUAACUAGAAGCCGUAAUACAUGUGUGAAUACAUAGACCACAACAUGUCCCUAGUAAGCCUCCAGUUGACUAGCUCAUUGAUCAAUAGAUGGUUAUGGUUUCCUGACCAUGGACAUUGGAUGUCAUUGAUAAUGGUAUCACAUCAUUAGGAGAAUGAUGUGAUGGACAAGACCCAAUCCUAAGCAUAGCACAAGAUCAUGUAGUUCGUUUGCUAAGAGCUUUUCUAAUGUUAAGUAUCAUUUCCUUAGACCAUGAGAUUGUGCAACUCCCGGAUACCGUAGGAAUGCUUUGGAUGCACCAAACGUCACAACGUAACUAGGUGGAUACAAAGGUGCGCUACAGGUGUCUCCGAAAAUGUCUGUUGGGUUGGCACGAAUCGAGACUGGGAUUUGUGACUCCGUAUGACAGAGAGGUAUCUCUAGGCCCACUCGGUAAUGCAUCAUCAUAAUGAGCUCAUUGUGACUAAGUAGUUGGUCACGGGAUCAUGAAUUACGAAACGAGUAAAGUGACUUGCUGGUAACGAGAUUGAACGAGGUAUUGGGAUACCGACGAUCGAAUCUCGGGCAAGUAACGUACCGAUUGACAAAGGGAAUUGUAUACGGGAUUGCUUGAAUCCUCGACAUCAUGGUUCAUCCGAUGAGAUCAUCGUGGAACAUGUGGGAGCCAACAUGGGUAUCCAGAUUCCGAUGUGGGUUAUUGGCCGGAGAGUUGUCUCGGUCAUGUCUGCAUGAUUCCCGAACCCGUAGGGUCUACACACUUAAGGUCCGAUGACGCUAGGGUUAUAGGGAAACUUUGUACAUGGUUACCAAAUGUUGUUCAGAGUCUCGGAUGAGAUCCCGGACGUCACGAGGAGUUCCGUAAUGGUUUGGAGGUAAAGAAUAAUAUAUAGGAAGUGAGGUUUUGACCACCAGAAGUGUUGCGGGCGUCACCGAUAAUGUACCGGGACCACUGGAGGGUUCCGGGGGUCCACCGGGAGGGGCCACAAGCCCCAGAAGCUUGCAUGGGCCAAUAGUGGGAAGGGACCAGCCCCUGAGUGGGCUGGUGCGCCUCCCACUAGGGCCCAAGGCGCAACUAGGAGGAGAAAGGGGGAAACCCUAGGCGCAGAUGGGCCUAAGGCCCACCCUAGGGCGCGCCCCCCUCUCCCCCUCUUGGCCGCCCCUCCAUCCCAUCUAGGGCUGCCGCCCCCUAGGGGUGGGAACCGUAGAGGGGGCGCACCCUCCUCCCCUCCUCCUAUAAAUAGUGGGGUUUUGGGGCUGCCUAACACACGAGUCUCUCUCCCUCUUGGCGCAGCCCUACCCCUCCCCUCCUCGUCUCUUGGAGUGCUUGGCGAAGCCCUGCUGGCGUGCCACGCUCCUCCACCAUCACCACGCCGUUGUGCUGCUGCUGGACGGAGUCUUCCCCAAUCUCUCCCUCUCUCCUUGCUGGAUCAAGGCGCGGGAGACGUCACUGGGCUGUACGUAUGUUGAAUGCGGAGGCGCCAUUGUUCGGCGCUUAGAUCGGAAUCGACCACGAUCUGAAUCGCUGCGUGUACGACUCCACCAACCGCGUUCUUGUAACGCUUCCACUUAGCGAUCUUCAAGGGUAUGAAGAUGUACUCCCUCUCUCUCGUUGCUAGUAUCUCCUAGAUUUAUCUUGGUGAUACGUAGGAAAUUUUUGAAUUAUUGCUACAUUCCCCAACAGUGGUAUCAGAGCCAGGUUUAGGCGUACAUUCUAUGCACGAGUAGAACACAAGUAGUUGUGGGCGAUGAUUUGUUCAAUUUGCUUACUGUUACUAGUCUUAUCUUAAUCCGGCGACAUUGUGGGAUGAAGCGGCCCGGACUGACCUUACACAUACGCUUACAUGAGACUGGUUCCACCGACUAACAUGCACUUGAUGCAUAAGGUGGUUGGCGGGUGUCUGUCUCUCCCACUUUAGUCGGAUCGGAUUUGAUGAAAAGGGUCCUUAUGAAGGGUAAAUAGCAAUUGGCAUAUCACCGUUGUGGUUUUGCAUAGGUAAGAAACGUUCUUGCUAGAAACCCAUAGCAGCCACGUAAAACAUGCAACAACAAUUAGAGGAUGUCUAACUUGUUUUUGCAGGUUUGCUAUGUGAUGUGAUAUGGCCAAAAGGAUGUGACAAAUGAUAUAUGUGAUGUAUGAGAUUGAUCAUGUUCUUGUAAUAGGAAUCACGACUUGCAUGUCGAUGAGUAUGACAACCGGCAGGAGCCAUAGGAGUUGUCUUAAUUUAUUUAUGACCUGCGUGUCAAUGAAAACGCCAUGCAAUUACUUUCCUUUAUUGCUAACCAUUAGCCAUAGUAGUAGAAGUAAUAGUUGGGGAGGCAACUUCAUGAAGACACGAUGAUGGAGAUCAUGGUGUCAUGCCGGUGACGAUGGUGUUCAUGCCGCGCCUCGAAGAUGGAGAUCAAAGGCGCAAGAUGAUAUUGGCCAUAUCAUGUCACUUUAUGAUUUGCAUGUGAUGUUUGUCAUGUUUUUACAUCUUAUUUGCUUAGAACGACGGUAGCAUAAAUAAGAUGAUACCUCAUUAAAAUAUCAAGAAUUGUGUUCCCCCCUAACUGUGCACCGUUGCUAAGGUCCGUUGUUCUGAAGCACCACGUGAUGAUCGGGUGUGAUAGGUUCUAAUGUUCGCAUACAACGGGUGUAAGCCAGAUUUACACACGCAAUACACUUAGGUUAACUUGACGAGCCUAGCAUGUACAGACAUGGCCUCGGAACACGGAAGACCGAAAGGUCGAACAUGAGUCGUAUAGUGGAUGCGAUCAACAUGAAGAUGUUCACCGAUGAUGACUAGUCCGUCUCACGUGAUGAUCGGACACGGCCUAGUUGACUCAGAUCAUGUAUCACUUAGAUGACUAGAGGGAUGUCUAUCUAAGUGGGAGUUCAUUGAAUAAUUUGAUUAGAUGAACUUAAUUAUCAUGAACAUAGUCAGAAGGUCUUUGCAAAUUAUGUCGUAGCUCACGCUUUGGUUCUACUGUUUUAGAUAUGUUCCUAGAGAAAAUUUAGUUGAGAGUUGACAUUAGCAAUUAUGCGGAUUGGGUCCGUAAACUGAGCCUCAUUGCUGCACAGAAGGAUUAUGUCCUUAAUGCACCGCUCAGUGUGCUGAACCUCGAGCGUCGUCUGUAGAUGUUGGGAAACAUCUGACAUACACGUUUUGAUGACUACGUGAUAGUUCAGUGAGUAAUACUAACAGUUUAGAAUUGUGGCACCAAAGAUGUUUUUGAAACGUCGCAGAACAUAUGAGAUGUUCCAAAGACUGGAAUUGGGAUUUCAGACUAGUGCCCACGUCAAGAGGUAUGAGACCUCUGACAAGUUUCUUAAGACUGCAAAUUAAGGGAGAAAAGCUCAAUCGUUGAACAUGUGCUAAGAUUGUCUAAGUACUACAAUCGCUUGAAUCGAGUGGGAGUUAAUCUUCCAGAUGAGAUAGUGAUGGUUCUCCAUAAUCACUAAGACCAAGCUAUUGGAGCUUCGUGAUGAACUAUAGCAUAUCAGGGAUAGACAUGAUGAUCCUUGAGAAACUCGCGAUGUUUGACACCGCGAAAGUAGAAAUCAAGUAGGAGCAUCAAUUGUUGAUGGUUAAACCACUAGUUUCAAGAAGGGCAAGGGAAAGAAGGGAGACUUCAUGAAACGGCAAAUCAGUUGCUGCUCUAGUGAAGAAACCCAAGGUUGAACCCAAACCCAAGACCAAGUGCUUCUGUAAUGAGGGGAACGGUCACUGAAGAAGAACUACCCUAGAUACUUGGUAGAUGAGAAGGCUGGCAAGGUCGACAGAAGUAUUUUGAAUAUACGUUAUAUUAUUGUGUACUUUACUAGUACUCCUAGUAGCACCAGGGUAAUAACUACCGGUUCGGAUGCUAAGUGUUAGUAACUCGAAAUAAAAGGUUGCGGAGACUAGCUAAAGGUGAGAUGACGAUAUGUGUUGGAAGUGUUUCCAAGGUUGAUGUGAUCAAACAUCGCACGCUCCCACUACCAUCGGGAUUGGUGUUAAACCGAAAUAAUUGUUAUUUGGUGUUUGCGUUGAGCAUAGACAUGAUUGGAUUAUGUUUAUCGCCAUAUGAUUAUUCAUUUAAGGAGAAUAAUGGUUACUCUGUUUAUUUGAAUAAUACCUUCAAUGGUCUUGCACCUAAAAUGAAUGGUUUAUUGAAUCUCGAUCGUAGUGAUACACAUGUUCAUGCCAAAAGAUAUAAGAUAGUAAUGAUAGUACCACAUACUUGUGGCACUGCCAUUUGAGUCAUGUUGGUAUAAAACGCACGAAGAAGCUCCAUGUUGAUGUAUCUUUGGACUCACUCGUUUUUGAAAAGAUUGAGACAUGCGAACCAUGUCUAUUGGUAGAUAUGCAUGAAGAAACUCCAUACAGAUGGAUCGUUUGGACUCACUUGUUUUCGAAUCACUUGAGACAUGCAAAUCAUACCACAUGGGCAAGAUGACUAAAAGACCUCGUUUUCAGUAAGAUGGAACAAGAAAGCAACUUGUUGGAAGUAAUACAUUUUGAUGUGUGUAGUCCAAUGAGUGCUGAGGUACACAGUGGAUAUCGUUAUGUUCUUACUUCACAGAUAAUUUGAGUAGAUGCUGAGUAUAUUUACUUAAUGAAACACAAGUCUGAAUUAUUGAAAGAUUCAAGUAAUUUCAGAGUGAAGUUGAAGAUCGUCGUGACAAGAGGAUAAAAUGUCCAUGAUAUGAUAAUAGAGAUGAAUAUCCGAGUUACAAGUUUGGCACACAAUUAAGACAUUGUGGAAAUUGUUUCACAACUAAUACCGCCUGGAACACCAUAGUGUGAUGGUGUGUCCGAACAUCAUAACUGCACCCUAUUGGAUAUGGUGCAUACCAUGAUGUAUCUUAUCGUAUUACCACUAUCUUUUAUGGGUUAGGCAUUAGAGACAACCGCAUUCACUUUAAAUAGGGCACCACACAAUUCCAUUGAGACGACACUAUAUGAACUAUGGUUUAGAGAAACCUAAGCUGUCGUUUCUUAAAAGUUUGGGGCUGUGAUGCUUAUGUGAAAAAGUUUCAGGCUGAUAAGCUCGAAGCCAAAGCGGAUAAAUGCAUUUUCAUAGAAUACCCAAAAUAGUUGGGUAUACCUCCUAUUUCAGAUCCGGAAGCAAAAGUGAUUGUUUCUAGAAACGGGUCCUUCCUCGAGGAAAAGUUUCUCUCAAAAGAAUUGAGUGGGAGGAUGGUGGAGACUUGAUGAGGUUAUUGAACCGUCACUUCAACUAGUGUGUAGCAGGGCACAGGAAGUUGUUUAUGUGGCACCUACACCAAUUGAAGUGGAAGUUUAUGAUAGUGAUCAUGAAACUUCGGAUCAAGUCACUACCAAACCUCGCAGGUCGACAAGGAUGCAUAGUACUUCAGAGUGGUACGUAAUCCUGUCUUGGAAGUCAUGUUGCUAGACAACAAUGAACCUACGAGCUAUGGAGAAGCGAUGGUGGGCCCAGAUUCCUACGAAUGGCUUGCGGCCAUAAAAUCCGAGAGAGGAUCCAUGUAUAAAACAAAGUAUAGACUUUUGAAGAACUACUUGAUGAUCGUAAGGCUGUUGGGUGCAGAUGGAUUUUAAAAGGAAGACGGACAAUGAUGGUAAGUGUCACCAUUAAGAAAGCUUGACUUGUCAUUAAGAUGUUUCCCGACAAGUUCAAGGAGUUGACUACGAUGAGACUUUCUCACUCGUAGCAAUGCUAAGAGUCCGUUGGAAUUAUGUUAGCAGUUACUGCAUUAUUUAUGGAAUCUUGCAGAUAGGAUGUCAAAAACAUUGUUUCCUCAACGAUUUUCUUGAGGAAAGGUUGUAUGUGAUACAACUAGAAGGUUUUGUCAAUCCUGAAAGAUGCUAACAAGUAUGCAAAGCUCCAGCAAUCCUUCUAAGGACUGGAGUCAGCAUCUUGGAGUUGGAAUGUAUGCUUUGAUGAGAUGAUCAAAGAUUUUGGGUUUAUACAAAGUUUAUGAGAAACUUGUAUUUCCAAAAAAGUGAGUGGGAGCACUAUAGAAUUUUUGAUGAGUAUAUGUUGUUAACAUAUUGUUGAUCAGAAAUGAUGUAGAAUUUCUGGAAAGCAUACAGGGUUAUUUGAAAAGUGUUUUUCAAUAGAAAACCUGGAUUAAGCUACUUGAACAUUGAGCAUCAAGAUCUAUAAGGAUAGAUAAAAACGCUCAAUAGUACUUUCAAAUGAAUACAUAUCGUGACAAGAUUUUGAAGGAGUUCAAAAUAGAUCAGCAAAGAAGGAGUUCUUGGCUAUGUUAUAAGGUGUGAGUAUUGAGUAAGACUCAAGACCCGACCACGACAGAAGAGAGAGAAAGGACGAAGGUCGUCCCCUAUGCUUUAGACGUAGGCUCUACAGUAUGCUAUGAUGUGUAUCGCACCCAAAGUGUGCCUUGCCAUGAGUCAGUCAAGGGGUACAAGAGUGAUCCAGGAAUGGAUCACAUGACAGCGGUCGAACUUAUCCUUAGUAACUAGUGGACUAAGGAAUUUUCCCGAUUAUGGAGGUGGUAAAAGAGUUCGUCGUAAAGGGUUACGUCGAUGCAAACUUUGACACUAAUCCGGAUGACUCUGAGUGGUAAACCAGAUUCGUAAAGUAGACCAGUUGUUUGGAAUAGCUCCAAGUAGCGCGUGGUAGCUGCAUCUACAAGAUGACAUAGAGAUUUGUAAAGCACACAUGGAUCUAAAAGGUUCAGACCCAUUGACUAAUAAACCUCUCUCACAAGCGAGAUAUGAACAAACCCCAUGGGUGUUGGAUUCAUAGUGAUGUGAACUAGAUUAUUGACUCUAGUGCAAGUGGGGGACUGUUGGAAAUAUGCCCUAGAGGCAAUAAUAAAAUGGUUAUUAUUGUAUUUCUUGUUCAUGAUAAUUGUCUAUUGUUCAUGCUAUAAUUGUAUUAACUGGAAGCCGUAAUACAUGUGUGAAUACAUAGACCACAACAUGUCCCUAGUAAGCCUCUAGUUGACUAGCUCGUUGAUCAAUAGAUGGUUAUGGUUUCCUGACCAUGGACAUUGGAUGUCAUUGAUAACGGGAUCACAUCAUUAGGAGAAUGAUGUGAUGGACAAGACCCAAUCCUAAGCAUAGCACAAGAUCGUGUAGUUCGUUUGCUAAGAGCUUUUCUAAUGUCAAGUAUCAUUUCCUUAGACCAUGAGAUUGUGUAACUCCCAGAUACCGUAGGAAUGCUUUGGGUGCACCAAAUGUCACAACGUAACUGGGUGGCUAUAAAGGUGCACUACAGGUAUCUCCGAAAGUGUCUGUUGGGUUGGCACGAAUCGAGACUGGGAUUUGUCACUCCGUAUGACGGAGAGGUAUCUCUGGGCCCACUUGGUAAUGCAUCAUCAUAAUGAGCUCAUUGUGACUAAGUAGUUGGUCACGGGAUCAUGCAAUAUGGAACGAGUAAAGUGACUUGCUGGUAACGAGAUUGAAUGAGGUAUUGGGAUACCGACGAUCGAAUCUCGAGCAAGUAACCUACCGGUUGACAAAGGGAAUUGUAUACGAGAUUGCUUGAAUCCUCGACAUUGUGGUUCAUCCGAUGAGAUCAUCAUGGAACAUGUGGGAGCCAACAUGGGUAUCCAGAUUCCGCUAUUGGUUAUUGGCUGGAGAGUUGUCUCGGUCAUGUCUGCAUGAUUCCCGAACCCGUAGGGUCUACACACUUAAGGUCCGAUGACGCUAGGGUUAUAGGGAAAGUUUGUACGUGGUUACCGAAUAUUUUUUGGAGUCCUGGAUGAGAUCCCGGACGUCACGAGGAGUUCUGGAAUGGUCCGGAGGUAAAGAAUAAUAUAUAGGUAGUGAGGUUUUGACCACCGGAAGUGUUUCGGGCGUCACCGGUAAUGUACCGGGACCACCGGAGGGUUCCGGGGGACCACCGGGAGGGGCCACAAGCCCCGGAGGCUUGCAUGGGCCAAGAGUGGGAAGGGACCAGCCCCUGAGUGGGCUGGUGCGCCUCCCACCAGGGCCCAAGGUGCAGCUAGGAGGAGAAAGGGGGAAACCCUAGGCGCAGAUGGGCCUAAGGCCCACCCUAGGGCGCGCCCCCUCUCCCCCUCUUGGCCGCCCCCUCCAUCCCAUCUAGGGCUGCCUCCCCCUAGGGGUGGGAACCCUAGAGGGGGCGCACCCUCGUCCCCUCCUCCUAUAAAUAGUGGGGUUCUGGGCUGCCCAACACACGAGUCUCUCUACCUCUUGGCGUAGCCCUACCCCUGUCCCUCCUCAUCUCUUGCAGUGCUUGGCGAAGCCCUGCUGGCAUGCCACGCUCCUCCACCAUCACCACGCCGUUGUGCUGCUGCUGGGCGGAGUCUUCCCCAACCUCUCCCUCUCUCCUUGCUGGAUCAAGGCGCGGGAGACGUCACCGGGCUGUACGUGUGUUGAACGCGGAGGCGCCGUUGUUCGGCGCUUAGAUCGGAAUCGACCGUGAUCUGAAUCGCUGCGUGUACGACUCCACCAACCGCGUUCUUGUAACGCUUCUGCUUAGCGAUCUUCAAGGGUACGAAGAUGCACUCCCUCUCUCUCGUUGCUAGUAUCUUCUAGAUUGAUCUUGGUGACACAUAGGAAAUUUAUGAAUUAUUGCUACAUUCCCCAACAGUAAUAUUAGUAGACGUCAAGAAAUUCCUAUGAAUUAUUCACUUGUUAUUGAACCAUUUGAUGUUUGGGGCUUUGAUUAUAUGGGGCCGUUUCCUUCCUCUAAUGGGUAUACACAUAUCUUAGUUGUUGUUGAUUACGUUACUAAGUGGGUAGAAGCUAUUCCAACUCGUACUGCUGAUCAUAACACCUCUAUUAAGAUGCUUAAAGAAGUUAUUUUUCUGAGGUUUGGAGUUCCUAGAUACUUAAUUACUGAUGGUGGUUCUCAUUUUAUUCAUGGUGCUUUUCGUAAAACCCUUGCUAAGUAUGAUGUUAAUCAUAGAAUUGCAUCUCCAUACCAUCCACAGUCUAGUGGUCAAGUAGAACUAUGUAAUAGAGAGCUUAAAUUAAUUUUGCAAAAGACUGUUAAUAGAUCUAGAAAGAAUUGGUCCAAGAAACUUGAUGAUGCAUUAUGGGCCUAUAGAACCGCAUACAAAAAUCCUAUGGGUAUGUCUCCAUAUAAAAUGGUUUAUGGAAAAGCUUGUCACUUACCUCUCGAACUAGAACAUAAGGCAUAUUGGGCCAUUAAAGAGCUCAACUAUUACUUCAAACUCGCUGGUGAGAAGAGACUAUUUGACAUUAGCUCACUUGAUGAAUGGAGAACCCAGGCCUAUGAGAAUGCCAAACUGUUUAAAGAAAAAGUUAAAAGAUGGCAUGACAAAAGGAUACAAAAACAUGAGUCUAAUGUAGGUGAUUAUGUAUUGCUAUACAACUCUCGUUUAAGAUUUUUUGCAGGUAAACUCCUUUCUAAAUGGGAAGGCCCUUAUGUCAUUGAGGAGGUCUAUCGUUCUGGUGCCACAAAAAUCAACAACUUCGAAGGCACGAAUCCGAGGGUGGUGAACGGCCAAAGAAUCAAAUACUAUAUCUCAGGUAAUCCCAUAAAUGUUGAAACUAAUGUUAUUGAAACGUAACCCCGGAGGAAUACAUAAGGGACACUUCCCAGAAUGUCUCAGACUCCGAAAAGAAAUAGGUAUAUGGUACGGUAAGUAAACCAACUCCAAAACAGUUCUAAUAGCAAUUUUUCUCUGUUUUGGAAUAUUUAAGAAAAUAGGAAAAUAAGAAGUAGUCCGGGAAGGACACGAGGCAUCCACGAGGGUGGAGGGCGCGCCCUACCCCCCUGGGCGCCCCCUGCCUCGUGGGCACCUCGUGUGCUCUCCGGACUCCAUUUUCUUGCACAAUACUUCUUUUGGUCGGUAAAAAUUCAUUAUAUAAUCUCCCAAAGGUUUUGACCACCGUGUCAUGCAAAUAUCUUCUGUCUUUGUUUCGAGCUGUUUUUCUGACAGAUCUAGAUCGCCAUGGCGUCUUCAAGUGCCCCCAAGGACAAGUUCUUUGAGAAGGCCAUCAACCCCUACCUCGCGGAUGUGCUGCAACACCCUCAAACCAUUGAGAUGCGUGAGGGGUUGCUGCACAUCCGCGAUAUUGAGGGACUAAGGAGGACCGGAAGCGUGGAGACAAGACUCGAAGCAAUGGAGCAACAAGUUUUCAAGUGCCAGGAGAUGGUGGAACGUGGACUCGACACCAACCACAUAAUGAUCACGGAGUUCACCAACACCGCCAAGCUAGAUGCCAGAAACAUCGGAGAGACCAUCUUCAAGCUUCAUGAGAAAAUGGAGCAUCUCCAGGCCCAGAUCUAUGACCUGCAAAACCAAAACUGUGAGUAUGAAUAUAGAUUCAAGAGGAUAAUUUUGGCUGCAGAUUCGAGGAUUCCGGAGACUCGGUCAUCCUUCUAUGAUGGUGAGCCUAUGCCUUGGAAGAUGGACGACAAGCCUACAUCAUCAACAACUCCAUCAUCACCACCUCCGAGGAAGGAGAUAUAAACACAUGGGUAUGGGCACUCCCCUUGGCAACUACCAAGCUUGGGGGAGGUGCCCCAGUGUCAUAUCACCAUCACACUUUUAUCAUUACCGUUUUUCUUAGUCCGAUCCUUUUGGUAAUAUCUUUAUUUAGUAGAAUAAAGUUUUAGUAUGAUCUAGUUCUGAGUUUUUGCUUUAUGAUCCUUCUAUGUAAUCGAGUCAGUGAGCUAUAUAAUAAAGAUUAGUGUUGAGUCAAGGGCUUGAUUAUCUUGCUAUGAUCUGGAGGGAGUAAAAAUAAAAGAUAAAGAAUAAAAAGAAAUAAAGGGAUCAUAUGGAUCUUAUGGAGAGUAAUGACUUCACAUAUAAAGAGUAUGAUGAAUAAAAGUUGUUGAGAGUUGACAAACAUAGUUUUGGUCAUCGUUGCAAUUAAUAGGAAUUAAUAAAGAAAGAGAGGUUUUCACAUAUAAAUAUACUAUCUUGGACAUCUUUUAUGAUUGUGAGCACUCUAUAGAAUAUGACAUGCUAAAGAGUUGACGUUGGAGAAGGAAGACAAUGUAAUGGGUUAUGUUUUCUUACAUCCGAAAUAAAUUAUAUUGUCAUGGAUCAUCCAACAUGUUGAGCUUGCCUUUCCCUCUCAUGCUAGCCAAAUUCUUUGCACCAAGUAGAGAUAUUACUUGUGCUUCCAAAUAUCCUUAAACCCAGUUUUGCCAUGAGAGUUCACCAUAUCUACGUAUGGAUUGAGUAAGAUCCCUCAAGUAAGUUGUCAUUGUUGAAAGCAAUAAAAAUUGUUCUCUAAAUAUGUAUGAUUUAUUAGUGUGGAGAAAAUCAGCUUUAUAUGAUCUUGUGAUGUGGAAGAAAUAAAAGCGACGGACUGCAUAAUAAAGGUCCAUAUCACAAGUGGCAACAUAAAGUGACGUUCUUUCGCAUUAAGAUUUUGUGCAUCCAACCAUAAAAGCACAUGAUAACCUCUGCUUCCCUCUGCGAAGGGCCUAUCUGUUAUUCUUGUCUUAUACUUCAUACAAGAGUCAUGGUGAUCUUCACCUUUCCUUUUUUACAUUUUAUCCUUUGGCAAGCAAAAUGUGUUGGAAAGAUCCUGACAUAUAUAGCUAAAUGGAUGUGAGUUUUCAUGAACUAUUAUUGUUGAUAUUACCUUGAGGUAAAAGGUUGGGAGGCAAAACUAUAAGCCCCUAUCUUUCUCUGUGUUCGACUAAAACUUCAUAACCAUAAAUAUUGCAUGAGUGUUAGCAAUUGUGAAAGACUAAAUGAUGGUUGAGUAUGUGGACUUACUGAAAAGCUCUUAUAUUCACUCUUUCCUAUGUUAUGAUAAAUUACAAUUGCUUCAAUGACUGAGAUUAUAGUUUGUUGGUUCUCAAUGAAGUUUCUGAUUCAUACUUGAAAUUGUGAAUGAAUUGUUAGUUUAUCAUAAGAAAUCAUAUGACAAUAUAUAUAUAUAUAUAUAUAUCUGUGUGUGUGUGUGAGUGUGUGUGUGUUACUGUUCUAAGAAUGAUCAUGAUGCCCUCAUGUCCGUAUUUUAUUUUAUCGACACCUCUAUCUCUAAACAUGUGGACUGCUACCUCUUGAGCACUGCGUUGGAUUUCCCCGAAGAGGAGAGGAUGAUGCAGCAAAGUAGCGUAAGUAUUUCCCUCAGUUUUUGAGAACCAAGGUAUCAAUCCAGUAGGAGGCCACGUGUGAGUCCCUUGUACCUACACAAAAACAAUAGCUCAACACAACCAACGCGCUUAGGGGUUGUCAAUCCCUUCACGGUCACUUACAAAAGUGAGAUCUGAUAGAGAUGAUAAAUAAUAUUUUUGGUAUUUUUGGUAUAGAGAUGCAAAGUAAAAAGUAAAAACAAAGUAAAAGAAAAGCAAUAAUAAAGUGAUGGAGAUUGAUAUGAUGACAAAGAGACCCGGGGGCCAUAGGUUUCACUAGUGGCUUCUCUCAAGAGCAUAAGUAUUCUACGGUGGGCGAACAAAUUACUGUUGAGCAAUUGACAGAAUUGAGCAUAAUUAUGAGAAUAUCUAGGUAGGACCAUGUAUAUAGGCAUCACGUCCGUGACAAGUAGACCAACUCCUUCCUGCAUCUACUACUAUUACUCCACUCUUCGACCGCUAUCUAGCAUGCAUCUAGAGUAUUAAGUUAAAAACAGAGUAACGCCUUAAGCAAGAUGACAUGAUGUAGAGGGAUAGUUUCAUGCAAUAUGAUAAAAACCCCAUCUUGUUAUCCUCGAUGGCAACGAUACAAUACAUGCCUUGCUGCCCCUUCUGUCACUGGGAAAGGACACCGCAAGAUCGAACCCAAAGCUAAGCACUUCUCCCAUGGCAAGAAAAACCAAUCUAGUAGGCCAAACCAAACUAAUAAUUCGAAGAGACUUGCAAAGAUAACCAAUCAUACAUAAAAGAAUUCAGAGAAGAUUGAAAUAUUAUUCAUAGAUAGACUUGAUCAUAAACCCACAAUUCAUCGGUCUCAACAAACACACCGCAAAAAGAAGAUUACAUCGAAUAGAUCUCCACAAGAGAGGGGGAGAACAAUGUAUUGAGAUCCAAAAAGAGAGAAGAAGCCAUCUAGCUACUAACUAUGGACCCGUAGGUCUGAAGUAAACUACUCACACUUCAUCGGAGGGGCUUGGAUGAUGAUGUAGAAGCCCUCCGUGAUCGAUGCCCCCUCCGUCGAAGCUCCGGAACAGGCCCCAAGAUGGGAUCUCGUGGAUACAGAAAGUUGCGGCGGUGGAAUUAGGUUUUUGGCUCCAUCCGCGAUCGUUUGGGGAUACGUGGAUAUAUAUGGGAGGAAGAAGUACGUCGGUGGAGCUUCGAGGGGCUCAUGAGGCAGGGGGGGCGCUCUCCACCCUCGUGACCGCCUCGUGGCUUUCUUGACGGAGGGUCCAAGUCUCCUGGAUCUUAUCUGAUGAGAAAAUCAUGUUUUCGAAUGUUUCAUUUCGUUUGGACUCCGUUUGAUAUUUUGUUUCUCCGAAACACUGAAAUAGGCAAAAACAGCAAUUCUAGGCUGGGCCUCCGGUUAAUAGGUUAGUCCCAAAAAUAAUAUAAAAGUGGAUAAUAAAGCCUAAUAAUGUCCAAAAUAGUAGAUAAUAUAGCAUGGAGCAAUCAAAAAUUAUAGAUACGUUGGAGACGUAUCAAGCAUCCCCAAGCUUAAUUCCUGCUCGUCCUCGAGUAGGUAAAUGAUAAAAACAGAAUUUUUGAUGCGGAGUGUUACUUGGAAUAAUUUUAAUGUAAUUCUUCUUAAUUUUGGUAUGAAUAUUCAGAUCCGAAAGAUUCAAGACAAAAGUUCAUAUUGACAUAAAAAUGAUAAUACUUCAAGCAUAUUAACUAAGCAAUUAUGUCUUCUCAAAAUAACAUGGCCAAAGAAAGUUCAUCCCUACAAAAUCAUAUAGUUUAGUCAUGUUUCAUUUUCGUCACACAAGAAUGCUCUCAUCAUGCACAACCCCGAUGACAAGCCAAGCAAUUGUUUCAUACUUUAGUAAUCUCAAACCUAUAAACUUUCACGCAAUAUAUGAGCGCGAGUCAUGGACAUAGCACUAUGGGUGGAAUAGAAUAUAAUGAGGGGGGUUAUGUGGAGAAGACAAAAAAAAGUUUCACAUCAACGAGGCUAAUCAAUGGGCUAUGGAGAUGCCCACCGAUUGAUGUUAAUGAAGGAGCAGGGAUUGCCAUGCAACAGAUGCACUAGAGCUAUAAAUGUAUGAAAGCUCAACAAAAAGAAACUAGUGGGUGUGCAUCCAACUUGCUUGCUCACGAAGGCCUAGGGCACUUGAGGAGGCCCAUUGUUGGAAUAUACAAGCCAAGUUCUAUAAUGAAAAAUUCCCAGUAGUAUAUGAAAGUGAUAACAUGAGAGACUCUCUACUAUGAAGAUCAUGGUGCUACUUUGAAGCACAAGUGUGGUAAAAGGAUAGUAACAUUGUCCCUUCUCUCUUAUUUCUCUCAUUUUAUUGGGCCUUUUCUUUUUUAUGGCCUUUCUCUUUUUUUAUUCCUCACUUGGGACAAUGCUCUAAUAAUGAUGAUCAUCACACUUCUAUUUAUUUACAACUCAAUGAUUACAACUCGAUACUAGAACAAAGAUGACUCUAUAUGAAUGCCUCCGGCGGUGUACCGGGAUAUGCAAUGAACCAAGAGUGACAUGUAUGAAAGAAUUAUGAACGGUGGAUUUGCCACAAAUACUAUGUCAACUACAUGAUCAUGCUAAGAAAUAUGACAAUGAUGAAUGUGUCAUGAUGAACGGAAUGAUGGAAAGUUGCAUGGCAAUAUAUCUCGGAAUGGGUAUGGAAAUGCCAUAAUAGGUAGGUAUGGUGGCUGUUUUGAGGAAUAUAUAAGGAGGUUUAUGUGUGAAAGAGCGUAUCAUAUCACGGGGUUUGGAUGCACCAGCGAAGUUUGCGCCAACUCUCAAUGUGAGAAAGGGCAAUGCACGGUACCGAAGAGGCUAGCAAGGAUGGAAGGGUGAGAGUGCGUAUAAUCCAUGGACUCAACAUUAGUCAUAAAGAACUCACAUACUUAUUGCAAAAAUCUACAAGUCAUCAAAAACCUCGGCACUAUGCACAUGCUCCUAGGGGGAUAGAUUGGUAGGAAAAGACCAUCGCUCGUCCCCGACCGCCACUCAUAAGGAAGACAAUCAAAUAACACCUCAUGUUUCAAAUUUGUUGCAUAACGUUUACCAUACGUGCAUGCUACGGGACUUGCAAACUUCAACAAAAGUAUUUCUCAAUUUCAAAACUACUCAACUAGCAUGACUUUGAUAUUAUUACCUCCAUAUCUCAAAACAAUCAUCAAGUAUCAAACUUUUCUUAGUAUUCAACACACUCAUAAGAAAGUUUUAUUAUUAAUCUUGCAUACCAAGCAUAUUAUGAUUUUAAGAAAAUUACCAUGCUAUUAAGACUCUCAAAAUAAUCUAAGUGAAGCAUGAGAGAUCAAUAGUUUCUACAAAACAAAUCCACCACCGUGCUCUAAAAGAUAUAAGUGAAGCACUAGAGCAAAACUAUAAAACUCAAAAGAUAUAAGUGAAGCACUAGAGUAAAACUAUAGAGCUCAAAAGAUAUAAGUGAAGCACAUAGAGUAUUCUAAGAAAUUCCAAAUCAUGUAUGGCUCUCUCAAAAGGUGUGUACAGCAAGGAUGAUUGUGGUAAACUAACAAGCAAAGACUCAAAUCAUAAAAGAUGCUCCAAGCAAAACACAUAUCAUGUGGUGAAUAAAAAUAUAGCUCCAAGUAAAGUUACCGAUAGAAGUAGACGAAAGAGGGGAUGCCUUCCGGGGCAUCCCCAAGCUUUGGCUUUUAGGUGUCCUUAUAUUAUCUUGGGGGUGCCAUGGGCAUCCCCAACCUUAGGUUCUUGCCACUACUUGUUCAAUAAUCCAUCAAAUCUUUACCCAAAACUUGAAAACUUCACAACACAAAACUUAAAGUAGAAAAUCUCGUGAGCCCCGUUAGCGAAAGAAAACAAAAGACCACUUCAAGGUACUGUAAUGAAAUCAUUAUUUAUUUAUAUGGGUGUUAUACCUACUGUAUUCCAACUUCUCUAUGGAUUAUAAACUAUUUUACUAGCCAUAGAUUCAUCAAAAUAAGCAAACAACACACGAAAAACAGAAUCUGUCAAAAACAGAAUAGUCUGUAGUAAUCUGUAGCUAGCGCAAGAUCUGGAACCCCAAAAAUUCUAAAAUAAUUUCUGGACGUGAGGAAUUUAUCUAUUAAUCAUAUGCAAAAAUAAUUAACUAAAUAUCACUCUGAAAAUAAAAAUUACAGCAGUUCUCGUGAGCGCUAAAGUUUCUGUUUUUUACAGCAAGUUCAACAAGACUUUCCCCAAGCCUUCCCAACGGUUCUACUUGGCACAAACACUAAUUAAACACAAAAAACACAACAAAAACAGAGGCUAGAUAAAUUAUUUAUUACUAAACAGGAGAAAAAAUCAAGGAAUAAAAAUAAAAUUGGGUUGCCUCCCAACAAGCGCUAUCGUUUAACGCCCCUAGCUAGGCGUAACAAGCAAGAAUAGUCUAGGUAAAGCCAUCUUUGGUAGGCAAUCCAUAAGUGGCUCUCCUGAUAGAUUAAUAAGGUAAUUUUAUUUUCUUUCUAGGGAAGUGUUCCAUUCCCUUUUUUAAUGGAAAUUGAAAUCUAAUAUUCCCUUCCUUCAUAUCAAUAAUUGCACCAACCGUUCUAAGGAAAGGUCUACCGAGAAUAAUAGGGCAAGAAGGAUUGCAAUCUAUAUCAAGAACGAUAAAAUCUAUGGGCACAUAAUUCCUAUUUGCAAAAAUAAGAACAUCAUUAAUUCUUCCCAUAGGUUUCUUAAUAGUGGAAUCCGCAAGAUGCAAGUUUAGAGAGCAAUCAUCAAAAUCACAGAAAUCUAGCAAAUCACACAAAGUUUUGGGAAUAGUAGAAACACUAGCACCCAAAUCACACAAAGCAUAAAACUCAUAAUCUUUAAUUUUAAUUUUAAUAGUUGGUUACCACUCAUCAUAAAGUUUUCUAGGGAUAGAAACUUUCAACUCAAGUUUUUCUUCAUAAGAUUGCAUCAAGGCAUCAACGACAUGUUCAGUAAAGGCUUUAUUUUGGCUAUAAGCAUGAGGAGAUUUUAGCAAGGAUUGCAACAAGGAAAUACAAUCAAUUAAAGAGAAAUUUUCAUAAUUAAAUUCCUUUAAAUCCAUAAUAGUGGGUUUAGCAACAUCUAGGGUUUUAAUUUCUUCAAUCCCACUUCUAUCAAAUUUAGCAUCAAGAUCAAAAGAUUCAGAAUUUUUGGAACGCCUUCUAGGUAAAGGUGGAUCAUAUUCAGUCCCAUCAUUAUCAAGAUUCAUAUUGCAAAACAAAGAUUUAAUAGGGGACACAUCAAUAACUUUUAGAUCUUCAUCAUUAUUUUCAUAGGAACUAGAAGAACACGCUUUUAUAAAGGUAUCUUUCUUAGCACGCAUCCUAGCGGUUCUUUCUUUGCACUUGUCAAUGGAAAUUCUCAUGGCUUUGAGAGACUCAUUGAUAUCAUGCUUAGGUGGAAUAUAUCUAAGUUUCAAAGAAUCAACAUCAAGAGCAAUUCUAUCAACGUUCCUAGCCAAAUCAUCAAUCUUAAGCAAUUUUUCUUCAAUCAUAGCAUUAAAAUUCUUUUGCGAUGAAAUAAAUUCUUUAAUAUUAUAUUCAAAAUCAGAGGGAAUCUUAUUAUAAUUUCCAUAAGAAUUGUUGUAGGAAUUACCAUAAUUAUUAGAGGAAUUACUAGGAUAAGGCCUAGGAUUGAAAUUUCCUCUAUACGCGUUGUUACCAAAAUUGUUCCUACCAACAAAAUUCACAUCCAUAGAUUCAUUAUUAUUCUCAAUCAAAGUAGACAAGGGAAUAUCAUUAGGAUCAGAAGAAACACUCUUAUUAGCAAAUAAUUUCAUAAGUUCAUCCAUCUUUCCACUCAAAACAUUAAUUUCUUCUAUCGCAUGCACCUUUUUAUUAGUAGAUCUUUCAGUAUGCCAUUGAGAAUAAUUAACCAUAAUAUUAUAUAGGAGUUUAUUAGCUUCUCCUAAGGUGAUUUCCAUAAAAGUGCCUCCCACGACCGAAUCCAAAAGAUUUCUAGAAGCAAAAUUCAAUCCGGCAUAAAAAAUUUGUAUAAUCAUCCACAAAUGUAAACCAUGAGUAGGGCAAUUACAUAUCAUUAAUUUCAUUCUCUCCCAAGCUUGUGAAACAUGUUCAUGAUCAAGUUGCUUAAAAUUCAUAAUAUCGUUUCUAAGAGAGAUGAUCUUAGCGGGAGGAAAAUACUUAGAGACAAAAGCAUCUUUGCACUUGUUCCAUGAAUCAAUACUAUUUUUAGGCAAAGAUGAAAACCAAGCUUUAGCACGAUCUCUAAGUGAAAAAGGAAAUAGCUUCAAUUUAACAAUAUCAUUAUCGACAUCUUUCUUCUUUUGCAGCUCACACAAAUCAACGAAGCUAUUAAGAUGGGUAGCGGCAUCUUCACUAGGAAGGCCGGAGAACGGAUCUUUCAUGACAAGAUUCAGCAUAGCAGUAUUAAUUUCACAAGAUUCAACAUCGGUAAGAGGAGCAAUCGGAGUGCUAAGGAAAUCAUUAUCGUUGGUAUUGGUGAAGUCACACAAUUUAGUAUUAUCUUGAGCCAUCGCAACAAACAAGCAAACUAACACAUAAGCAAAGAAAAAGGCAAACGAGCAAAAAGAGGCGAAUAGAGAGGGAGGAUAGAGAGAGAGAGAGGGCGAAUAAAACGGCAAGGGUGAAGUGGGGGAGAGGAAAACGAGACGCAAAUGGCAAAUAAUGUAAUGCGGGAGAUAGGGAUUGUGAUGGGUACUUGGUAUGUUGACUUUUGCGCAGACUCCCCGGCAAUGGCGCCAGAAAUUCUUCUUGCUAUCUCUUGAGCAUUGCGUUGGAUUUCCCCAAAGAGGAGAGGAUGAUGCAGCAAAGUAGCGUAAGUAUUUCCCUCAGUCUUUGAGAACCAAGGUAUCAAUCCAGUAGGAGGCUACGCAUGAGUCCCUUGUACCUACACAAAAACAAUAGCUCAACGCAACCAACACGCUUAGGGGUUGUCAAUCCCUUCACGAUCACUUAUGAAAGUGAGAUCUGAUAGAGAUGAUAAAUAAUAUUUUUGGUAUUUUUGGUAUAGAGAUGCAAAGUAAAAAGUAAAAACAAAGUAAAAGCAAUGCAAUAAUAAAGUGAUGGAGAUUGAUAUGAUGAGAAAGAGACCCGGGGGCCAUAGGUUUCACUAGUGGCUUCUCUCAAGAGCAUAUGUAUUCUACGGUGGGUGAACAAAUUACUGUUGAGCAAUUGACAGAACUGAGCAUAGUUAUGAGAAUAUCUAGGUAUGAUCAUGUAUAUAGGCAUCACGUCUGUGACAAGUAGACCGACUCCUGCCUGCAUCUAGUACUAUUACUCCACUCUUCGACCGCUAUCCAGCAUGCAUCUAGAGUAUUAAGUUAAAAACAGAGUAACGCCUUAAGCAAGAUGACAUGAUGUAGAGGGAUAGUUUCAUGCAAUAUGAUAAAAAACCCAUCUUGUUAUCCUCGAUGGCAAUGAUACAAUAUGUGCCUUGUUGCCCCUUCUGUCACUGGGAAAGGACACCGCAAGAUCGAACCCAAAGCUAAGCACUUCUCCCAUGCAAGAAAAACCAAUCUAGUAGGCCAAACCAAACUGAUAAUUCGAAGAGACUUGCAAAGAUAACCAAUCAUACAUAAAAGAAUUCAGAGAAGAUUCAAAUAUUAUUCAUAUAUAGACUUGAUCAUAAACCCACAAUUCAUCGGUCUCAACAAACACACCGCAAAAAGAAGAUUACACCGAAUAGAUCUCCACAAGAGAGGGGGAGAACAUUGUAUUGAGAUCCAAAAAGAGAGAAGAAGCCAUCUAGCUACUAACUAUGGACCCGUAGGUCUGAAGUAAACUACUCACACUUCAUCGGAGGGGCUUGGAUGAUGACGUAGAUGCCCUCCGUAAUCGAUGCCCCCUCCGGCGGAGCUCCGGAACAGGCCCCAAGAUGGGAUCUCGUGGAUACAGAAAGUUGUGGCGGUGGAAUUAGGUUUUUGGCUCCGUCCCCGAUCGUUUGGGGAUACGUGGAUAUAUAUGGGAAGAAGAAGUAUGUCGGUGGAUCUUCGAGGGGGCCACGAGGCAGGGGCGCUCCCUAGGGGGGCGCGCCCUCCACCCUCGUGACCGCCUCAUGGCUUUCUUGAUGGAGGGUCCAAGUCUCCUGGAUCUUAUCUGAUGAGAAAAUCACGUUUCCGAAGGUUUCAUUCCGUUUGGACUCCGUUUGAUAUUUUGUUUCUCCGAAACACUGAAAUAGGAAAAAAACAACAAUUUUGGGCCGGGCCUCGGGUUAAUAGGUUAGUCCCAAAAAUAAUAUAAAAGUGGAUAAUAAAGCCCAAUAAUGUCCAAAAACAGUAGAUAAUAUAGCAUGGAGCAAUCAAAAAUUAUAGAUACGUUGGAGACGUAUCAUGGACAUAUUUUUCAAUAUCGGCUUUCGCUUGAGGACAAGCGAGGUCUAAGCUUGGGGGAGUUGAUACGUCCAUUUUUCAUCAUGCUUUUAUAUUAAUAUUUAUUGCAUUAUGGGCUGUUAUUUCACGUUAUGUCACAAUACUUAUGCCUAUUCUCUCUUUUUUACAAGGUUUACAUGAAGAGGGAGAAUGCCGACAGUUGGAAUUCUGGGUUGGAAAAGUAGCAAAUAUUAGAGACCUAUUAUGCACAACUCCAAAAGUCCUGAAACUUCACGGGAGCACCUUUCAGAAUAUAUAAAAAAUAUUGGGCGAAGGAAGCACCAGAGGGGGGCCACCCACCAUCCAUGAGAGUGGGGGGCGCGCCCUACCCCCUGGGUGCGCCCCCUGCCUCAUGGGCCCUCUGGCAGCCCUCUGAUGCCCAUCUUCUGCUAUAUGAGGUCUUUCGUCCGGGAAAAAUCAUAAGCAAGCUUAUGGGACGAAACUUCGCCGCCACGAGGCGGAACCUUGGCGGAACCAAUCUAGGGCUCCGGCGGAGCUGUUCUACCGGGGAAACUUCCCUCCGGGAGGGGGAAAUGAUCACCAUCAUAAUCAUCAUCGAUCUUCUCAUUGGGAGGGGGUCAAUCAACAUCAACAUCUUCACCAACACCAUCUCAUCUCAAACUCUAGUUCAUCUAUGUAUCCAAUCUUUGUCUCAAAACCUCAGAUUGGUACAUGUGGGUUGCUAGUAGUGUUGAUUACUCCUUGUAGUUGAUGCUAGUUGGUUUACUUGGUGGAAGAUCAUAUGUUCAGAUCCUUUAUGCAUAUUAAUACCCCUUUGAUUAUGAACAUGAAUAUGAUUUGUGAGUAGUUAUGUUCGUUCUUGAGGACAUGGGAGAAGUCUUGCUAUAAGUAGUCAUGUGAAUUUGGUAUUCAUUCGAUAUUUUGAUGAGAUGUAUGUUGUCUUUCCUCUAGUGGUGUCAUGUGAACGUCGACUACAUGACACUUCACCAUUGUUUGGGCCUAGAGGAAGGCAUUGGGAAAUAAUAAGUAGAUGAUGGGUUGCUAGAGUGACAGAAGCUUAAACCCUAGUAUAUGAGUUCCUUCGUAAGGGGCUGAUUUGGAUCCAUAUCACUACAAAAAAAUACACUUCCGUGAUGAUACGUGUUUGUCACAGUAGGUCGCUUUUUUUGUCAUGCAUGUACAUCCAUGACAAAUUUAUGACAGAAUCAAGAUAGUCAUACCUGUGCUGUCGUAGAAGUGUUCCAUGACAUUACCAAAAUUAUCAUCACGGAAGUGUCCAAUUCCAUGACAAUAAAUCGCACGUCACAGAAGUGCUUUUGUCAAGGGUGACCGACACGUGGCAUCCACCGUAACAGAACACCGUUAAGCUAUCGGGUCAGGUUUUGGAUCCGAUAACCCGUUAACAGCCCCGACCAAUGGGGAUUUUCCACGUGUAAAAUCAUCAUUGGCUAGAGGAAACACGUGUCGGCUCAUCGUCGGGACAGAUGUCAUCCACUCACUGGACAGAAGGCACCUAUGAUACGUCGACAUGCCCAACAAGUUUAAAUGGGCCGGCCCAACUAAAGGCCCACAAGAUUUUGCGGACCAUAAUGGGCCGGCCCAGCUAAAGGCCCACGAGAUUUUGCAGACCAUAAUGGGCUAGCCCAGCUAAAGGCCCACAAGAUUUUGCGGGCCAUAAUGGGCCGGCCCAGGUAAAGGCCCACAAGAUUUUUGUGUGCCGUAAUGGGUCGGCCCAGGUAAAGGCCCACAAGAUUCUUCGGAUCAUAAUGGGCUAGCCGAGCUAAAGGCCCACGAGAUUUCGCUAGCAUUAAUGGGCCGACCCAGCUGUAGGCCCACAAGAUUUUGAGGACCCUAGUAGGCCGGCCCAUUAACUGCCUGCCAUGUUUUGGGCCAAAAUGCCGGCCCAUAUUUGAUCCGAUCCAUUAUUGGCCUGCCAUGCUCCGGGCCUAAUAGUGGCCCAUAUGAGAUCCGGCCCGUUAAAGGCCUACCACGUUCUGGGACAAAUUACAGCCCAGAUCAGGUCCGGCCCUUUAAGAGGCUUUGGGCUCAAUUAUGGCCCAUAUCAGAUUCGGCCCGUCAACUGGACACUAUGCUUUUGGGCCCACUUGCUAAAGGCCCACUUAGUAAUUCGGCCUAAUAUUAGUUUGCCCUGUUAAGGGCCAGUUUAACAUUUCGGCCCUAUGUUAAUUUCAGCCUGUUAAUAGCCCGUCAUAUAGUUGGGCCUAACUACGGCCCGAUUUGCAUCCGGCCUGCUCGCAGCCGAUAUCUGAUUGGGCCAAACAAGGACCGAGACAAUUUUUUGGCCAGUUAAAAGCCCGUGAUUUGAUUCGCAAAAUCAUGGGUCGGGGUUCAUUUCGGGCUGCUGCCGGCCCAUGAGCUGUUCAGCAUGUUUCAGGCCCAACCUACAUCGUGAUUGCAUGACGGCCCGAUUAUGUACCGUAAUUUUACGGUUUGGCCGGUUUACUGCGAAGACAGGAUAUAUAUACAAUAAAAUAACUGUAGCAUCGUGAAUAAGAAAAAACCUAGACUAUACAAUAAAGAAAUUACGACAUAUUACAUCCACUAGGCAUCAAAUUUCGCCACUAUGAUAAUAAAGCACAAGCAGACAGCAGAUUACAUACGCUGGGCAUCAAAGAUCGCCACCAGUGCAAAUAAACACGCCGACAAAAUAAUAUACAAAAUCAACAGCUCUUCAAUAGAGUUCAGGAAAGGUUAGCCUUGCUGGGGAGCUGCAGCGCAAGUAGCUGAGCAAGAUGAUGAGACUGCGCUUGUUCAACACUUAUAUCUUCCUCACUCUGAAAGAUAAACAGGCAGACAGAUGACAGGUUUUGCACAUAAAAGUAUCAGUGCUGACAAUUCAUCACAUUUCUUACUGACGAAUAAAGUGACACACUUUAAAUUUGCAUUAACACAAUAUGGUAUUGUUUAGGUCAAGACAUGGCAGGAAAUGUCAUUGUGAAGGAGUUGGAAGCUUCACGACACCACUGGAUUAUAGAUCAAAAACUCAUAAGUAUCAGUGGUUAGUGUGCUGUCAAUUUAUACCAUUUCAGAUUGGCAAAUAAAGAGACGGUUUAAAUAAUAGUAGAAUGAUAUGACAUUGUUCAUAGUUAAGACAUUGCAGAAUAUGACAUUGUGUUGUAGUGGGUAGGUUCACCACACCACUGGAUUACGGAUGAAGAACAGAAGCAUACAUGCAGUGCAAAAGAAGAUCACUUGCUCUGUAUAGUUUAAUUUACAUGGUAUGAAGAAGGAACUUGGUUCUAAAACUGAAAACUUAAAUUGAGAAAGGACAAACUUUUGUUUAUGAACUACAUAUAAUAAAUUUUAAACAAGCAAUUUGAUGCAAACACCAAAAAUAAACAGCUGUUGCAGUCAUGCCUAACCAAAUAUAUACAACAAAGUUUGAAGGCUUGAGAUGGACAAACUUACAUUAUUGGUGAAGACAGGCUCUAUAAAGGCCUUGUCCAUGCUGAUGGGGGGGGGGCAAUUCAAGAAGUUUACCACAGAAUCUUCUUCAAAAGCAUUUUAUUCUACAUUUUGUUAAGAGUAAAUAUAGAUGUGAUAAUAUAUGAAAAAAUGGAGAAUAUUUAAGAUAAGAUGAAGAGUGAUGCUACAUAACCAAGUAGCUAUAAAUGUAAGUGCAGCGAUACAGGCAAAAGGUAUAGCCAAGAGCAGUGCAUAGCUAAACUUCUUCAGUACCAACCUUGUGGUAAGAGUAAAUAUAGAUCUGAUGUGUAGAAAAUGGAGGGCAAAGGAAAAUAAGAUGCAGAGUGAUGGUACAUGAACAACUACCUGUCAUUAUAAGUACACUGAUAAAGGACAACAUGUACUUACAAGAACAAUGCAGAGCUAAAAACAUUGGCAUUGGAUAUAUUCUACACUAAUGUAACCAUUCAUACAGAUCAGAUAAUUUGGAGAGAACAAUUGAUAAGCAAGCUAUCAUGCAUACUGCUGUCACAUAAUGAACCAGGUAUGUAUGCAAGUACAGUGAUACAGGACACCAGGUACUAGCAAGAGCAAAGCAGCGGGCAUCAUAUUUGCGAUAUCCUGUCGUUCUUGUCAAACCGGAAUUCUUCUUCGAGCAGAUUUCCUGCAAAAAGAUCCAUAAGGCACAUGCGGAAAAGUAGAAGUCCAAAUUUUCAUGUGAUUUCAUAGACAGUACCUCAUCCUAGGAACGAGACCAGUUCAUAACAAGGUUUUUCCAUUCAAUGUCUUCUAAAUUUAGCACAGGAGACUUCACUAGAAAUUCGUUUAUAGACCAACCAUCAAAGUGUGAUUUCCUCAGGUAACACCGAUACUGCUGCAAUGCUUCCUUGAAAAGCACAAGCAAGCUUUGCUCGUCAUGACUAUCCAGAUUGACCCUCGCCUAGUUACAACAAUGUAAUGUAAAUCAUUGAUGUGUUCAAUCAGCAGAAAACAGGAAAAUAAUAACCAUGAAUAAUAGCACUUACACGUAAGUUGGACAGGAAGAUGUGAAAAUGGUGUUUGUCUUCACAAUAAUCUUCCCAUGAUGGGAAUAUAUGCACGUAGUCCCUAACAACAUUAAAAACAUUGUCUUUUAUACUGGGAAUAAAUGGAACGGGGUUCCAAUCUGCAGGAAUUGGCCGUCUCUGCAGUUGGGAUAGGUCUUCGGCCGGUGGACUUGCUGUACUUUUUGCUGGAGUGGGAUUUUUCUGUGGUACAGCUGGUGCUAUGGCAAAUGAAAUCGGUAUACCUUUUGCUGGAGUGCAGGUCCUGUGUGGUGGGGCUAGUGGUGUGGCCAGUGAAGUAUGGGUGCAGUCUGCUGGAGUCGAUCCUACAUUUUGUGUCACUGGUUGUACAACCAAUAUAAGUGGGGUGCUGUCUGAUUUCUCCAGCACCACCAUGUUUUUCAAGGACUUUGCUGGUGCUCCUUCAGGUUCGGCAAUCACCCUCUUCCUUUUUGAUGUCUGAUGCACAAGAACAACAUUUGAGUGGAAAAACAUGGUAUGAUGACAGAUGGAAUAUGUAUUGAUAAUGGAUGGGCGUGGCAUCUCGACAUAUAUGAUGAGUAAACUAAGCAGAUGGCGGUGCAACAAAGUAGAAGAAAUGCAAGACAACAUAUGAAAGAUACGCGCAAUCAAUAAAACCUUGCCAAAUUAGAACAUGCACCUUGAUGGGUGAACAGGAUAGGCCAUCUUCCUUUGACUCCUCGAGGUUAGAAUAGUCAUUAGGAUGAUAUUUUGAACAAGAAUCAAUAGGUGGGGAGCGUACGAGUUUCAUUGCUUCCAGAAUGGCACUCAAUGCCUUGCUGCCAAUUUUGUAAGUCAUUGCAGUGUUCCACAAUAUUCUUCUGAUGCGCGGAUUCUGAUAUUCACUGUAAUUGCGUAUAAUAUCUUAGAACCAUGAAAACAUAAAUAGUUGUGAGAUUAUCUUUGUAAUGCAGAUGAUAUUCUAAUAUAGGGGCGCCCCUGUAAACACUUGUGUGCUAUCACUGGAUUCUGACGAGAGAGCUCAUGUGUGCUGCAAUACGGUCCGUGCAUUUAUAUAAUCUGGCACAAGUACACAAAAAAUAGGCUCCAGAAGUAAGGAUAGCUGGCAGAUGAUAGGUUCAUAAUAUACUAUAUAGAGAGUUUAUUGCUAAACCAUGAUAACAAGAGCACACAGCAACUAGGCAGAUCAUAGUGUACAUAACAGGGGUACACCAUAACCAGGAUAUAUAAAUCGGGAAAGUGGAACUGGUUGGAAAUUAUGGUGUUGUAUUGCCGCUAGCAAUUGAAAGCCUAUCAAUCACGUACAUGCCAGCUCUAUCAGCUGUUGACUGCAGAUGUCCCUGCUCCCCUUCCUGACAAGGAACUUACUGUGCUUCCCAUACAGAACACCGCACGGGCCGCCGGCCGAACCACCGGCCCCACCGCCUGUGUUCCUCCGCCACCCCCACCCCCGUCCCCACCCGCGUCAAGUUUUCUUCGUUCGACGAGUCCCCACCACCGCCCCCCACAACCACCAUCCCCACCCGAGCCCCUUCGAUCGCACCCGCGAACUCCGGCGAGCUCUGAAAAAUCGACUGACCCAAUUUUGAAAUUUAGUCUAAUGUGAUUUAACUAGUGUGGAAUAUAAAAGGGGAAAACCAUAAGCAUUGCGAGUAUGGUGUUGAGCACGCCAUGGCGGAUCUGAAGGUGCAAACCGGACAAAGGCAACUUCGCAACCAAGACAAGAAAUCAGAGUAAAGCAGUGGCGAUCUAUUUUCUUGCUGCGAUAAAUAAGUUGAGCAGAUGCGAAAGAGUACCGCCUCUGGUGCGGUGCCGUGUAUGCAUCUGCUGAGAAUUUGACGGUGCUGCGGUAGCGAUGGCUGUCGGCAGCGUGGAAGCAGAUGUAGGAGGGUAGACGGUGGCAGCAGGGCGCGGUGGAUGAGACGGUCGGAGGAGCGGCGCUGGCAAGGUGGAUGACGGCAGGGAUGAAGCGAGAGGACGAGAUGCAAGGAUCCCGGUCCAAAGCCGUGGAUGAGAGAGGUCGAUCUCUUGUAAUGGACGGCGGCAUCGGGGUAUCAGCUCCGGCAUGGUGGAGGAGGAAGGCAGUGGAUGGGGUGGCGGACGGCGGCGGACGGAGGAGGGUGGGGUGGAGAGGGUGUUUUGGCGCCCACGGAGUACGAAUGGGGAAAAGGGAGGUAGAGAGGAAGGGGGAACCAUGUAUUCAGGGUGCGCUUGUCUCAAAUGCGAGGAAAUUUACAAACUUAGCCCCCGUUUCAAAUUUCUACUACAUCACAGCAACACUAGUCGGUUGGGGAUAGGACGGUAAUCUCGCAUACACCGAAUAUUUGCCGACGAGAGUUUGUUUUUGGCGCCCACCGUGUAUGAAUAUGAAUCAGGGAGGGAGUCGAUUUCGGCCGAGGACACACUGUGUUUUGGCGCCCACCGUGUAUGAAUCCGAGUGAGAGGCGGUUACGUCACGUUUGGGUGAAAUUACAAACCUACCCCUAUCAAAACCUAUAGAAAUCCAGCAUAUAGGCUUUGUGUGGCAGGGAUAGGCAGUAGUGAUUUCCAUCUCGCAGAUUUUGGUUUCGGGCGGUUACUGCGACUUACCCCGCUUCGUUCAAAUUUUGUAGAGUGCACGUUUACCGUGCCAACUCAAUUCAAAUCCCGUUUGUAUUCUAUUUUUUUCGGGCGGGAUCCAUUUUCAAUUGGAAUUACAUUCUAUAUACAUCAUUUUUUAUAUAUACUUUCAAAAGCACAACACCAUUUAUACAUAAAUAUGGUUUACAAAUGGCAUGAUCUCAGAUUCAUAAGGUUGUAUCCAUCAAUUUGGAUUUUCAAAUAUUUGAAACCACUUUAUGUUGAAAUCCAAUGUAUGCAUUCCUCGCUAACUGUCUCCAAUUAAUGUGUGUUUCAUGCAGUUUUUUUACUUCUCAAACAUGUAUAAUGUGUUUCACACACGCAACAUAUAGUGUAAUCUCGUUUAGACAUCAAUUGCAUAUAAAUCAUGCAUUGUUUGUAAUUGAAGAAUCUAUGGAUCACCAAUAUUGAUAAACUAUAUAACAUUACACGUGUGCCCAAAUUCAAAUGAAUAUGCAUGUUUGAUACACCAAUUUGCGUUAUGAUAUUAUCGAUGUCGUGAUCUCCAGUUUAAAUAUUUGAAUCCCCUUUAAUCCAGAUAUUCGUCUCAUAUAGCUAUCACUCAUGCUUAUAUAGGACUAUCUCUCUAGACCUAUACGCGUUCAUCGUCUCUCAGGUAUCUCUCGUGCUACCUGUAUGUCGACAAUGAUCUUUUAUCUUCGUAACACACUGACGGUACUCUCUCCCUCGACCUUCAUCACUCUAUCUCUCUCUAAGUAUAUCUCGCUCCCUACUAUGUGUCUCUAACUAUGAUUCUCCAUGUGGAAUCUCUUUCUCUCACACAAACACAAAACUUUGUCUCCCGGGGUCUCAUUUCUCUCUACUAUUCCCAUGUGUGCCACUCGCACACCCCUCAUACAGAGAUGUCUUUCACUCCUUAGAUAUGAGAACCUAUGACUCUUCCUCUUCAAUAUCUCUUUCUCACACACAAACACAAACUCUGUCUCCCAGGGUCUCAUAUUUCUCCAUUGUUCUCUUGUAUGUCGCUCACACACACCCUCUCUCCCUAGAGAUAUCUAGCGUGCCCUCGUAUGUCUCUCUAGCUAUUACUCUCCUUGUGAAAUAUCUUUCUCUCUCGCAGACACAAAACUCUGUCUCUCUGGAUCUCAUUUCUCUCUAAUAUCUGUUUGUAUGUGACUCACACGCACCCUCUCUCUAUCUCUCUCACACCCACACACAUAACCCAGCCUUCUGAUCCACUCGACUCCUAUCUCUAAUGCACACUAGCUACCAUAUUUAUCUUUAUAUUUAUCUGUUUCUCCAUCAACCUUCUUUCUCGCCCUCACUCUUGAUUCCUAUCACGCACACUACAUAUGUUUGUCUCUACAUGCAGUCAAGUGCCCUCUCACACACAUAUAUAACUUCACCCUUUGAACCACCCGACGGUCAUCUCCAACACCCAAACUAGCGGAUGUCCCUCUAGCUAGCAUCUCCAUCUCUGUAUCUAUCUGUAGUUUCUCCGUCAACAUUUCUUUCUCGCACAGAAUCUUGCUUCCUAUAACCCACACUAUAUAUGUCUCUCCAUACAUAUGCAUUUAUAGGUUGGUCUCUUUUGCACAAUCGUUGCGCCUCACUCCCUCUACUCGCCAUAGAUGCAUGCUCCAUUCCACGCCACUAUCUCUUAAAGACAAAAACACAUGCUCAAUUGUCGGGACUUCUUCCAUGCAUUCUCACAUGCAUGCAUAUUAUCAUACCGAUCCGUCUCUCCCAUGUUUUUGAUCUUAUGACUUAUGUCUUCUUUCUUUUAUCUCGAUCAUGCGCGCGCACACACACACAUCCCACGUAUACAUGUAUACCUCUCACACAUGCACGUUCAAGGUCUCUAUGUCUCCAUACGUAGUUAACUACCCUCAAUCCUAACGCCACAUCGAAUCGUUCUCCUCUUUUGUGCACAUAACUUCCGCCNNNNNNNNNNNNNNNNNNNNNNNNNNNNNNNNNNNNNNNNNNNNNNNNNNNNNNNNNNNNNNNNNNNNNNNNNNNNNNNNNNNNNNNNNNNNNNNNNNNNNNNNNNNNNNNNNNNNNNNNNNNNNNNNNNNNNNNNNNNNNNNNNNNNNNNNNNNNNNNNNNNNNNNNNNNNNNNNNNNNNNNNNNNNNNNNNNNNNNNNNNNNNNNNNNNNNNNNNNNNNNNNNNNNNNNNNNNNNNNNNNNNNNNNNNNNNNNNNNNNNNNNNNNNNNNNNNNNNNNNNNNNNNNNNNNNNNNNNNNNNNNNNNNNNNNNNNNNNNNNNNNNNNNNNNNNNNNNNNNNNNNNNNNNNNNNNNNNNNNNNNNNNNNNNNNNNNNNNNNNNNNNNNACACACAUGCAAGCACGCACGCCCGCCCCACACACACACUAAGACUCCAUCUCUCUCCCUCUCUCUCUCACACACACAAACUAAGACUCCAUCUCUCUCUCCUCUUUAUCUCUCUCUCUCUCACACACACACACACACACCCCACACACACACUAAGACUCCAUCUCACACACACAUGCUCUAGGCGGAGCAUUUGUUCCUACCACCCUUCAUCCAACCUUACCCGUAUGAUAAACAAUCACCUUUAUUUACUUGCAUAACAUGGACAAAUUCCACUUUAAUUUAGUAGUCAACAAACUUAUCAUCUCUACCCUUAUAAAAAAUGAGUUGGUGGUGAUGGUGUGCCUGCCAUCUUGUAAUACAGACCGUAUGAUCUAUAUCUGAGGAUAGGAAGCAUACUAUGAUAAUUUUACAAAAGAUACCGGCACCUCUCUCCACAUCAUUAUCUCCCGCAACCUCAUUGCUCAGCAAUUAAAAAAGGAAUAAGUCUCUGGAACAAUCUAGCAUGCAUGGUGGCCGCUGCCGCCUGCCAGCGCCGUCCAUCCCCAUGCCUCCGCCCAUUCCGACCACCAGUCACCACCACGCUCCACUCCUCCUCGCCUUAUCUCUCAUCUUUCAUUUUUUUCGAUGACAUUCUCGAGAUACCAGUUUUCUGAUAAAAUUCUUGAGAUAUCAUUAGUUUUUACACAUGGGAUUACUCCUGCAUGGGUCAAUCACAACAGGUGUUCUGUAAAAAAAUGCAUAUUGAUGUUCCAUGCAAUGCACGAGAAUCUUGCUUGUAAUUAUAUAACGCAAAUCACGAGCAGGAAGUGACAUUUUUUUGACACAACCACGUUAACAUGGCCACGUAAAUCACUAGCUAAAGUAAAUACCAUUAUACUUAUAUCCCGAUGCAAAAGGUUGAGUACAUGUCCAAAGAGUAGAGUCGCACACACGCACUCUGUCUCUCAGAAUCUCUCUCACACACACACCAGUUACGUGACGCCCACUUAAGCAGACACGUAUGUUACAAUUUGUGCACCCGCGGGUACACGUGAUGUUGCACAUUUAUUUAAGCCGGAAGGUGAACCCAAACAGUAGCUGCAUUCAUUCCCCUCCCGCCGCCUCUUCUCUGGUCGUCGUCGCCCGGUAGCCAUGGGCCGGCCGAAGGUAACAACAUACGCCAUACUCCCGCCGGAGCAGCGCUUUAAUAUGGAAAUUUUAGUGGUCAUGCAUGUAUCUUUUUGUGCUAGAACUCCUAUAUAAGGGUUGACCGGUCGCUUCCCGCGGACGUGCGCGGGCGAUGGAAGAGGAAGGAGAAGGGAAGCGGGCUGUGGAGUAACAUUUUUUACCACAAUUUCUUAGGAAACUGAGUGUAAUAAUUGAGUAGUUUUGCAAACUACCAGUACUACACCAGAAACGGUUCAAAACCUAUACUCCCUUGCCAGCGCGCGCUUCCCGCGUGAAACGGCCAGUGUCACCCUGGAGCGUCAGUGCCGCAUUAAUGCCCGGCCAGAGCGGAGGCGACCUCUCACUGGCGCCGGCUUUGAAGUGGCGCGACGACCGAGAGAGCGCCGCUUCCCGGUGCAUGCGACUGCUCCGCGUCGAGACUGGCCAUAGGCCCUGUUUGGAUCCAAGGGUUAGAGUUAGUUUGAGCUAGUUGGGGAUCAAAUAGACCUAAACUAUCCAAGCAUGAGGGUUUAAAUUGGAUCAAGUUGCACCGAACCCACCAAAAAAACUAUCCCACCCAAGAGGUGCUAACUGGAGAUAGUUCUCAUUGGGACCACUGAAAAAUCACUUUUCUCUCUCCAUGAAGUACAUUUAUUGUCAAUCUAACCUUGUCACCCAAACACCUCUUUGGCUACAGUUAGUUCAGGGUUAGUCAUGAGUUAGUCUAACCUCUAGCUAAGUUAGAGUAUCAAACAGGAGCAGUAUAGGACAUGCAAGUUGCUCAAAGCAUACAGGCAAAUUCGUACAUGAAAGGAUUUUUUUUCUUUUUGGAAACGGAACGUGAAAGGAAUUUUUUUAGAAUGCUCUUGGCAUGUCGCUAACAUGUGAUAGUUAACCGACCUCAAUAGACGGCAGAAACGCCAGUCCGCCGUACUUUGAUAGAGACGAGGAGGGAGAAGCGAUACAGGCUGCUGGAUUACUAGAGAUUGGUGUCGCACGGAAGCCAAGAAAUAUGGUGAUAGCGUGGGUUAGCCAUGUACUAGUAUGAUACUACACUGGGCUGCCGUGUUUCGUACUCUUCCAGUCCACUAUGGAGAUGAUUGGUUAAUUUUAUAUCGCUGAAUAAUAUUAAAUAUUAUGAGUGCAGACGCUCCACCACGAGGUUCCUUGCUCCUUCUCGGUCGUCCAGAAUCUAUGUUCUUCCACUCUAUUUUUCUACGUGAGCUUUGUUCAUCCUUUUGCCAACACGCGAGACAUCUAGCAUCAAGGUGCACGUGUUAUGCAAGGAUCGUUCCAUCUAUAUGAAGAACACGUGGGACUGGAACUACGAGACGAACAUGUACCCAGGAGUGGACGUACGAACCUGAGUAAUGUAGCGCAGUAAGUGAAGUAGAAAGGCACAAAUGGUAUGAACAUGUGUGGCAUAUAGGGUGUGUUUGGUUGCGUUCUCGUCUCAGCAUAGUUGUUCCCUCUUCAUGCAUGCUCAACUCGGCACCCCUCUUCAUGCAUGCUCUCUUCAUGCAUGCUUCUAGUGUAUUUGUGCUAAACUAGUGUGGACUCAUGCACCCUCCAUACACUCUACCAAACACCCAAAAGUAGGUCGAGAAGGGAACUCUUGGGCGGCAUUUGUCUCUUACUACGUACUACCACUAAAUGUUGUACGUGCAAUGCACGGUGAUGUUAUGGAGUACGUGCCUAAGUACUCUACUACUACUAUAUUAGUUGGAGGCACAUAUUAACUUUUAUAUUUGCUUACGUGUAUGCCCCGAGACCUUCCAACUAGACAUGUCUUUGUCUCCAGGUCACACUUUGUAUCGUUCAUACCACUAAGUACUACUACGUGUGGUCUCCGACCCAGAAGUGGAGACGCUCUACCACACUAUUUUUUUACGCUGGGCUGUACCACGUUGUUCAUGUCCCACUCCUGUCGGUGACGUGUGGGACAUCCAGCACGUGCCGUGUUUGGCACCCUUCGUCGUAAGAGUUGAAACGCUAGCAUUCAUCAGAAAUAAAAAAUAAUUAGAAAUCGGCAGUGAUACUAUGUUUUUGCGAACCAAUCAGCAGUGAUACUAUACCACGCGGUUUCCUUGCUCCUUGAUAUCAGAAAGAAUACUUCCGUUCGCCAACAUGUGGGACGUCGACCAUCCUUGUCCACUUGCCAUGCACGCAGAACUCCAAGGGAGUCACCCAGGUCGUCGCGCCGGAGUAACAAUGACUAAUGAGCCGUCAAAUCACAGGCCCACUUCCCACUUUGAAGUUGCUUGGACGAACGAACCAUCAUGACUUCGUUGAAUUCCGCUUCUUGAAGAAAACUACUGUACCAGCAGUACUGCUAGCGACAGUAGUUACUCCAACAGAGUCCUCCUUUCAUCCAUAGGAUAGGAAUAUGAAAAUCAUAGGAAGUGAGAUGACAUGCAUCUCAAUUCCUAUAGAGAAAGAGAUGUCAUUUGAUGCUUAGGAUAGGAAUUUUUCCAUUUAGUCUAGGCUAAUGUACUGGUAAUUUGCUCUAAAAACUACAGUAAUAACUAGUAGUACUGGUACAUGCUCGUACUCAGACACACACACACACACUAACUACUAGUACUACUACUUCUCACAUGCUGGCCAGACGCCGUCAUUCUCCUUCCCGGCUUUGUCGGCGACACCCCACCGUGCUUGGAUCUCCGCCGACCUCUCCGCAGCAGCGCAUGCGUCCUUUUCUUUCUUGCGGUGGCGGGCCUCUCUUUUCUUGAGUGCUUUCUGACUUUUCCGCUCCCUCUGUGCGGCUUUGGCCGCCUCUUGCUCUACCGCCCAUUCGGCCUUGGCAUCUUCAAAUUCCUCCCACAUAGUUGUGAGGUCGCGAGCGGCGAUGAACUCGGCACGGCGGGAUGCCAUCGCUUCCCUACCAUUUUGUGCGCGGUCGUGGACGGCGAGGAACUUGCCGCGGCGGGAUGCCAUCGCUGCCUUACCAGUUAGUGUGCGGCGCGGUGGCAUGAACGACGCUUACUGAGAGCUCUGGGGUGGAGUGGCCGGACAACUGUAUAGUGCAUUGGUUUAUCAAGAGCUCAAGGACAGAAGACGAAGCAAAUUUGGAUUCCCCUUCAAUCCUGGUCAUUUAUUACCGAGUAAAAUGCAUUGGCAGUCAUCGAACUUGACUUGAUAGCUCACUUUGAUCAUUGUAUACGAGAUAUGGUGAUUAUACGGUCACUGGCUCAGCGUAUAGCUCUGUAUUUGUCUGGUUGACCAGUCAACAGUCCGCAUGCGCCUCAUCAGCUCGUGUUCUUUAUCUAUCUACACGGGCCUACCUGUCAAUGGAGAAAGAAAUACUAUAAAAACCAAAAUUAUGCUAGAGUCCGGACCGCUUCCGGAGCCCGCUCUCACCGCCCUGGCCCCUCAAGACGCCAGCUGCCCGCCGCAUGCAUGCAUAGCAAGUAGUACUCCUUAUGUGGAGGAGAGAGAGGCACUGACAAAGUCAAGGAGUGGGAUCUGCAAGAGCCCAUCUCUACACAUGCUCCUAGGUUUAAAAAAUAAUUCUAAGAAAGGCAUAAAAACAAUUGUGUCUUAAAAAAGAAAGGUAAAAAACAUUUGAGAGGAAAUAGAUAGAGAGAAAGUGAGAAAAAGCUGUAACCUGGGCAUUACAUGAGGAAGGAGGGAGUGGUGCACAUGCCAAGUUCACUGGGCUGCCGUGUUUCACACUCCUCCGUCGUAACAGUGGAGACAAUAGCUUUCAUCAAAAAUAAACAAUGAAUACUCGUUGCUUGUCCUCUAUAUCGGAAAGAAUACUUUCAUUCGCCGACAUGUGGGACGUCGACCAUCCUGGUCCACCUGCCAUGCACAAAAUUAUCCUGGUCUACCCCGGUCGUAUCGCAGGCCCAACCUUUCCCACUGCAAGUUGUUCAGACGAAGGAACCAUCAUGACUUCGUUGAAUUCCGCUUCUUCAAGAAAACUUACUGUACCCGCAAUACUGCUACCACACACGAAGACUGGACGGCACUAUACCACGUCAUAUCACUGAAACCCACUAGGGCAAACUAGCCCGCCUAGGUCAUCUAUUUUGGAACGGAGGGAGUACAUCUCUGCACUGCUAUGAUUUUGUGUUGCACGUCAUAUCACUGAAACCCACUAGGCCAAACUACCCUGCUAGGUCAUCAAUCGCUAAGCCUACAAUUUUAGGAGCUAGGGCUAUUGGUCGAUCGACGAGGGAUAAGUAUAAGCGUACCACGAGCUCAUCAGCCCCAACGUUUCUCUUCGGUUAGUGUUUUGCAAGUACUAUAGCUCGCAUAGUAGCUAGCCUACUAACACCAAGAAUCAUCAAACAAGCCCUGCUGAUAUGAUAAACAGUUCAAACUUACAUCUAAUCAUGCCAUAUAUUACAUCAAAAGCUGGUGAGGAUACAUCUAUUUCCAUAACUCGGAGAGGGUUCGCAUGAUUCAUCGCAUGAUUCACUAUCAAACAAAAGUAGCAAGAUCUGCCCACACAAGACAGUGCACUAGCCCUAAGAUGGUUUGAUAACACGCAUCGUUCUGGUAAUUAAACAUAGGGCAAUGCAAACUACCCUGAAGGAUUAGCGCGACCAACUAUUUCUUGCCAUCGAUCUCUCAGGCAAUGACCACAACACGGACAGCGGUAUGGGAAUCGAUUUCUGGGGCGAUGUCCGCAGGACUGACCACGACAUCGGAAUCGAUCUCUGGGGCGAUGUCCACAGGAUGGACAACGGCAUCGGAAUCGAUCUCCGGAGCGAUGCCAACAGGACGGGCCACGACACCGGAAUCAUCAAGGACGUCCACCGGCACCUGCACACCCUAACAUAUUAGCAAGCACAUUGCAAAUAAUCAAAAACCACAACUAUGGUAAUAAGCCAUUAUUUUUUACCUUGUGCAGCUCACCGGGGGAUCUCAUCCCUCCGGGGGCCAUCUCCUCGUCCUCGAUGGGGUCCAUCACCUUGCCAGGGGAAUACCGCUUCUCAACGGCGACUAUCUCCUCAAACUCGGUCUUGAGCCUCACAUAGGUGGCAAUCAGAGUUCCUAGGGUAGGCACGGUGGGGCCCUUCCUGUUCUUCCAACUUCCUUUGAGGAGUUCGUCCGCCAACGUCCUCAACUCUUUGGCCAAUGCUCGUUUCUUGGAGUUCUUCUUCUCCAUGGGUUGGCCCCCAAACAUGGUCAACUCAUUGGUCGGUGCUUGCUUCCUGGAGAUCACUGUCGUCGGUGGGUUGUCCGCCGGCAACUCUUUGCCUAGUGCUCCAGGAUCCAUCAAUGAACUGACAAACAAAAAGCAAUAGAAAGGAAACCACAAUCGCAAUGAAAACGGGAAAAGAAUAGGAUGCGAGAAUCGGUUUGUGCUUCGCAAAAAGAAGAUUCUUGGAAUGAAAAUAUAGCAGCAUAACUGAUUCGCCCACCUUUCCUUCGUCGGUACAGAAGAAAAAUGGCAGAAGUGAGUAGCCUAGAGUGAGGUUUUCUUCAAGAAAGGGAAGAAAGGGCUUGAACGAGCGUUCCAGUGAAAUGAUGGUUGCUUCAUCCAGUCCAACUUGGAGGCCACCUUACCACUGCUGGUAAAGGUGUGGGUUUUGUGAUAUGACGGGUCAUGACGGCCACACCGGGGUUACAGGUGAGUCAUGGAUGGCACGCGGGCUCGGAUGCUUUGAAAUGUCCCGCAUGUAGAUAGAGCGACUGGUCAUAUAGGAGUGCUCAAUAUUGUGCACCGCGACCAAGGCGGAGAGGAAAACGAGAGAACUACGUAAAUAAUGCAUGAGUUUAAUUAGGGUAGUUUUGUAAAGUACGAGAUACAUUCCUCCAAUCGCAAAAUGCCUUGGUUCAUGAGAUUUGAGAUUUGAGCCCUAUAAACCAGAAGGGAGGGAGUACUGCACACGGUGUAGUCUAGUCACUUGUUGAAAUCUCUAGAAAGGCAAAUACUCCUUUCCGGUUUACAGGGCUAUACUACUCCCUCCGUCUAGGUGUGUAAGUCAUCUUACAAAAACCAAAUAGUCCCAAAACACUUAGGCACGGUGCAUUAACUUCUACCUUGUUUCUUGUUUCUUGACAUAUCAACCAAUAAGAGAUGAGAGGUGUGCAUGCUUUGAAUGACUUGCAAUGGCUAGUUCAUUGCAUGCAAUGCUAUUAAUUAGCAAAUAAACAUUGGUGACCCCAGGAGGAAACGGUGCUAAGAGCGUGGACCUAUGCAGAAUGAGUAUCAACCAAUGGAUAAUGGAGUUUAAUUGUUAAACAAUAGCAAUUUUGUCUCAUGCAAGAGCCUAGCUAGUACUCCAAGGAACCGCACGACGCGAGCGUUCGCAACUGCCACGUUCGGGUUGUGCUUGGCUCUUCGCCUCUUCGAGAAGACGAACAAUAAUAAUGUUACUCCUACUUCUACAAUAUCGAAUCCACUAUUGCAUGUCCGUCUACCUCGUGCGGGAGGGAUAGCGAAAGCUUCAGCUUAUUGCUCCUGCCUUUGCGUCCAUGACAGGUGGGCCCAACAGGUGGUUGGCCCUCCUGUCAUGCAGCCAAAGGCAGGUGCAGUUAAGGCACCGGAGCUCAAUCCGCGAGGGAGAGGGCGUUGUAGUAAUCAAAUUUCUCGGUCUUGUACGAGUUGACGAAGAUAGGGGUUUCUUGCUUGCUAGGGUUGCUCACUACGUAUAUAUAGGCCGGAGUCUCCGUGCUUGCUUGCUAGGGUUGCUCUAUUCAAACACUCUCAUCCUCUCCAUAUUUAAACAAGAUAGGGGUAGUAACACUAUAUUUCUCCCUUCAAAAAAGACUGGCUUUCUAUCCUCACCGCUGGUUAGAGAUCCGGACGUAUCCCCCUCCAUCGGUGAAGGGGAGGAGGGGCAGCGUUUAGGCCGGCGUCGACAGCGAGGGAGGAUACCCACUGCCGGCCGCACCGUUAUCUCAGGCCGAGCGCAGGCGCGGGAGGUCCUCCGAUCCCUUCGUCGUUUCCUAUGGGCGGAUCCGGCCUCCCUCCGCCCACCUAUCCACAUCCCGACGACCUUCAGGUAUAUCUUCGUUCGAAACCGCCUUAGCUCUACUUCCCCAGCUCGCUACGUCGCUGCAUGUGCAUCAUUUUCUACCUCUCAGCCCCUCUCGAUUGGAUGGUCCAACGUCACAUAUUUUCUUCUUCUAUUGUUAGAGGUAAAGCUACUUCAUGGAGUCGAAUCUUGUACUCCCUCCGUCCGAAAAUACUUGUCAUUGAAAUGGAUGUAUCUAGAUGUUUUAGUUCUAGACGCAUCCAUUUUGAUGACAAGUAAUUCCGGACGGAGGGAGUACUUGGUUCAAACAAGAAAUAAAGUGGGGGUGGGGGAAUUUAGUAUGUACAUCAGACUUGGUACAAACAGGAAGGAAAGGGGGAAUUUAGUAGUACAGACUGGUUAUCCAACCGGUCUCUUGGUCGAAAAGGGAAAUAUAGGGGUAACGCUGUACAUAGUGGUAUGACCAGGACUAGAUUUGCUAUCCACACAUAGGAGUAGGUGGCUAGAGUGAACAAAAAUGGGACCAACCCACAUAUGUUUCUUGGAUGUUUGUUUCUCGGGGCAACAAACUAUGAAUCACCACUUUAUGCCCCUGUUUACGUACAUGGUGCAGGACUGCUGGUGCACCCACUGUUAUAAGCCAUGACAAGUUUAGCCAAAUGUUUUUGCCUGUAAUUGUUUGAGACUCUGACUGUUUCCUCUGUGCCUUUUUGGGCAAACAGGGAUAUCCAAUUCACCUGGUUGCUGUUGUGACCUUUUGGUGCACUCCACAAAACUCUUCUUAAAAGAAGUGACUUUUGUGCUGUUUAACUGGAAUGUUAGAAUGGAACAGUUGGUUCAUUUUGGUGGAACUGCACAAAGGGAGAUCUGUGUUCCAAUCCUCAUCAUCCAUAUUAGCGCCAUAACCUUCCUUUAGGUAAGAAUGAUAUUUAAUGCACGUGUUCAUCUCUAUUUUCCGACUACCAUGAGAAAAUAAUGUUGUUUUUACUAGUACACUUGUACUCCCUCACUGGCAAAACCAAUUCUGAAUUAGAAGGCCAAUCAUGUACUUGGUUUCACCAACUGGUGAGGAGAAAGAGAAACAGAGCAUGAAGAGGAAGAAGAAGAAGAAUAAACAGUGCCAAGGCGAUCUUGCUGAAGCCAGAGGCCUCAGUCGAGGCCAUUCAAGGGCUCCGGCAACGACUACCUUACAUGUGAGAUGAUCCUCCAGGGAGCCCUUCCACUUUUGCUGUCUCACUUAAUUAAUUAGGAGUACUUAAGUACCACUAAUUUAUUACUGCCUAAUUUUCCUGUUGGAGUUAAACAAAUCUUUAGUAGGACCCUAUGCUGAAUAAUGUACGUGUGUAUGUUUGUCUAUGGAGGUGAAUCAUGUGGUGGAGCAGGGAGGGAAUAUUAUUAGUGUCAUGACAUAAUAGUGCUAUUGUUUUGCAUGUCAAUUUAUUGCCAUUGGUUCAAUGAGGCAAUGUUUUGCGUAUUGUCCAUCAUGAAUUUGAUGCUACUGGUUGAGUAAUAUGCUAAUGUCUUCCUAUCCUUUCUCACUAAGCUAAUGAAGAUUUCACCUUGUUCCUACUUGUGCAAACAGGGAUCAUGUUGUGCCAAUCAUACAUUAAAUGGAACUAUACGAGACAAUACAAUGAACUGUAUCCCAGCCAGUGCUUUAACUCUGCUGGAAGUUCUUGAAAAUCUUUCGAUAUAAUCUCAGCACUGGUAAACAAGAGUGAUUUCAACCAUACAUUUGAAUUGCACAAAAAUAUAUAUACCAUUGUGUGAUUCCAGUGAGUGCUUUAUCAUCUCUUAUGGGACUACAUGAAUAAGCUUUUUUCUCAGGUUGGUACGGGCCUAAGGCCUUCAUCCAUAUUAGUUUGCUGUCAUCUCUAUUUGUAUCGUCCUACUAUCAUGAGAAACUCCUUUAUCUUUGCACGUUAAAGUUUUGCAACCUAUGAUAAAUGGCAAUGCUUUGAGUGUUGAGUUGAGCUAAUUGGCACUGAUUAAAUAAACUAAUACCUCUCUUUAAGCAAGACUACUAUGUUGCUAACUUUACCCAUUAAGAUAAUGAGGGUGCUUCUAUUUGUUAGUGUAUGUUUCAUAAACCAGUCCGACUAUUACAGUAAUCUCACUCUCUCAAUAUAUGUGCCAACAGGGAUGCUCGAUUUUGGUGGAACUGCACAAAAACUUUGGGUUCUUCGUUGCCUCGACAGCUUCCGUCCUUUCCUAUCAGUCGCUAAACUCCGCAUACUUUCUUCCUUUGCCUACAGUCGCUUGGCUUAUCUCGGCUUCCAGUGAAAGGAAAUUGUAAUUGAUAUGCUACCUCACACAGGUUGGUACUGGUCUUUAUCCAGAUUAUUGUGCCUGUCAUAUGUAUUGGUAAUUUGGUAUUGUGCUACUAUUUGCCAUUUUCAUAAAGGAGUAAUUUGGAGCCUGAACUCGCAGGCAAAUCAUUACAUCGGGUGAUUUCAGUAGAACUGCACAAAAUGAUCAGAUGGACAGGUACUUAUGUUGCUGCUAUGUACUCCAAAGUUCACUCAGACAAGCAUCAAUGUUGACAAGAAGUGCCUAUAUUCAUUAGAGUAUCAACCGGCGUCAACCAAAUGUCAAACUCCAAGUGUUAGGAGAGUGAACGGCAAAAAUAUUGCUUGGUGCAUAGCCUAGAAAAACGCAGUCCAGUCUUUGGUCCCAACUUGUGCCUUUUGGUUAUCGACACAUAUGGUAGCAAACUAUAUGGCAUGGAGUCUAAAGAUUCCAGACAAGUUAGUUGACGCGUAUAUUCAUCUGGCACUUAAUCAGUCUGCACGCCAAGGAUGCUCCAUUUCAGUUGAACUACACAAAAAAUUUGGGUGGUUCAUUUUCUCAACCGCCUCCUUUCUCGUCUUCAAUGUAGAAUUUUGGCAAGAUACAGGACCAAGAUGACCCAGUAAACUGGUUGGAUGAAAGUAGUGGCCAAGUUGCUUAAACCUCCCUCGGCACGAGGCCACUAUUUGAGGAUAAACCUACAAGAAAAGUUCAGAUUGUCUGUGCUACCUCUUAUGUACUCGAAAGUUUACUCGUACAAGAACUAAUUUUAACAAGAAGUACCUCCGAUUGAACACCAUUUACCAGUCUGUACCCUAGGUAAUUAAAGUUCGUCCAUGGAUCAUAUUGGCUGUGAUCUCAAUCAUUUGGAUGCAUAAACAUACUGAACAUGUGUAUAUCUGAAUCUUUUGGUUAAUUAUGUAUGAAUAUUGUCGUGUGAUCUAUCAAUCAUUUGGAUGCAUAGAUAUGCUGAGCUUGUGUAUAUAUGAAUCUUUUGAGUUGUUGAUUGUGAAUGUUGGCUAUGGAUAUGAACGUGUCCUGUGAACCUGAGUUUGAUAUGAAUGUUUACCUUUUCUGUUGUAUUUGUGUGUGAACUUGUUAGUAUGCCUACUGUGGGGUAUAAAGCGCAUGUCUCUUCUAACCACAUUAUAUAUAUUUAUAUUAUUACUAUUAUCGUAUAUUUAUAGAGAAUUAUAUAUACAUUAUAAAAACAUCCCAACUUAUAAAAGUAAAUGUUUAACGGAAGUUGGCAAGGAAAAUCCUGGUUGUUUUUGACUCAUAGGCAAGGAAAAUCCUGGUGAUUGCGUACAAAAGCUUGCGAAGAUUUUAAGGACCAAUUUAAUAAUAACGUGCUUAUUUUUAUUUUGAGCAAUAACUCGCUAAUUUCUUAAUUAUAUAUAUAUAUAUAUAAUGUGCCUCUCCGAUUUAUUCCUUGAUAUUAAUUGCUCCUUCUAACAUAACAUUAUACUCCCUUUGUCCGAAAAUACUUGUCAUCAAAAUGGACAAAAAGGGAUAUAUCUAAAACUAAAAUACAUCUAGAUACAUCCCUUUUAUCCAUUUUGAUGACAAGUAUUUCCGGACAGAGGGAGUAUAUAUAAUGAGCCCACCUAAUACGUGUAUUUCAAGGAAGUGCAAAUGGGCUGGGAUUUCUUAGAAAAUAUAAAUGGGCCUGAUUGAUGCGAAAUUAUUUGUUCACCCAGCCCAGCAAAUGGACUGUACAUUCUAGAAAACAUGGGUUAAAUAUAUGCCACAUUUUUGCAGGCUGACAUGUGGGCCAAUACGUCGAAGCCUACACAAGGCGUUGUCAACUUGGUCAACAAAUGAUUGUGUCAUCCACAGCCAUUGGAUUUAUAUCCAACGGCCGGCAUGCACCUUCAAUCUCUCGUCUUAUUCCUCCAGCGUCGCCGGGACCGCCUAGUUCGGCCUCCGGCGGCUAGCGGCUCUGCUUAGCAUGCAUCGCUGCGAAGCGCUACCCCACCAUCGGCCAGGCUAUCCCUCCACCCCUCGACACCUCCUGUUAUUCUCCACAGACUAUAGCCCCACGCCACAACAGAACCAGUUAUAACCCUUCUCCUCCUCUCAAUCUGCGACUCCACUGCCGCGUUUUCCCAUCUCCGAGUCGUUCCCGUCCGGGGCCUCGCCGUCGUCCACCGCCUCGCUGCGUUCGGUGCAGCGUGGUCAACAAACGAGAGUCAUUGGAAGAGGACUUUACGUGGAGAGCCUGACGGCUGGGACCCACGAGGUCCAUGGUCGCAUGCAAGGAAAGUUCCUCCUUCUUAAGAUGAAAAAAAUGUUUCCUCCACCUGACAGCUGGGACCCACCGGCUAUAUCUUUGCACGAAAGGAAGUGCCUCCUUGUUUUGCGAAAAAAAUUAUUCAUCCCAUUGACAGCUGGGACCCGUCAGAUUUGGUGACUGACUUGUGGGCCUACUAAGCGGACGUGUACGCACGGCUUUGUCAACUUAAUGGACAAAUGAUUCUAGCAGCUUGACCGUUGGAUGUUAAUCCAACAGCCUUGCUCCUUCUUCAACCUUUGUUCUUGCUCCUGUCUCCCGUGGGGGGCACCGCGGCUGUGCUACCGCGCACCCAAACCAGUGAAGUUUCCCACUCCUCUCCAUCUGCGACUCCACUGCAGCUUAAUAAAUAGUAACGUCUUCGGUUUAAGCCCGGUUUUUCGUAGAUUAACCAGGCAAUUUUCUUCUUCUUAAUUAAUCAACGAGGCAAUUUUUUUACCUCCGUUUCGAAAAAAAUAAAUAGUAACGUGUAACUGAGCCAGUUAGUUAGAUGCGUACACUUGGUGUAGUAGGAUCUUUAUUUAGUUUGAUGCAUACACUUGUUCUUUUUUGGUAGCCCUUUUGUAAUGAUGGCUGAUGUUUGGUUUGGAAGAGAGAGCUGCGUCUUCACUCUUCUGGCCUGCUUAGUGCUUCUGUUGCACCCCAGCCCUGGUUGUUGCUGCUGCUGUUUUCAAUGUACAAUCAGUAGUAUAUUUCGUCUGUUGGUUGAAUAAAUGUGUUGUUAGAACGACAAACACAACGUUUUGGAAGUCGUUGCAUGGUUCGAUCCUUUAGUGCCCCGUACCAUAUGUAGCGCAUACUAUUUAUCGUAUGGAACAUAUUUUUUUGAAACUCGAAACACAUUUUCCACUUGUUGAUAACAUGCAGCCCACUGAUGAAGGCCCAAUAGAGAAGCCCAUAAUUAACUGGAAGGGAGGCUCUCACAUGAAUCCGGCCCAGGUACAUGCUCAUGGUCCCCUAAACAUAAAUAAGUAAAUAAAAAAAUAAAGCUAAAUGCUCAUGCACCAGUUCUUUGGGAAAAUAGGUAGCCCAGUAUUUCUUUUUGAAGAAUACCCAAGCUAGGCCUAUUUGUUUUCUGUGAAUUACUGGGCUGCAAAUCUUUCAAGACGAGGAGGGAUGCAUUCCGGCCUAGCUUAAGAGUAUGGUCAAUGUCUGUUAAAAGUAAUAUCAAAAGGGGUUGAAAAUUCCAAAAGAUUUAUAGCAAAUGGGAUAUAAAUUUCUUUUUAUGUUUUUGUUCUUCACUGAUAUCUUAUACGUAUUUCAUUGGAUUUAACAUGACAUAGUACUAAUUUAUUUUUAAAUUUGUUUUAGUAUGGCUAUUAAUUUUUGCGAAUUUUCAAAAUUUCCCACAUAUUUAGUUAAUUUUUUGACCCUGGUACUGACCAGAAAAUGGUCAGCAAUUCUAAAAAUGGAAAACAGGCUGCAAUAAAUUCCAUAUGAAUUAGAAAAUGAGUAAAAAUUAUAAAAAUAAUAGCAAAUGGGCUGUACACGCCACAUAUUUCAAGGCUGACUUGUUUACGCAAGGCUUUGUCAGUGAACACACGAUUCUAGCAGCAGUUAGUGUUGGAUGUCCAUCCAACGACCGACGUGCUUCUUCAAUCUUUGAUCUUCCUGCUCCAGCCGCCUAAACUAGUGCCGGCGGGACUGCCUGCUCCCUCCUCUUGUGGCCCGCUGUGAUGCCGCGCAGGCUUCCCCGGCCCACCCUACUCCCUCCGCUGGCCUGGCCGCACGCAAUCAACUGCCUCCUUAUUACGCGAAAAAAUGAUUCCUCCCACUGACAUCUGGGGCGCACCGGUUGGGAGGCUGACCUGUGGGCCUACUAAGUUGACGCGUACGCAGGGCUUGUCAACUUAGUCAACAAACGAUUCUAGCAGCAGUAACCGUUGGAUUUGAAUCAAACGGUCCUGUUGCUUCUUCAAUCGCUACUCUUCUUGCACCAGCCGCCCAAACCAGCGCCGGGGAGACCGCCUGCUCCUGCCUCCAGUGGCCGGCUGUGCUGCCGAUCACGCUUCAUCGCCCCCUACUACUCCCACCGCUAGCCAGGCCCUGCGGCGACGGUAGCCUCACACCGCAGCCGAACCAGUGAACCCUCGUACUCCUCUCCGCGUGGGCACCCACUGCCGCGUCUUCCCCAGCUCCGCGUCAUCCCCUUCCUAGGCCUCGCUGUCGUCCACCGCCUUGGUGCUCUCUGCGCGGCGUGGUCAACGUGCUCAACGACAUUCCAACGGAAGAGUACUGUACGUGGAGAGACUGACAGUUGGGUCCAUGGCCACAACCCGGUUUUUUUGUGAUUUGCCAAGUAAGUUGCUUUGUCAGGCCUGUUGGGAUGCAAAUCUUUCAAGACGAGGAGAGCUUUCAUUCGGCUGGCCGAGAAAAUGGCCCAUCAGUAAUGAGAAAUGGGUUGUACAUUUGUAAAACACAUCAAACCGGCAAUUAGUUUCAAGUAUCUUUUUUUCAUUUCGAGAUUUGAAAUUACAUUAAUUUUUAUGCGUGGAGAAUUUGUUGGAUUUUAUAUUGAUAUACAUUUAUUUUUAAAAUCAGUUUGAAUGUGAGUCGAAAUUUCGGGAUUAAAAACAGUUCGGACCGCACCGAAAUAUGCAAAAUUUCGUAUAAUUUUUUAACCGUGGCCACAAUAUGGGCUGUAAUGCUAACAAAUAGAAUAUGGGCUCCAAAAAAACCUUAAUAAUUAGCAAAUGAGCUGUAAAUUAUUAGAAAUAAUGGCAGAUGGGUUGUAUGCUGUUUUCCAUAGAUUUGAGGCUUUCCUAAAAAAAGGUUGACGCACAAGCAGUGACUGUUGGAUGGCCAUCCAACGGCCAUCGUGCUUCUUCAAUCUCUGCUCUUCCAGCUCCAGGCGCUCAAACAGGCGCUGGCGGGACUGCCUACUCCCUCUUCCCCACGGCUAGCUCUGCUGCCGUGCAGGCCUCACCACCCCACCGUACUCUCAUCGCUGGCCUAGCCAUCCCUCUACUCACCCACACCUGCUGUUAUUCUCAGGCGACGGUAGACGAACCAGUAAACCCUCGUACAGUCGUACUCCCCUCCGCGUGGGAAACAACUGCCGAGUCUUCCCUGCCUCCGUGUCGUUCCCUUCCUAGGCCUCGCCGUGGUCCACUGCCCUGGUGCUCUCGGCGCGGCCUGGUCAACAUGGUGAACGACCGACAUGCAUCUAAAGUGGACUUUACGUGGAAAGGACGACAGCUGGGUCCAUGGCCGCAUGCAAGGAAAUGCCUCCUUAUUACGCGCAAAAUAAUGAUUCCUCCACUAACAUCAGGGACCCACCGAAAGGGCCUCUUUAUUUUGCGAAAAAAACGUUACCGCCGCUGACAGCUCGGACCCACCAGCUAUAUCUUCGCACGCAAGGAAGUGCCUUCUUAUUACGCACAAAAAAAUGAAUACUCCCCCUGUUAGCUGGGACCCAGUAUAGUGGUAGGCUGACUUGUGGGCCUACUAAGUUGGCGGGGACGGAGGGCUUUGUCAACUUAGUCAAUAUGCACGAUUCUAGCUCCAGUGACCGUACGAUGUCCAUCCAACGGCCGUAGAGCUUCUUCAACCUCUGGUAUUCAUGCUCCAGCCGCCCAAACCAGCGCUGGUCGUGCCUCGUGUUCCUGCCUCCCGUGGCCGGCUGCGAUGCGGCGGAGGCCUCACCGCCCCCUACUACUCCCACCGCUGGCCAGGCCAUCCCUCUACUCACCCACACCCCCUGCUAUUCUGCGGCGACGGCAGCCUCACACCGCAGCGAACCAGUGAACCCUCGUACUCCUCUACGCGUGGGCAUCCACUGCCGCAUCUUCCCCGGCUCAGCGUCAUCCCCUUCCUAGGCCUCGCCGUCGUCCACUGCCCAGGUGCUCUCGGCGCGGCGUGCUCAACGUGGUCAAGGAACGGCUUCCAUCGGACGUGGACUGUACGUGGAGAGGCUGACAGCUGGGUCCACGGCCGCAGCAAGGAAGUGCCUCCUUAUUACAUGCAAAAUAAUUAUUCCUCCACCUGACAGCGGGGACCCACCGGACGGGCCACCGUAUUACGCCCCCCUGACUGUCGGGACCCACCAGCUACAUCUUCGCACGCAAGGAAGUGCCUGACAGUCGGGACCCACCUGGUCGAAGCGUACGUAGUGUUGUCAUUCUGGUCGCGAACGUGUACGUACAUAUAUACUGGUGGAUGUAGAGGCGCGCACAUGUCGUAGUAGAGGCGGCCAGGGUGCAAGAAAGAAAAUACGGCCACGUAUGUGUACAUAUGGGCGGGGUCUCGAAUGCCUACUCACGCAUACGUACGGCCAGGGCUCGUGUACAUGGAUGGGUUGGAACGGAGAAACAGCAUCGUCGUCGUGUUCAUGGGGAGGCAAUGGAAUACGUCAUGUUCAUGGGGAGGCAACGGAAUGCGUCGUGUUCAUGGGGAGGCAACGGAAUGCGUCGUGUUCAUCGGGAGGGCUUGGAUAGAAUAGGCGAUGGAAACGAGGCCUGGCGUACCGCAGAAUGAAGGAAACGGCCUUGUGUUCGACCGGCCACGUUCGAAACGGGAUCCUGUUCAUCGGGAGGGUCUGGCAUACCGCAAAACGGAGGAAACGGACCUCCUACGGUCGAAACGGGGGUCCUGUUGAUCGGGAGGGGUGUGGCGUACCGCAAAACGGACGAAACGGACUUGUGUUGGAGCGCUACGGUCGAAACGGGCGUCAUGUUCAUCGGGAGGGGUGUGGCGUACCGCAAAACGGGACUCCACGGGAUACUGUUCAUCUCCACCGUCGACCCCCUCCAGCCUCCACGAGCUAAUGUUCAUCCACCGUCGACCUCCUCCAGCCUCCACCUGCGACUGUUCAUCCACGGGCUCCUGUUCAUCCAGCCUCCACCGCGCGCUACUCCACCGGCUACUGUUAAACCAGCCCUCUCCAUGGGCUCCUGUUCAACCAUCCCUCCAUGGGCUACAGUUCAUCCUGCCCUCCACCAUCUACAGUUCAUCCUGCCCUCCAUGGGGUGGUCCUGUUCAUCCAGCCCUCCACGGGGUCCUGUUCAUCCAGCCCUAACCAGCUUGAUCGAUCGGGGUCCUGUUCAUCCAGAGGCACCACGAGGUCCUNNNNNNNNNNNNNNNNNNNNNNNNNNNNNNNNNNNNNNNNNNNNNNNNNNNNNNNNNNNNNNNNNNNNNNNNNNNNNNNNNNNNNNNNNNNNNNNNNNNNNNNNNNNNNNNNNNNNNNNNNNNNNNNNNNNNNNNNNNNNNNNNNNNNNNNNNNNNNNNNNNNNNNNNNNNAUCGGCUUCAGUUAGCAGCAGUAGCGAAGGAAUCGCUCGAUCGGAUUUAGUUAACAGCCAUCGAUCGAUUGCUCGGGUUCAGUAAUGCGUAGCCUGCAGUGCAAUCGCUCGGGUUUAGUUAGAGCCCAACACCUCGCUCGGGUUCAGUUAGAGCCAACGCCUCACACACACGCGCGUAUGUGUACGAGAGAAGCGCACAUCGCUCGGCCCCCGACCUCCCACCGUAACCGGGAACUCCCCGAAAUUUUCCUCGCCCUCGCUUCUACCACGGUUUUUUCCGUCAUGGAUGGCCCAAAGAAUGUCAUGCAGCUGCAUCUCCGGCCCGCCCAAGACGAAAAGCCCAUUUUCUUUCAUGAUUUUUUGUCAUAGAAGUAGGAGCCCACCACAUCUAUGAUGAUACCGGGUUUUGUCACACUUAUCGUCAUAGAAGUGUCAUAUGUAUGACAGAAAAAAAA
rnacentral:lncRNA from 1 species